AACCUUAGAACAUAAGGAAACCUAUUAUUAUAAGUAUGAAUCCUUAGAUUACAAGGAAACCCGUUGAAGAUUAUUCCUAAUAAAACUAGAUGUCUAAUCCAUGUUUGAUUGUGUUUCCUUGUAAUCUAAGGAUUCAUAGGUUUCCUAAUAAUCUACGGUUUCACUUAUAAUUGUCUAUAUUUAUAAGGUUUUAUACUGAGUUAUCUACACAAACAUUUUCCCAAUCUCUUUCCUCCCAAAUUGUAUUCGGCCCAAGUUGUAGAUUGUAUUCGGCCCAAGUUGCAGACCCGGCCCGUAGCAGCCCUUUCUUGUGAUAUUUAGGCUCCCCUCUUCCAGAACCUAAAUUAGAUCGGCCGAACAAACCAGAUCUAUUUUUUCGCGACGCGUAGGGAAGCCGGUAUGUCUCUCGAAAUCCCAGUUAUCCCCGAUGAGGAUCCGAAGCCCCGAUCGGAAAAGAUGGAAGUGGAAGACGUAGAUUCAGAUUCAGAUUCAGAUUUAGAUCAGGAGUCAGAUUCAGAUCAGGAGUCAGAAGAAAAAGUGAUGCAUUGCGAAGUUUGUAUGAAGGACGGGGUUCACAUGUCACGUGAUUGCCCGUACUUGGUGAUUAUUCGAGAUCCCAAGGACACACCUAUCGGGAAGCGUUAUAUGAUAGUUUGCCGCGACUGUAGUCUGAGGGAUCAUGGCCACCCUGAUGGAACCUGGCUAGGACGUGCGGUGAUCAAUUUUUAUGAGCGGACUUCCAUGUUUCGAAAGCCUGGUGUGAUUUAUCACAAGCCUGAUGGUGACGAUGAAGAUGACAUCCUUGACUAAUAUGUAAACCAGUGUUUAGAUGGCAAAGAGUGGCUUGUGUUAUGUUGUGUGUUUUCAACUUAUGGAACUAUGACUUAAUGAACAUACACCUAUUGAUGAUUAUGUCUCUUCAUUUUGAAGUUGUUGUGGGUUUUCCAGAACUUGAGUUCUUUUUUAUCCGUAAUGUCGGUUUUAGGUCCUUUUUCUUUAGAUUUCCAAAUGAACGUGCUGUGUUUCUCAUUUGCAACUCGCAAGUUGAGAAAAAUUCCAUUAGCUUUGGAGCCAACACUCUUGUUCGCUAUGAUGCAGAAAAAUUGACUUCACUGACUACUCUCUCCCUCUAUCGCCCGGAACUGACAGUCUUAUGGAUUUUGUUACCAGCAAAAAGAGGCUCAACCUAGCUUGAUUGAGCAAGCUUGGACAAUAUAGCUAUAUGUACAGCCGGUUAAGUUGAGGGGUGGCUUCGAUUUCAUCAAAGAGCUUCUCCAUUCGGGAUUUGUGAUAUCCAAACCAGUAUGUUCUCUUUAUCCAGUUGGUUUAGUUUAAUUGAUUAUAUUCUCUCCAGUAUAUUAGUUUAAUUUGUCUUGACCAGCUCCUGCAUGUGUCGAAUUUUGCUACAAAUCAAAAUCCAUACAGUAGUUCUCCAGAACCAUGCAUGUUGCUAUAAUCUACUGUAUUUCUGCUCAUCAAUAUGCACAAAAGAGUUUCUAUUAUCAGUUCAAUCGAGGAUCUAAUUUAUAUUCACAUCAGUUCUAUUUUUCCAAUGUCUUUUCAGUAUAGAUUUUCUGUAAGCUGUAUUUCAGUAUAAAUUGUAAAAAGGAAGCUGUAUUAAUUUUCAGUAUUUCCAAAUGUUUGCCCGUACCUGAACCGUGACCCAAAUCCAAUGUACACAGCUGUUGGCGGGGCUUUAUGAUAGCCUGCAUCCACUGCUUUAGGGAGAGGAUCAUGGCCACCCUGAUGGAGCCUGACAAGGACGUGCAAUGCUAGAUCCGAGGUUCUUUUAUGAAAAGCCUUCAGGCCAGUUGACCUACCUGCCGAUGAGAGUGAAUACUUUGCCUGACUUACUGUGGGUGCUUCUCGUUUCCAUCAGUCCUAAUUUCAAUGUCUUCUUAAUACAGAUUAUUAGUAUAAGCUGAAUUUCAGUUCUGUAAAGGUUGCUAAUCAUGUACUUGGAUUCUGUAGUUAUGCGUAGAAAUGCUUAGUGGGAACUGCUGCUAUGCAAGUGCACAGUGCACUACAUUACCAUGAGAGGCAAGACAGUUGAAAUGAAAAAGCUCGAUCCCGACACUGGUUUUGAUAAAAAUCACCAACUUGAGAGGCACACUCAACAAGCCAACGUAUCAACGAUGAAAUCACCAACGUAUGCACACGAACUUAUGGAGCGUAUCAACAUGCAGUCUUAUAUAAAAUCAUCAAGCACACACAAAUAAUCUUCCUAUUAAAAAAAAAAAAAAAAAAAUCUUCAAUUUCAACAACAAUCGUCAAUGAUAUCAGUCAAAAUAAGCACACCAAAAUUAAAGCAUAAUUAACGUACGUUUCAUGUCUACUACUGCUUACAUGUAACUAGCUUAUAGUAAAUCAGUCACAUUCAUGGGCAUCUCAUCAAUCUGGGUACUGUAGUACUGUUCAAUGUCUCUUAAGAUCCUGAUAUCAUCGUUCUUGACAAAGUUGAUUGCAACACCCUUGCUUCCAAAACGACCCGAACGACCAAUCCUAUGAAUGUACAGCUCUCGGUUGUUUGGAAGAUCAUAGUUGAUAACCAACGAAACGCUCCGAACAUCGAUUCCCCGAGCCCAAACAUCUGUUGUGACGAGGACGCGUGAUUCAGUGUUCUUGAAAUCUUUCAUUAUAGCGUCUCUCUCUUUCUGAGGCAUGUCUCCAUGCAUUGACGACACAGUAAAGUUAUUGCUCCGCAGCUUUUCGCUAAGCCAAUCGACCUUUCGCUUUGUGUUGCAGAAAACAACAGCUUGUGUGAUCGUGAGGGUGUCAUAGAGAUCACAAAGAGUAUCAAACUUCCAAUCCUCUCUUUCAACUGAAACAAAAAAUUGCUUGAUUCCCUGCAGUUUUAAAUACAAAGUUAAUAUUAACAUAUAUUUCAAGAAAAUAGUAUUCAAAUAAAAACUUGAAAGCAGAAUAUCAUAUAUACCAAGCUGUUGUAAAAUUAUAUAUGUACCUCUAAAGUCAGCUCAUCACGCUUGACCAAGAUCCUUACAGGAUCAGUCAUGAACAGUUUAGUCAUCUCGAGAAUCUCAUUCGGAAGUGUAGCCGAAAUCAAGCAAACUUGGACGUCAGGCGAAAGAUAGCGGUAGACGUUGUAAAUCUGAUUCUUGAAGCCUCUGCUCAACAUUUCAUCAGAUUCGUCGAGGACUAAUAAUUUAAUUUGUCGAGGACGUAGAGUUUUCCUGUCGAGCAUGUCACAGACUCUACCAGGAGUGCCAGACACCACAUGAACACCGUUCUCUAGCCUUCUGAUAUCCUCACCCAAGCUUUUGCCUCCUAUGCAUGAAUGUACCUGAAUAUUUAGAUAAUUCCCCAUUGCCAUUAUCACUUUCUCUGUCUGGGCUGCCAAUUCCCUCGUUGGAGAAAGUAUCAAUGCCUGAACCCUGUAACAUAGGGUAAAUAAUUAGGCAUGUAUUUAACAAAUAAUAAGCCCCAGUUAACACUAACAAUUCAGAACUUGUAUCAUGCAAAUAAGCAAACCCUAGCCCUAACCCUAACCCUAUGUAGUGAAGGACAUAAAUGAAUCAACUACUCCUAUAAAAAAAAAAGUAGAAGAAGGGUUUAGCUAGCUCGGAAAGGAUCUCUUACUCUCUGGAGGCGGUGUCAACCAUUUGGCAAGCGGCGAGUGCGAUCAUUGAUGUCUUUCCGGUACCGGACUGUGCCUGAGCGAUAACGUCCCUUCCCUCAAUAAUAACUUUGAUGGCCCGUUGUUGGAUAGCUGAGGGCUUCUCAAAGCCAUGGUUGUAGAUGCCUCGGAGGAGCUCGUCUUUAAGGCACAUAUCUUCGAAGCUUGUCAUCGGCUCUAUCCCUUCCGAUUCCCAGGUUACAAUCUCCAGCUUCUUCUCUGUGGUGUUCUUGACACCCCGUUUUGUUCGGCUCGACCUCGAGGUUGCUGUUGAUGCCAUGCUUAAAAUAAAACUCGCGACUAGCUAGGGUUUAUUAAUCUUGAGGAGUCCCCGGGCUCCUUUAUAUAGAAUAUUUCGUAUUAUUCCUUAUUGUCUGAGAAAACCUUCCAAAUCAGACUCGUAAUAUCUUGCAAUCUUCCAAAACCAUGGCAGAAUGGAUCUAGAUUCUCUGCUUGGAUUUAUGUUGUUUGAAUUUGUUUUUAUGUCUUAUAACUAUUAGAUAUAGCAAGGAUGACAUAAAGAUAACAUAGCGGUCUUAGAUUGUACUUGAUCCUUGGUGUGUUUGGAUGCGGGUGAAUUUCCGAGAAUUUAAUCAAAAAUAAGGAAUUCAAAAUUUCUUAGGACGGUUUCCCUCGUCUGGAUUCUUAUCUCAUGAAAUUUCCACAGGAAAAUAAUUGUGGAAUUUGGGAGCUUAAAUUCCUGACUUGAAUUCUUUACAAAAUAGGCGUCAUUUGUCAAUUCUUUUAACUGAGGUUAGCCUAGAUACAAAUUCUUGGCAUUUUAAGACCCUAUAUCAAGAAAUCCAAACAAUGGAAUUCUCGAUUAAUAAAAUUUAAAUUCAUGGAAUUAUAACUCCCAUGAUUUCAAAAUUUCUAUGGACAUUAAACUUACUUUAUCCAAACACAACGUAGAAGUAAUCCAAACAAAUUCAAACAAUAUAAAUCGAAGUAAAGAAGCCAAAUAUGGCAGAAUAUAUCGUUAUAACAUAUGCAUGGCUCAUUGGCAAAAAUCUACACACCAACCUUGAUUUAUUUAUUUUAUUAAUUAAAAAUUGGCACGAACAAUCGGUAAUCUGUCAAUGGUUAUGACUAAUUGUACUUCCAAUAAGAAAAUCCAUGACUAUUCUAAGUAGAAACAAACUCAUGAUUACACAUCUAUGAUAAACUUUCUGGGGAACAAACUUAUAAACAAAGAAACUUAGUGUUUUUUAGGACAAAUUCAUCUUCUAACUCUCUAUUAGCCUACAUGCAAUUGUGGCACCAACAGAAAACCACUUCUUAGGAAACAAGUAGAACCAUCUUCUAAUUCAUCAUCUUCUCGAAAGAUUAUUACCAACUCACGAAGCAGUCUUGACCCGAAAUAAUUGUUCAUUGACCAUGUAUCGACCCAACUGCCCUAAAAUGUCCACCUGUUGGGCUAGGCCCACCCUCCCUCCUAGCCCACCAAAUCCAUCAAGUCAAGUUUGAGCCGAGGUUCGCAAGCCCAAGCCCAAAUUGGCCAGCUAAAACCUUACACCAAGCCAGCCUAACAACCUAUGUUGUUCUUGCAUUGAACCGUCUGGCCAGUCCAAAGCAUCUCGCUUGCCGGUUCGACGCUGAUCAAUCAGACUAUCGUCGAUUUGAAGCCGAACUUGACGUAGAUGCCAACUUGAUCCGCACGGCUCUACUUCCAACCGUCAUCGAUCCAACUCAGACCUAUACCAAUUAAUAGUUUGAUUCAACACUCCUUUUUCCCCUGACGAUGCUGUACAAAUCGCCCACACCCCAAAAAUUGACUUGGUAAUAUGUUUUUUUAAAUGCGAAAGUAAAUCAAAUACAAUACAUUACAGACAAUUGCCUCUUAGAUAACCAGUUCCUAAAUCAUCAAAUUAAAUGCAUUGGGUGACUCUUCUCGGAAGUUUGUUUUCCCAUACUCUUUCUUUUGUGGUUUGGUGGCUUGUGCUUGCAAUUGUCGCAAAGUUUGCUUAUCUAUAAAUGUGUUUAAAAGAGAUGAUGCUGAAACCUUGUGCAAUUUUCUUGAUUUCUUGGACAAUUUGCUGAAUCCUUCAAGGUAGGUUAUUCUUCUCAUUAACUACAUCAAUGACCAUUUUUGAUGAAUCCCCUUCUACUUGGAUGUGUGUAACCAUCAAUGACUUGGUAAUAUGUUGCUAACGUUGCAAUCUCACUUCAAAUAUAAAAUAAGAAAUGCAGCAGGUGAUAAGUCAUACAAUCCAACGGAUCCAAUUCGUCUCCCCUCACGAGUGUUGACUAUCAAGAAUCAAACAGAAAAAGAAUUUCCACAGCGGCGGACCCCACCGCCCUCCCUACCACCACCGGUCCACCACCACAGUUUGCACUUCACACAGAAAGACUCGGGUCUCUCUCUCUCUCUCUCUCUCUCUCUCUCAGAAAAUUCGAGAUCCCAUUUCCUCACCAAAACCAUGGCCUUCUCGUCCUUCAGCGCUCGCCGCGGAGGCGCGUGGCCCCACUCGCUCCUCCCCUCCACCACCGCCUCCUCCAAAUCGAAGCACACCCGAAAGCCCCGGCGACGCCUCCUCCUCCGCGACUUCCUCUUCGCCAACUUCUUCACCAUCGGCCUCUCCGUCUCCCUCUUCUUCUUCUUCCUCCUCCUCCUCCGCUACGGCGUCCCGCACCCGAUCACCGCCGGCUUCAAGUACUCCAGGUCCCCGAUCCGCUUCUCCAAGCCGCCACGUAAGCCCGUCGCCCGAAAACCCGGCCAAAACGACGACGUCUCCGGCGCCGCCGUGGACAUCACCACCAAGGAGCUUUACGACAAGAUUGAAUUCUCCGACGUCGACGGCGGGCCGUGGAAGCAAGGAUGGAGAGUCGGUUACAGAGGCGACGAGUGGGACUCUGAGAAGCUGAAGGUGGUUGUGGUGCCGCACUCGCAUAACGAUCCCGGUUGGAAGCUCACGGUGGCUGAGUACUAUGAGAGGCAGUCCAGGCAUAUACUCGACACCAUUGUUGCUACGCUUUCCAAGGUCAGCUACCUGUAAUUUCAGUCAAUUGUGAUUCGUUAGGUUUUCAGAGCUCUAGAGCUUCGAAAUGCAUGCACUAAUUGGUUUAGUUUUCGCUGCUCAAGUCUCCGAUUGUUAAGUUUGUAUGCACUGAUUGGUUCACUUUUUCAUGUUCUAGUUUCGGAUAAGCUCUUUGUGGUAUAAUGUGUCUAAAAUGUGAUUGGUUUUAGUUGGUUUUUGAACUUAAUAAGUUGUGGAGUCUUGGAAGAGUGAACGGAAAGCAUGGUAGAACAAUUUUUUGUGUUUAUAAUUCGGUGCUUCUGUAGGGGAUUGAGUAGAGUGCGUUUUGAAUGUGUAGGAUACUCGGCGCAAGUUUAUAUGGGAAGAGAUGUCGUAUCUGGAAAGGUGGUGGAAAGAUUCCGCUGAUGACAAAAGAGAAUUGUUCACGAAUCUGGUAAAGAAUGGUCAGCUAGAGAUCGUUGGAGGUGGCUGGGUGAUGAAUGAUGAGGUAAUAUCUGUAGACGUUUUGUAGAAGUUUAAUUGAUUUCAAAGCCUAAGGUUCUGUUUAUGCACAUUUACAUUGAGUUGGAGUUUAACCAUGCUCCUAGUGCGUGAAGUGCUUGUGUAACCAAUCCAUAAGUUUGAAGCUUAUCGGUUCCUGUUGUUUAUGCAGGCUAAUUCACAUUACUAUGCCAUAAUUGAACAGGUAUUAUCAGUUCUCUUUUGUAAGUUUACACUAUCUAUAGAAAUGCAUUUGUUCUGCUUAUAUACAUCUUUCGUGUCACUGAAUUGCUGCUUUGAUAUUUGGGUAAUGGAUGGUCAGAUCACAGAAGGAAAUUUGUGGCUGAAUGAAACAGUAGGUGUUAUUCCUAAGAAUUCUUGGGCAAUAGAUCCCUUUGGCUACUCAUCUACCAUGGCAUAUCUUCUGCGCCGUAUGGGUUUUGAAAAUAUGCUCAUUCAGAGAACCCAUUAUGAGCUUAAGAAAGAGCUUGCACUGCACAAGAAUUUGGAGUAUAUUUGGCGUCAGAGCUGGGAUGUGGAUGAAUCUACUGAUAUUUUUGUCCACAUGAUGCCCUUUUAUUCUUAUGAUGUUCCACAUACUUGUGGGCCAGAGCCAGCUAUUUGUUGUCAGUUCGACUUUGCUCGUAUGCGUGGCUUUAUGUAUGAAUUUUGUCCUUGGGGAGAUAAUCCGGUAGAGACCAACCAAGAAAAUGUGCAGGAGCGGGCACUUCUACUACUAGAUCAAUAUAAGAAGAAAUCAACACUAUACAGGACAAAUACACUUCUUAUUCCUCUUGGAGAUGAUUUUCGCUACGUUAGCAUAGAGGAAGCUGAAGCUCAGUUUAGGAAUUAUCAGAUGUUAUUUGAUUAUAUCAAUUCUAAUCCCAGUUUAAAUGCUGAGGCGCAUUUUGGAACUUUGGAGGACUACUUUCGAACCCUUCGUGAGGAGGCUGAAAGAAUAAAUCACACACGUCCUGGGGAAAUUGGUUCCGGUCAGGUUGGAGGUUUUCCUUCUCUUUCGGGUGACUUCUUCACUUAUGCUGAUAGGCAGCAGGACUAUUGGAGUGGUUAUUAUGUAUCAAGGCCUUUCUUCAAGGCUGUUGAUCGAGUACUAGAGCAUACACUUCGUGCCACGGAUAUGAUGAUGGCUUUCCUGCUUGGGUACUGUGGGAGAGCACAAUGUGAAAAGUUGCCCAUCGGGUUUUCUUACAAGCUAGCAGCUGCUAGAAGGAAUUUAGCUCUUUUUCAGCAUCAUGAUGGUGUGACUGGUACCGCUAAAGAUCAUGUUGUCCUGGAUUAUGGGAUGCGGAUGCACACUUCCUUGCAGGACUUGCAGAUUUUCAUGUCUAAAGCUAUUGAGGUGUUGCUUGGAAUACGCCAUGACAAAUAUGAUAUUAACCCUUCUCAGUUUGAGCCAGAACAGGUGAGAUCUAAAUAUGAUGUUCAGCCUGUUCAUAGAGCGAUCAUGGCUCGUGAAGGAACCCGCCAAACAGUAGUCCUUUUCAAUCCCUCGGAGCAGAUAAGAGAAGAGGUUGUGAUGGUUAUUGUUAACCGUCCUGAUGUUACUGUUCUAGACUUGAACUGGACAUGUGUCCCAAGCCAAAUAUCCCCUGAAUUGCAGCAUGAUAAAAGCAAAAUCUUCACUGGAAGGCAUCGUGUCUACUGGCAGGCUUCUGUUCCUGCUCUGGGGUUGCAGACAUAUUAUAUAACUAAUGGAUUUGCUGGAUGUGAAAAGGCGAAGCCAGCAAAAAUUAGAUACUUCUCAAAGUCUGGUUCUUUCUCUUGCCCAACUCCAUAUCCUUGUUCGAAAGUAGAAGCUGAUGUGGCUGAAAUCCAGAACAGGCAUCAGACACUCACUUUUGAUGUCAAUCAUGGUCUAUUGCAGAAAAUAAGCUAUAAAACUGGGACCCAAAAUGUUGUGGGUGAAGAAAUAGCUAUGUAUUCUAGCUGGGGAAGCGGAGCAUAUCUUUUUAAACCUGAUGGCGAUGCGCAGCCUAUCAUUGCAGCAGGUGGGCAGAUGGUGAUCUCUGAGGGACCUUUGGUGCAGGAAGUAUAUUCUUAUCCAAGUACACAAUGGGAGAAGAGCCCCAUUUCUCAUAGCACUCGUCUCUACAACGGAGAAAAUACUGUACAGGAGUUUCUCAUUGAGAAGGAGUAUCAUGUUGAGCUUCUCGACCAGCAGUUUAAUGACAGGGAGUUGAUAGUUAGAUACAAAACAGAUAUUGACAACAAAAGAGUAUUCUUUUCUGAUUUAAAUGGCUUUCAGAUGAGCAGGAGAGAAACCUACAAUAAAAUCCCCCUUCAGGGCAAUUACUACCCUAUGCCUUCUCUUGCAUUCAUGCAGGGAUCCAAUGGUCAGCGGUUUUCUGUUCAUUCCCGGCAGUCAUUGGGUGUGGCAAGCCUUAAAAAUGGAUGGUUGGAGAUUAUGCUUGACCGUCGUUUGGUAAGAGAUGACGGACGUGGUCUUGGACAAGGAGUGAUGGACAACCGUGCGAUGAAUGUAGUCUUCCACAUCCUUGUAGAGGCCAAUAUUUCUUCUGCAUCAAACCCAGUUUCUAACCCAUUGCCAUUAAACCCCUCUCUUCUCUCCCACCGUGUCGGUGCUGACCUGAACUAUCCAUUGCAUGCAUUCGUUUCCAAGAAGCCAGAGGAUUUGUCAGUGCAACCACCCCUGAGAUCAUUCUCACCCUUAGCUGCACCCUUACCGUGUGAUCUGCAUAUUGUAAGUUUAAAGGUUCCCCAACCUUUAAAGUUCUCUCAGCCACCACUUGAAGAUUCUAGAUUUGUCUUAACAUUACAGAGACGAAGUUGGGACUCUUCAUAUUGCCGGAAGGGCAGGUCUAAUUGCACUAGAUUUGCUGAUGAAACUGUGAAUUUGCUCAACAUGUUUCGGGAGCUCACUGUAUCGAAUGGGAGACCAACUUCCUUAAAUCUUCUACAUGAAGACACAGAUAUGCUUGGGUAUCCUGAGCAGUUUGGAGAUGUUGCUGCAGAAGGACAAGUCCUCAUUUCCCCCAUGGAAAUACAGGCUUACAAGAUGGAGUUACAGCCACACCAGUGAGUGUACUAGUAGUGGAUUUCAUUAUGGCAGUCUUCAGGACAAUGCUUCAAUGGGGCUCAUAGCCAAGAGUGAGGAGACGUCACAUGCUUACAAGUUGGAAUUACGGCUACCAUUGAAUGUUUUGAUUUCUCAGAUCCCACUAUUAACAUAAUCAAAAGUGUGGGAUUAUAUGUUUGCUGCAAAGUCUCGGGGGAAAGACAGUAAAUACGAGUGGUGAUACAUCAACUAAUCUACCAUCCAGGUUUAGCUCCUGCUGAGCAAGUUUAUUGGGUUACAUGAACUUGGAAUUCGUUUUGUUGUGAAAUAGCUGUUCCCAAUUUUGCUUCAAGAUAGUCGCUUUCGUGUUUACCAAUAGCAGAGUUUUGAGUUCUGAGUUUUGUUUAGAUCAGUAAAUGGAAAUGUGUCAACUCUGUACUGUUCUAGUUUGAUCUAUGCGCUGUUUGUUGGUCCAAAAUGCAUCCUGUAUUUCACAAUUUUGUAGCAAUCAGAACAGCUGCGACUUUCUAUAAAAAUAUGAUCAUGGAUAUACCACUAGGCGGUAACUUGGUAUAAAUAGUUGUGUUUUGAUUCCCCUAGUAUCAGACAUUGUUCUUCUUGAUCAAUUUAUUUUGUAAUUGAGUUUGUAACAGGAUCAUAGUAAUUAGAAUCCAAAUCGGCAUGAAAGUACUACCAAGAGAUGAUCCCUUCAUCGAGAUAUUUUAGCUAUCAGUUUGUGCAGAUGAAAUUGUAAAACAAAUUUAUACAAAUAUCAAUUGAACCUACGCUUUUUAAGUCACAAAAAUUGGUGUGUUCUUUCUUUACUUGAGGACCGUACUGAUGAAUUAUAUUGCUGAAUAAGAAUGUUGCCUAUAUGUUUCUUGUGGCUAAGAACGAUGUUGUUAUUAGUUAGCAACAACAAUCAGGAGUAAUGGAGAGUAAAUGAUUUUGUGUCGAAGGGCUUCAUCAAAACAGAAGACGAGAUGCCUAGUCAAGCCAAAGUCAUUUGGAAUUCGUUAUGUCAUGUCUUCUUACAUACGCACAAUAUCAAGUGAAGGUACGCUUAUUGGUCACAAAAAUUGGUCCUCUUUCUUUACGGGAGGAUUGUAUUGCCGAAUAAAGAAUGUUGCCUAUAUGUUCCUCGUUGCUCAAUUAUACAAUAUCAUUUGUCCCACAAAAAACAAAUUAUACAACACAGAUGUUAGCCAAAAUUAUUCAAGAAGUGGAUGUAGGGGUGCAAACAGAACUAAGGAGGCAUUUGCAAUCUCUCUCUCAACCUCUACAAAAUGAUCUCCUCUUGUACACUAACGUUAAGAGUCUUGUGUGGGAGAACAAUGCUGUUAAUCACCACAACUUCGUCUUCAACAGUUACUGCUUCUCCUGCCAAAAGAAAAGGAGAGCUCAUAUGAGAAAUCUUCAUUAAACUGCACAUCAUCAUAGAAAGUAAAUAUAAGAAACCAAGAAUGCAUACCAAGGAUGGUAAUUCCAAGCUUUGCAUUGAAGUCUCCUUCGGCCUGAACCAUUCAAUUUAGUUAGCAACAAUAAUCAGGAGUAUUCAAGACUAACUCAUAAGAAGUUAAUAACUCAAGAAAAACUGUAAGCUACUAAUCUCAUUCAAUAAGCUUUACUAAAUUUAUAUUUUAAUUAUCUCAUUCAUGACUGGCUUCAGCUUUUAUGUCCUGGAAAUAAGCUUUUGGUUAUCUGGGAUUUCUCUUUUCAAGAUGUUUCCUUAGCAUAUAGUUGAGAGAUGAUCUCCCUUAAGUUCACAUCUAACCGCCUUUUAUUAUGCCACGAUGCAACUACUUGACUAGACUUGCCUGCACACGCGACCAUUUCCCAAUAGUUGACUUCCAUCCAACAAUAGAAUGUAUAACAACUGCAUUUUCCUGUCAUAAAAAAGUAAAAAGUAAAAUAAAAUAUAAAAAACCUUUUAGUUUUAAAUAUUGAUUGAAACACCAACAUCAAAUUGUGAAGUUCUAAAAUAUCAAUGGGCACAGCUUCAAUACCUUAAUUUCCACAUCAUCCAAGACGAUGCAACUUAUAAGUCUUACUCCUGCACCUAUCCGAACAUUUGCCGAAAGAGAUACAUUGGGACCAAUCUGUGCACAAAAGCGAAUCACACUUCAGAAGGAAAUGUCGCAGAAUUAAAGUGGUAGUAUCAGUAAAAAGUUGCUGUAUGCAUCCUGCCCAGCCCUACUUUAUCUAACAUGUGCCUGUGCAACUGUAAACAAGGACAGCACAAAUUGGGUAUGCCAUAAACACAAUACAAAGACAUGACAUGGAAGUGGCACUACCUUAGCACUAGGAUGUACUUUUGCCGAUGGAUGAAUAUAAACAUCACCAACAAUUGUCGCAUUCUUGAUUCCAUCUCCACUAGCUAAAAGAUGUGAAGAGGUGAAUCGAAAUUGAUAAAGAUACAAAGACGAACACUUCAAUGCCAUCCUGUAAUGUAAAACAACAAUUAUUAUGAACUAACAAUGGUAAUAAGUUAUAGAAAGGAACAACAAUCAAGUCAUAAGGUAACAGGCUCUACCCUGGAGUCUUGAUCUGUUCCCAGAAAUCCAUGGUCUCAUAAGUAUAUAACUGCUUCUUUCCAGCAAGAGGUGACAAAAUAUCUUGAUCCAAUCUGACAAAAUCUGUAGGAAGAUUCCUGUUGAAGAAAAUGUAUAUUAGAUCAAAACAGACACAAGGAAAGGCCAUUGAUAAUCAAAAGAUAUGGAAAGUAAAAAUACCAUAGCAUUGUGAUUGUUUUGUGAGUGUGCAUCAAAAUAUGUCCACAUCAUGAUGAUACACACAUUGCAGUGACAACAUUCAAUAAUAAAUAUAUGUUGUAAUGCUUUCAUGCCACAAGAGUUGAAAUUCCAGGGGAUUACAAAGAAGGUAGUUAAUUAUGGAAACUUAAACAAAAAGAUGUCAACUCAUAAACAGGUUGUUAAUUAGAUACUACCUGGGAACCAUGUUUUGCACCACACAAUAGGGAAACAGUUCUUCUAUGGUAACCUGGUAUAAGUUCGACAUUUAAACUUAAUAAGUAAGAAACCAGGAGAAGGCGAACCUUGUAGCAGACUGAAGGGCUUCAAAGCUGGAAAUACGGCGUAAAUUGGCUGAAACGGACAAAAUAAUGUCACUGUCAGAAAGGUGGAGACAGUUUAUUGCAUAUGGCAGACUGAAUUAAACAAUCAGGUGUGGAACAAAGUCAAUGAUUGCAAGCACUAUCACCAAUUCAUUAGACCACGUAGAUCUUAUAUGACAUAUGAUGCAGACAAAGCAAAAACUUUGCUGUUUCAUUGCAUCUUACCGAACAGAUUAACUUAUCAAAGCUACAAACAGAACCUGUAUCAGUCACAUGGCUGUUUAAUUUGAAUCAUGAUUCAAGCUUCAACACAUUAUUGAUUUAUUCAAUGGAGGUUCCAUAUUUGCAACUAAAAUACAUCAAACAGAACUUACAAUCAAAUAAUCUUUAACAGGUGCUACUACCUAUUGAAAUAUUUCAUAUAACGGCAAAGAUAUAUGCAAAGAAAACACCAAGAACAAGUAUUUCAUAUAAUAGCAGUAGUGACUCAGUUCUACGGAUGCAAUACAGGGUGAGGCCAAGAUUGUUUCUAGUCAUCACAAACCAAAAAAAAAUUAAGAUUACUUGAGCUGGAGAUUAACUCAAGGUAAAAACUAGCCAACAGCCAAAUUGAACAUGUACUAACAAAGACCAACCUCUGCCUUCCCGGUGACUGGAGACAUCUUCAAUGGCAUUAAAGACUUCAGGGGUGAAUACAUAAACACCACAGUUUAUCAAAUCACUCACCUGCAUUUCCAAAAAUAGUCAAGGCUUAGAAAUUGUGGCUGGGUACAAGCAACUGUAAUUAAGGUCAUCAAAGCACCAAUAAAAUGAAUAACAUCAGAAAACUAACUGAACUAUAUACAUACAAAAGUCUCUGGUUUCUCGGUGUAAUGCAACAGUUCUUUGGUGAUCGGAUCGGCAACCAACUCACCAAACUCGUUGGCAGAUUCAGCAGAAACCUGCAGAUACAGCCCAAAAAAGAGAGAGGAAAGAAUAACAUCACCAAAGGCAAAGUAGAAGAAAUUCAAUAGGGAUAGAAACCAGCUUGUCAAGACACCAACCUUGAUCACCAGCAUUGUACCCAUUCCACCAUAUCUUACAUGAGCCUCUGCAAAAUCAAACAUCAUCCGCAAGCAGCAUUAUGAAUUACUCCUUCCAAGUCAUCAUCCAUAACUCUAACCAACAACAAUUCCAUUAUAACCAACAAUAUAUCGCAAACCAAACAUACCAAGCAUAUCUGCAAGCGGAAAGCUGCAGCAUACAUCACAAUUCAGCAAAAAGAUAUGCGACUGCCAAACAAACACAAUACACAUGUGAUCACAACAUUAUCUCACACACAAGACUACUAUCAAACAAGAGUUAAGCAGAGAAGCGAUACCGGGCUGUCUUCCAUGAUCAAAUCUCUGAAGUAAUAAAUCCCACCAGCUGAGCCAUGUGGUUUAUCCUCUUUCAAGUACCUCACCGGCACUUUAAGCUCAUUCGAAAUCGAAGAAACAUAGAGUGCAAAUUCACGCUCCUCAUAAAACCCAAUCAGAAAAAUCUGAGCCAAAUUGGGUAUCUACAACACAACACCAAACAUUCUAAACAAUUCACACCCCUUAACCAAUAAUGCUUGCAAAAUCAAAAUCCCAAUAAGAAAACAAAAAAACAAACCUUUUUACAAGCUGAGAUUGGAUGAUGAACCAUGGCUUGCCCGGCCAACGGGAAAAGCGGCUUCGGCGUGUUGAACGAUAGAGGCCGGAAUCUAGUACCUGACCGGAAAAAUCAAUAAAGCUCAGAAAAGGUUGAGAAAGAUUGAAACUUUGAUGAAAUUGGAGGAAAUUGAGAUGACCCAGGUACCUUUAGUGGGGCCUCCGACCAUGAUUACGGCGACGACCUUCUCUCCUGAGCUGUCCAUGCCGGAAAUGGAAACCCUAGAUCUUGAGCUUAGGAGAAGAAAGUGGAAGUGAGUUGGGAUUGGGAUGGAAGCAAAGUGUUUGAGUUGAAGGUGGAGACUUGGAAGAGAAGUGAGUUGUGUUCGAGUGUCCAAACUCCGAGGAGGUUUUAAAUAUCUGUUAUGACUUUGAUGCAGGGGGAUCCCGAGAGAGAAUAUUAUUUGAACCACCAAAGGUAUUGACCAAACGACGUCGGAAGGCUCACGUUGUGUUUACGUAAAGAUUUUGGAAAGUUGAUUUUUUUUUUUUUUUGGAGAGAAUAUUGGAGUUUGAUCAAGAAAUAAUUUCCACUUGGUUAGGAAAGAGACGCCGUUAUGAGAGGUAACAAGAUUCAUAAGGUUGUUGGAGGCUUGAAGCCUCAGUCAUUUGAGUGUUUAGUGUAGAUCUUCCGGGAAACCACUCUGAUCUUCAGGGAAGCCUCAGUCAUUUGAGUGUUUAUUUGUUGGAGGUUGUUUAGUAAUUUGGGCUGUGGACGAAGGCGUUGCCCUGGACCCUGGUAUUCAACUAGGCCUAACGGUUGUCAAGUCAGUGCUGGCACAAUUGUGCAUUGUUUUGAUUGGGAACUUCCGGAUAACAUGUCACCAAAUGAUUUGGAUAUGACAGAGGAGUAUGGAAUUACGGUUCCAAGGGCCAAGCAUCUAUUGGCUAUUCCAUCAUAUCGCCUUUGCAAGUGAUCACAAUUUGUAUGUAACGCAUUUUCGUGGUAUUAUCUUGUUGUUCUGGUUUUCUAUUCUAUGUGACCACUGUUGUAGCAUAUCUUGUGUUUGCUUUUCUUUUGUAUAAGGGAAACCAGUCAUGUAACAAUAUGCUGUAAUUCAGUUAAAUUUAGGCUGGCUGUUUUCUCCUUUGUUGAUGGUAUUAAUGGUUAUGUUUUGACUUUUGAGGUUUGCUGAGUAUUUUCUUCCAUUGUGAUUUGGUUUACUUAAUUGAUUCUUGAAACUGUUAUCCAGAAUAAUGGGUUUUUUUUUGGCCAUAUGUAGUGAGGGAAAAUGUGCAAGUGCAAUUUGGUGUGAGCAGGCUGUCUAGUGGUCUGGGACACUUUAUUUGCCAGUAGAGAGGUGAUUCUUCCAUUAGUGUUGUUGCUUUUACUAUUUUACAUCAAUUUAUUUUUACAGUUUUUAAAUUUAUUUCUGAUUCAGAAAUACCAAAAGGUUAAGUUGAGAGUUCAGUAGAAGUAUGUGACGUGAGUCUUUUCAAUAAUGUAUAUAUGCAUGACUUUAUAACUCCAUUCUAGAAAUAUAUAUUGAAGAUUUAUAUAAUCAUUACCAUUAGGUUGUAGUGUUUUACACUUGACAGUAGUCAUUUACUGCCGGAAUAAUUUGACAAUAAGUUUGGAUGUGUGUGAUAUCCCUGUCUAUGUAUCCCCGUCCUGCUAUCCUCAUACCUCCUGAUGAUUUCUUUGGAAUAUAACUUUGCUUGGAAUGGUGGUGGUGCUUUGGUUGCUUUAGCUUUGCUUUUCGUUGGGCUUUCUUUUCCUUUUUGAUCCUUUGGCUUUAGGCCAAUGUUCAUACCACACUAAGGAUAAUAUUAGUCAUCAAGUUAGUUAAAGAAUAUGCCAAGGGUGGACACUUGGUUUACCAGACUUCAAAUAGAAACAGAAAAGAUUUCACAUAUAUAUCUAGUGCUCACAAAAAAAAAAAUCAUACUAAAAAAUAAACACAAACCAGACGCUGCUGGUUCUGUUGUUCUCUUUUGUCAAAGAUCGGAAUUAUGGCUGAAGGUGUUGUCGCAAUUGUGACCGAAGGGAUCAAGCCCCUCGGAGAGCUCAUCAAUUUAGCAAAUUCUUGUGUGGAGUCGGCAACCAAAUUGAGCUUGCACAGAAUGAGCUGCACUUGAUCCGGGGAUUUCUAAAAGACGCAGAUACGAGGCAACAAGAUGAAGAACAAGUACGCAUUUCUGUUAAGCUUAGGAUAGGUUUUGUGUGGAAGGAAAGAUGUGAAAUUCUGGCUUAGGAAACAGUGAAAAUUGGAUACCGAUGAUUUGCUUCCAAAGUUGAGGAGCCCAGUAAGAUCACAAUAUCUUUGAACAAUGGAAAAACAGAUAGAUUCCCUCUGUAAGCUAGCUAUGGCGAAAGUGACUAGUUGGGGCCGCGAUAAUCAUAAUAGCAAAAGGAAAAGUACCACUCACAUGGUAGGGUACACCUUUCGGCCUUAUCGAUCACAAUGUCGGAUAUUGCAUUAUUGGAGGUAGCUACUAGCUACUGUAAAGAAUCUUUGCAUAAAGAAGAACUUUGGUUUGGUUUCCCAUACACCCGUAGAAACAUCAAGUUCACCAAUUUGAGAGGAUCAGAGAUAUGGCUGAAGGUGUUGUCGCAAUUGUGACCGAAGGGAUCAAGCCCCUCGGAGAGUUCAUCAUUCAGCAAGCGAAAUUCUUGAGUGGUGUCGGCUACCAAAUUGAGCUUGCGCAGAUUGAGCUACAUUUGAUCCGGGGAUUUCUAAAAGACGCAGAUACGAGGCAACAAGAUGAAGAACUAGUACGCAUUUGUGUUAAGCUUAUCAGAGAUGCUGCUUAUGACUUGGAGGAUGUCAUUGAAUCUUUCGCCUUGAAGGUGGCUAUCAGAAGUAGAGGUGGUACUGUGAAGAUGGUUCUCAAAAGGUUUGCCUGCAUCUUCAACGAAGGAGUUCAUCGAUACAAGAUUGGGUUCGAAAUUGAGGAUAUUAUGUCUAAACUUUCUCAUCUAAGGUCGAGUUUGCAAAGUUACAACAUACGGCAGACAAGCGGUAGUGAAAGUGUUGCUUCAGCUUUUAAGAGGCAACGAGAUCGAAGGCUAACUUAUGGACAUGAAGUUGAAAGUCAUAUUGUUGGGUUGGAGGAAAACACUGAUAAGCUGGUGAAGGAGUUGGUGAGAGAAGGAAAGCGUCACCGUAUUGUGUCUAUUUGGGGGAUGGGCGGCUCUGGAAAAACCACUCUUGCAAAACAGGUUUUUCAUCAAGAUGAAGUUAAGCGUCAUUUUCAUUGUUUUGCUUGGGUCUGUGUAUCUCAACAAUGUGAAGGAAGGGAUGUUUUGGAAGAGAUUUUGAUUGAACUCACUUCCCCAACAACAGAGAAAAGGAAAGAAAUUUCCAAAAUGAAAAAGGAUGAAAUAGCACGGGAGGUCUGUUGUAUCCAAAGAGAAAAGAGAUGUCUGGUGGUCCUUGAUGACAUAUGGACUCUAGAGGCUUGGAAUUCGAUAAAAGCUGGCUUCCCAAUCAAUGAGGAAACAGAGAGCCGGAUACUACUUACCAGUCGCAAGAAAGAAGUUGCCUCGCUUGCAUCUGGAGCUGAUCAUCGCCACCAACCUCGACCUCUUGACGAAAAACAAAGCUGGGAACUAUUUGAAAAGAUUGCGUUAUCUGGAAGAGAUGAAACAGGUAUGUCUAUUUUCUUUUUUUGCACCAAACUAUACUUCUAUCUAUACAUUUCUAGCUUAAGGUAGACAGUUUUUUGUUACAUCAAUAUAGCACCUGUCAAUCUAUAUCUUUCCCUUACUGAGUCAUGAGGAUACUUGUUUUAAUUAUGCUGAUAAACUAACAAGCAAAACAAUAAGCAACUAAAAUAAUGAUUUGAUUUCUUUCCCAGAAUAUGCAAAUAAAAGAGAAUUAGGACAGAAGAUGCUUGAGCAUUGCUCAGGUUUGCCAUUAGCUAUCCGUGUGCUCGCUGGUCUUCUAAGUAGACGAGAUAAAGUUGAGGAGUGGCAAGCAGUUCUUAGAAAUGUUGAUAAGUACAUAAUGAGAGGCACAACUGUCCUUGAAAGAGAAAUCUCAGGUCAGGAGUAUGGUGUGUCGUGUGUCUUGGCAUUGAGUUAUGAUGAUUUACCAUCUCAGUUAAAACUCUGCUUUCUAUACUUGGCCCAGUUUCCUGAGGAUCAUGAGAUACCGGUCAAAAGAUUGACCCAAUUAUGGAUUGCAGAAGGGUUUAUAACUUCAACAAUAGAUUUACAUGGUUCAUUGGAAAUAAUGGAAGAUGUAGCAUAUGAUUGUCUCACUGAACUGGUGGAAAGAUCUAUGGUUCAAGUUGUAAAUUAUGGUUCAAGUGGGAAGGUGAAAACUUGUCGUCUCCAUGAUCUUAUGCGAGACUUGUGCUUGCAAAAGGCAAAAGAGGAGGACUUCCUCGAUGUUGUUGACUUUUCUACGGGUCGAAGACUAACUGGUAAUAAGGUUCGAAGACUAGUCCUUUAUCUGGACAACAAAUCUGAAUGUGAGUUCAGCGGUAAGGAUGGAAGAAAUGGCCACAUUAGGUCUCUAUUAUACUUUAACCCCACAUACUUCGGACAAAAGCGGAGCAAAAGAAUUAUAAGAUCAGUAUUCAACGACUUCAGAUUGCUUAGAGUCUUGAAGUUUGAAAAUAUGGGUACAGAAUAUGAGUUACCGAAGACGAUUGGGAACCUAGUCCACUUGAGGUUUCUAAGUCUGAGGAGGAGCGCAUUUCGUGCGUUGCCGUCAUCUGUAUAUAAGCUGAUACUUUUGCAGACUCUAGAUCUGCGUGGCUCUCGUUAUGAGAUCAAAAUCACAAAUGUAUUUUUGAAUAUGGAGCAACUGAGGCAUUUAUAUUUACCUGUGAAGCACACUGUAAGCGGUCGGAAACUGUCAUUUGCAAAGCUGUGCAAUUUGCAGACGUUGGUCAAUGUUAGAAUUGAAAAUUGUAAUUUGAACGAUCUUGUUCGGCUACCCAAUCUGAAAAAAUUAGUCGUAAUUGCAUCACGAUCUAGUCAGUUGGAAAAGUUGAAAGAAAUGUUGGUAUCAGAAAGUAUAACAUAUGAGCAUCUUCGGUCGCUAUCUCUGACGGAAGACCAAAAUAGUACUGAGGAGGAUAUACAUAUACCAAUAGACAUAGUAUUAAGGUGUCCUCAUUUAUACAAGCUGCGACUGGGAGGGAAAAUGUCAGAGUUACCGGAACAGCUCCGGGGCUAUCCAGACCUCACCAAGAUAACACUGUAUAGUACAGAACUGAAGGGUGACCAGAUAGAAAUACUGGAGAAGCUGCCAAAGUUAAGGGUGCUUUACCUUGAUUACAUGUCUUUCGAGUCAGAAACAAUGGUUUUCUCCCAAGGAGGCUUUCCUCAUCUGGAAUUUCUUACCCUUUGUUAUUUGUACGAUCUCAAGGAGUGGAGGGUGGAGAAAGAAGCCAUGCCUCUUCUUCACAGAUUGAGCAUUACCUUGUGCCCGAAAUUGCGGGCAAUUCCAGAUGGGCUUCAGGAUGUUACUACCCUCAAGGAAUUAACGAUUAACGGGAUGCCCAGAAGAUUCUGCAGUAGGGUUGACGAAGGAGGAGAGGAUUUCUACAAAAUCAAACAUGUGCCUUCUCUUAUUAUCACAAAUAUCGAACCAGAAAUGGAGGAAGCUGCAGGGGCGUCUCAAGUGGUAGCGGGUCCAGCCGGUGACUCUCAUCAGGAAUCAACUGCGGACGGUACGUCACUAAAUGACUCAAUCAUAUCUUAACCAUUUACAUUUAUUUUCAUCAAAUCCUCAAAUCGUAUGAUAGCGGUAUGUGAUUAACAUAUUCCUGCUUGUAAAUCUUGAUUAUGAGCAGCUCCUCCUCCACCUGCUGAUGAAAAAACAGAGGAAAUACAAGCUUCUUCCACUUCUAACCUCCCUUGUCAAUAAAUCCACAAGCCGCUGCUUUCUCAAUAUUUAUUCGCAACUUCAGCCACACUGUACAGGUAUGGCUCUUUCUUCUAGAUUAUGUUUUCGUUUGAAUUUGAUUUUUUACUGUAUAAUUACUAUACUUAAAGGUUUUGGUCUGGAGUGACUUGUUUACUUGUAAUAUCAGGUUCACUUUUCAUGCUGAAACUUUGUACUGAACUGUUUACUGCCGUGGUUAGGCAUAUACAUUACGCUGAAUGUCUGGGUUUUAACUUGUUAAAUUUUGUGUGUGAAGGAAGUUGAAAGUUUCUGACGACAAAGCCUACGUAUAAAGUUGGAAGUCUGCGACGACGAAGCUUUCACAUACUCACGCCUAAGCGAGACUAAUGGACAACACCAUUCUCUUUCAAAUAGGGCUAAUGAACAAAUUCAUGCAAAUAAGAUGAAAGUACAUGUAUGUGAUAGCGAGGCUAAGCUUAUUGAAAAAAAUUGCGUUUCACUUCAAAUGAGGUGCAAAACCACAGAGGAAUUUGUAUAUUGAUUGCAAGUAGUUACAUAUCCAAUAAGAUUAUCACCCUUUCAAUGUUUCUUCAUGUUUCUUUACAUGUCAGCAAAAUUACAUACAACCAGAAAGAAAUAUGCAUUGCUGAUCAAGGAGAAAAAUAUUUGUAUCAAAAACCUGAGAAGUAUGUUUGACAAAAUCUAUCUCGUUCUGUUGAGCCCUCUUCGGAGCUUCAAGAUGUAUCCCAAGAAAUUCAAGGACACUGCUAUAAGCACUGCAGAACCCAGAAGUAACUACCAACAGCUACUUGAAGUAGUUUAUCAACCAAUUUUAAGUAAUCUCUUUGAACACACAAUAAACAGGUGAGGAUAGAGAUCAGAAGUUAUAGUGCUAUCACUCGACACAUUCCAACUGCACUGUUAAAUCCUUGAUUCCAGCAUCAUGUAACAAGUGUGAUACCUGAGCUUUUGCAGAACCUUUGUCAAUUUCCGUAGAAACAUGAAGAUGGAGCGUACCCACUACAUCUGAGUUUGUGAAACUCCACACAUGCAAGUUUUGAAUACCAGAAACCCCCCUUAUCUUCCUAACAUCAUUAAGAGCUUUUCUCAAAUCCUGCUCGUGUGCCCUGGGAAUUCUUUGGAGCAAGACUUCUGCAGAGUUUCUGAGCAAUGGGAUAACAGAAGAUAUAAUCAAGACUGAAAUGAAUAUCGAGCAGGCAGGAUCAGCGACAAGCCAUCCCUUGUACCUAAUUAAGAGCGUUGAUAUAACAACUCCAACACUUCCCAAAGUGUCAGCCAAAACAUGCAGAAAUAUUCCUUCCAUAUUGUGGUCAAUGUGGUGAUGUUGAUGCUUGAUUGAUUUUUCUGGCAGUAUAUUCAGCUCGGAACCACCAUGCUGGUGACUCUGGCCAUGGUGGCCAUGGCCGUGGUGGUCGUUCUUGUGGUUUUGAGCAUGGUGGUCAUGCUGGUGACUGUGGUCAUGGUGGUCGUGCUGGUGGCUGUGGUCGUGGUGGUUGUGCUGGUGGCUGUGGUCGUGGUGGUCAUGCUGGUGACUGUGGUCGUGGUGGUCAUGCUGGUGGCUGUGAUCGUGGUGGUCAUGCUGGUGGCUGUGGUUGUGGUGGUCGUGCAGAUGAUCUUUGCAGCCAACAGAAUUACCAUGUUGGUGAUCGCUGUCACACGAUUCUUCAGCGCAUUCUUGAGAAAUGGCUAUACACUCCUCAAGCUUUUCAUGACCUUCAUGAUUAUGUGCAACAGACUUCUGCGAAUGUUGAUGAUUUUGGGAGUGCGAGCAUGAUCCAGAUCCACCAUGGGCAUGAUGAUGCUCCUCAUGAAAGAAGAUCAAGCCGACCACAUUGACAAGAAGCCCUCCAAUCGAAACAACUAGUAAACUGCUAGUUGACAUCUCUUGAGGGUCCAAAAUCCUCUCGAGUGAUUCCAACACUAUCAGUGCGCCAACCAAAACCAGGAAAACAGCAUUUGUAUAUCCUGCAAGAACCUCAAAUCUCCCACAGCCAUAAUUAAACUGAUUAUUUGCAGGCAAACGUGAAAUAUACGAAGCAUAUAACCCAAUUGCCAGAGCAGCACAAUCAAACAACAUGUGACAGGCAUCUGAUAUCAGCCCCAGACUAUUGCUCAAGAACCCAGCAAUGAACUCCACAAACAUGUACGCAGUAUUGAUCAGAAGGAAAAGUGCAAUCUUCCGAGACUUCCUCUCACUCAAAAUAUGCCUAACAGGCUUCAUAACAGAUGCACUAAAUGACUCGGACGACUCCAUUCCCAGUUCAAGAUAACUCGUAUCAAAAGGAUCCAACUCCCUAACAGCAAUGUAAAGCAACAUACCACAAAGCAACAGUCCCCAGAGUGACAACUCGGCAAAAUAGAACAGCUCCAAUACAACAGUACACAAAAACGUCACCAAAUACUCCCUCCGAAAAUCUUUCGAACUCACGGACUUCUCAUCACUAUAACCCUCACUCAAAAGCACACCGAAAACAACAGUGUUUGCCAGAGGCCAGCCCAAGUUCCCAAUCGAAACUCCAUCCCCCUCAGCUUCAUACACGAAAACACUAACAACAGCAGGAAUAAACAACACAACAGUAGUAAAAAACAACGAAAUCACACGAACCCUCUUCCUCCCCAACUGCCUAAUACUCCCCCAAUUCAUCGAAACCCUCUCGUAACACCCCAAAAAUCCACACAAAAACGGAAGCAGCAUUGGCCAAAACCUCACGCAAUUCUUCACUCCCAAUUUCGGCGCCGAAAACGGGAAGCAUUCAAUCCGAUCCCAGCUCAUAGACAACAAGAACAGCCCAGUAACAAGAGCAAGAAACCCACGAACCUUGGAAGAAGACCGAUUCCGAUCACCACCGCCGUUACUCUGCUUACUCCCCUCGGCCAAGAACCGAGCCGCCACAUUUCCAGACAUCUCGGCGAGGAUCAUGGCGGCGGCGCCGCAGUAGCGGAGAGCUUGGAAGCGGAGGAGGAAGACUCCGGCGAGGAGAAUCGAUUUCAAGACAAGGAGUCUGUGCUGGGAUUGAGUGAUAUGAGUGAGUGAGAAGAUGGGCUGGUUGUUGCUGGGCUUGUUGUGAAACGGGUCCUUGGAGGCGGCGGAGGAGGAGGUGAAGAGAGAGAAGGCUAGGGUUAGGAGGAAGGAGAGGAGAGAGACGAGGAAGGAGAAAGGGAAGAGAGAGAAAGAAGGGGAGGAGCGGAGGAAGGGGAGGAGGGAGUAGAGUGAUCGGAGGGAGAGGAGGAGGAGGAAGAGGAAGGAGAGAGAGGAUUUACUUGCGGCGGAGGAGGAGAGGGGUUUGGGGUUGAGAGAGGAGAGGCGGUGUUUGGAGGGAGUGGCGGAGGAGGGGGUGAAAGGGUAAAGUGGGUAUUGGCGGGAAGUGGUGGGAGUGGUGGAGGCGAAAGUGGUGGGGGUGGUGGGGCGUUGAGGGAGGGAGAGGCGGUGGGGGCGGUGGUGGUGGUGGUGGUGAUCGGCCAUUUUGGGAUUUUGGUGGUGUUUGAGAUUUGGAGAGCUAGCUGCUUCGACGUUUGAGAAUUUUCAAAGUCAGUGAAAGAUCCGAAUGAGGGGGUCAGGGACCCGGAUUUGGGUCCGAAGGGGGGAGACUUUUGACGGCGGACUGGCGGAGUCUAUGGUCAACGUUUUCUAGAGUGUUGGAGACUUGAGGGUCUUUGGCUUGUGGUUUGGGUCAGGUCUGGGACGGGUAGGGACGGUUCAGUAACCGGCAUGUACCGAUCUUGAUACAAUGAUAUCGAUGGUGCAAUCAGGUUUGGCCGUUUGGGUCGGUUUGAGAAGUGAAACUUCGGGCAUUAGUACCAAACUGUCUUGAUCCUGAUCGAUUCAUGACAGUUUGGACCAAUCAUAUACUCUCAAUUUAAACUUUGAACUUAAGUACGUUGUUUUGCAUGUGUUUUCAUAUAUAAAUUUAUAAGUUUAUAAGUAACUUAACUGUGUAAACUGUAAAUAGAGAGAAUGAAAGCAAAGUAAGAACUUAGAGACAUGAUGAAAACUCUAAAUUAUAUGACUUAAGAAAUUAGGAAAUUUCUCAAUUACGUCACUAAAAACUUCAAAGGUCUCACACUGAUACUAUGAGAUGGUUCGAAUCCUUAGAGAUUUAGAGAUUAAGAAUGUAAGAGGUUUUGAUGAUGAUUGAGAGAAUGAGAAUGAGAGGUUGUGAGGCUUCGAUCGAUGAUUGAAAGAGGCUUGGAUUCAUUUUUAUAAAGGGUUUCGAGACUCAAAUGCAGGUUGAUGUUGUUUUAGGGUUUGAGAACGCGAACCAAAAUUCUUGUUUUGGGGUUGAUUAUGACGACAGGUCGUGCAAGCCUUUUAAGUGAUUUGUUGAAUCAUGUCGAGUCGGUUAACUCAGUAUAUAUUUGAGUCAUACUAAUUCUGACAUGUUACAUACUUCGGGAUUCACUUUAUUUUGGGACAACUGAAAGUUGAACUUGAAUACUGACCCACUCGGUUUUGGGUCGGGUUAGUCGGUAUCAAGGUUGGUUUAUCAGUUUUGAAUCCUUAGCCCUAGUUUGGGCAGAUUGGGAAAUUGAAAAGAAUUCACUAUUGGUCUAAUUGGUUCUUAUUGAAGACUAAGUUUGGGCCUGGUUCGUUGUUUUGGGGAUUUGUUUUGGACUGUAGAAAGUGCAUAAUUGGCUAAAUGAGAACCUUUGAUUGCCACACACUACUCAUGUUGAUGUUGAUGAGAAGUAGAGGGCUAAAUCUGAUUUUGAAGAAGUUAAUUCUUGUUUGAAGAACUUGAGCAUCGAUAUGGUCUCCUCGUUCACAAGCUUAAGAAGAAGUCGGGUUAGGGACACUCCCCGAUCACAAUGCACCGCAUCAGCAAAUUAAAGACAGUUUGCUAGCUAGGCCAAAUAUCCGAAAGCGAACGAUUGAAGUAUUCGGGGCUGUGGAGGAGGGGACUAGGAUGAAGGACUACUGAAGGGUAUAUGAAGGUUGAACCACGUAUAUUAAGAAUAGCACCGUCUAAUCUGGGUUGCCAAAGGAGAUUGCAUUUCAGAAAAACUAUGAUUCCUUUCUAAAACCUAGCCUUUGGUGUUCUAUAUAUCAGUGCGCGCAGAUUCUGCUGCCCGGUUUCUCAUACAUCAUCAUGAUUCAUGAAUGCAUGUACAUUCAGUUUUCUGAGUCGGCCGGCCAUAACCUGUAUGUUCAUAAAUAAAAGCCAUAGAAGAUGGGGAACGAAAACACAAACACACAUCAGUUUUUCCAGUGCAUGUCAAUUUAAUUUGAUUGACGUAAAGUCGUAAAAAAUAUAAUGUCGACAUGCAUAUCUCUCUUUUGCUUGACGUAAAGGAAACGUAGAGUAAUUAAAAUGAGAUAUGUGAUCAAAAGUUGGUCUUUCUUUUUUAUUUGGCAUCAAAAGCUAGAUCAUGGAUUCAUGAUUGAAAGCGAGCAAGGCACUAUAAUCAGCUAUUAUUGUUUAUAUCACAACUUGACGUACGUAACUUGAAUUAUCUUGUUCCAUAAAAAGAAAACUCGAAUUAUCUUAUCUUGAGCAAUGGAAAUUAGACAAAGUUCGUUAAUGUUUGUAAAAGGAAAAAUAGACAAAGCAGAUGUGUACUUCCAGAUAUCUAAAAUAAUGCAUGUCCUUCCUCCCUCAUGUAACAUGCAUCUGCAUUCUAGCUCUUUAACACAAAAGAAUAAGAAUAAUAUAUGCAGGAAAGCUUAAUCAUAAUUCUUCAGGCCUAUAUCAAAGAAUUUCUUGCUUCCCACUUACGGUGGACUCGGACAAGAACCAUCGACUGAUCGACCACUAGAUAUCCAGUUCUGAAAUUUCAAGAAAUCAUCACCGAACUGCCUCAUUGACGCCUUAACCAUAUUACCAUCGGUUCGACAAAGCAGAAUGAUCGACCAGAGAAUUAAAGAAGUGAAGUUAGGAAUGUUGCUAAUUUGCUAUGAACUACUGUCGGCGAAAAUGGAAAACAUUUCUUUCAUGCAGCCUCCUCCUGCCCAUGCAUAAUCAUUCUUAGAACAACUUCAUUUAUGUCUGUCUAUUCGAUCUAGAAGAUUUUAAAACCAACAUACAAUAUGCACGACUAGGUCUAAACCAAACCGGACCAAAGCCAUGACAUCGGAGAUAAGUUUCAUAAGCUAAGCUAAACUAAAGUACUAUAGUUAGAUUGUUUUGUGCAUGAAUAUCCAAGCAAGUGUGCGCACUCAUGUCUCUCGAUGUUGCUUGCAUACGUGUGUCAACUCAACAAUAUAAACCCACACAGAGCUAGCUAUAAUGACUUCUGGGUACCAAAGACCCGCUAGCCGACCCCAACUCGAUCUACAAUUUCAAGAUUAAGAUUCUACAAAUUGGUGUUCUAUAAUGACUCCCAUUCGAUGGCUCCAAUUAAUGAAGAACAAUAAAAGUAGGACAAUAGUAACAACACUAAUUCAUGUCUGCCUAAAUUAUGAUGAAGAACUCGUGCACUACUCGAUCGAUAAAUAUCUAGGCCUAAAAGAUCCGUCAUAUGUCGUUUACUGUUAACUGACAACCUAGCCCCCCAAAGUUAUUUCACUUCACUUCUACAAAUCACUAAAUGUUAAUCCAUAACCAUAAAGAAACUAAGUGCUAUCCAUCACAGGAAACAACUCACCGCCAAAUGAUCACCACAUAUAUGUUCCAUUAACUCCUAGACUGAAUAUACAGACCAACCCAUGCCACUUAUCCUCGUCACCCAGCACUGCAACUCUUUCCCAGUUUUUUCUCCAUCCAGCUUUGCCCUAAUUUGCCAUGUGUUCUACUUGAGCUAGCUGUGUGCUAACUGUGUGUGAGGAUGAUGUCGGAUGUGUGGAGCUGUGUGCCCUAUGCAUGCUUUGCCCUCAUCGAUCACUGAUAUUGGAUCUCUGUCACUUAGCUAUAUUACCAGUGCCCCGAAACGUAACUCCUCAAACCGCAUUCACGCUUUGUUUGCCAGAAAAGAGAAGAAAACAAACUCUAACAAACUAGAUCAUCAUGAGAAAACUCAUGCAUGAUGCUUGGUUUGAGCAAAUUCCGAGUAAAAGAGAAGGCAAAGCAUGUAAAAAUGGUAAAAGCUAGUCAUGAUCUUGGUGAAAAAGUAGAAAACGUAUGCAUGCAUUACCCAAUUAGGUUUAACCGUUUAAGCAGCUAACUGAAGCUGCUCCGGUUGGACCCUCAGACAGAAGUUGCAAUGCUGCGUAGGAUGAAAGAUGAUGCUUUGCUUUCUCUUCAGAUCUUGUGGCAGCUUAAAUCAAUAAUGUCAUGCUUACUGUUACAAAAGAUUAAUAAUUCCUGGUGUUUUUGCAGAUUUCUAGAGCAAGAAGGAGCAUCCUACGUGUCGAAGGAUAACUCCACGUGUACCAUUAAGUGGCACAUCCAGGUGAUUCAGUUCCUACAACAGUGAAUCUGCAUGAGGCAUAUUCUUCUUUUGUUGCGUCCAUCAGACAUUAUAAUUUAGCUAGCUAUUGGUUACGUGGCCACAACAGAUCGAUUCAUGCCUGAACUAAUGCAUCGAAAUUAAACAGUGGGAUCAGCUUUCCAUUUCUUAUAAAUGGUGCAAGCAUUGAGGGGAGCUUAGCAAUCUUAGUGGAUUUGCCUUGUGUGUCCAUUAGUCCAAAGCCUCUUUGAUAUUGUUUGUUGGUAAAAGGAAUCGAAAGCAAAGCAAAGAAGACAACAAUGAUGUGCUAGCUAGUGUUUUUUGUUGGCCUUGAUAUUGAAAAGAACAAGCAGUGAUCUGCAGCAGCUGACAGAAGAGGACAGGAGCUAACUAUAGCUAGUUUUGGUGGCAUACAGUCAUUUCCUUCUUCUUCAUAAUCGAUCUCAGAGACUCAUCACCUUCAUUCUCCAUCAAUCCCAUGGCUGGCACAGCAAGAAAGAGACUCGGCAACUCAUGCAUUCUUCUCAUAAGUAUUCAUCAUAUUUCUUCUCUCUUCCUAAACCUUUUAUUUUCAACCAUUCUUAUAUGUGAAUAUCGUUCUUUAAUAUUAAUUAAAUGAUCACUCUUUGUUAAUUGGUGGUUUAUGUGUCUGUUUGUUUGAUGACAGUGAUUUCUGGUAUGGAAAGAUUUGCAUACAAAGGAGUGGCAUCCAAUCUGAUAACUUAUCUAACGGAUGUAGUAAAGAUGAGCAACUCUUCUGCGGCGAAGACGGUGAACAGUUGGUGCGGAUUCACAUCCAUGGUUCCACUCUUGAUUGCACCCUUUGCUGAUUCUUACUGGGAUAGAUAUUACACCAUUGUAGCUUCUUCUCUUGUCUAUGUUGCCGUAAGUACUAACCACCUCUCUUUUCUUUCUUUCUUUCUUUUUUGGUUGCAUGUUGGUCGUUAAUUACCUCUGUUUUUUCUUUUGUAAAGUAUUUUUUUUCUGGUCAGUAUAUUGUGUCCGCUGAGUGCUCAAUUAUUAGUAGGAGUACGAUUAGGAAAACCAUUAUUAAGAUAUAUGGAUCAUGAGUCAUCAGUCAUCUGCACUAAGAUUAAAGCUUUAUAUUGAUGACUUGCGGGUCAAGAUUAAUGCAGAUUACUGUGCAAAUAAGAAGAGCCUACAAUUUGAUUGACCCAUCUUAAGAUGAUUUACUAGGGGAUUGAUCGAGAUUGAUAUACAUUAUGUGGAUAAUAUGAUCGAGUUUGGUGGCAUAAUGGUUGUUUAACAUACUAUAAAAGUGUUUAUUUGUUAAUUGAAGCUCCAUUAGUAACACCGACAUGCUCCUGUGACGAAUAUUGGACUAAUUGAUAGUCUAUUUGUUCUGGUUUUAGGGGCUUGUGGCAUUGACAUCAACAGCAAUAAUGUCCCGGGCAUCCACGGAUCAAGCAAACAAAACAAGUUCAUCUUCAUUUCUGUUUUGGUCAUUGUAUUUGAUUUCUCUUGGUCAAGGUGGGUAUAAUCCAUCUUUACAAGCUUUCGGAGCAGAUCAACUUGACAGUGAAGAGGAAGAGUUGCCUACUAGCGAAGAUGACAAAAAACCCAACAAAAAGAGUUUGUUCUUUCAAUGGUGGUACUUUGGUGUUUGUAGUGGCACCGUCUUGGGUAUCAGUGUUAUGUCCUACAUUCAAGAUAAUUUUGGUUGGAUACUAGGUUUUGCUAUUCCCAUGAUUUCUAUGGUCACAUCAGUCGUAGUUUUCUCGUGUGGAAGCCGAAUUUAUACAUAUAAACAGAGGAAUGAUGAUUACAAGCCUGUUGUGAGCAUCCUUCAAGUUAUUAAGGCAGCUGCAUGGAAAUUACUGAAUUGCAAAGUCAAGUUGCCCAAUGAAAAUAAAGUUACUGAGCUAGAGUAAGUUUUUUUCUUUAACUCAAGUGUUGUUCAGAUUAUUGUCCAUGAACUUUGAUCUGAUGCUAUCCAAUUUUCUUAGGCUUCAAGGGAAACCGCUCUGUCUUCGGAACUUUGGCAGCAAUGAAGGCUUGAACAAUGAACAUCCCAAAAGCAGCGUCUACAAGUUCGAAAACGCAAAAGUUAUUCUUAGGCUUUUGCCCAUUUGGCUAAUGCUGUUAAUGUUUGCAGUGAUUUUCCAGCAACCUUCGACAUUCUUCACCAAACAAGGCAUGACAAUGAAGAGGAACAUUGGAAGCAAUUUUCUGAUUCCACCGGCAACACUACAAAGUGCUAUUGCACUUUCUAUAGUCCUAUUGAUGCCUCUUUAUGACAAAGUUUUGAUCCCAAUUACUAAGGUCCUGACUUGUAACGAAAAGGGUAUCACCGUAAUGCAAAGGAUGGGAAUCGGGAUAUUCACUUCGGUCAUAGCACUGAUCAUUGCAGCAAUUGUGGAGACAAGAAGGCUCCAUAUCAGCAGAAAGAUGGAAAUGCUAGGAUCUCAAUCUGAGACAGUUCCACUUAGCAUAUUCUGGUUGCUGCCACAAUACAUUCUUCUAGGAAUUUCAGACAUUUUCACUGUGGUUGGGAUGCAAGAGUUCUUCUACUCUGAAUUUCCCAUUAAAAUGAGAACAAUGGCCUUUGCACUAUACACCAGUGUUUUUGGGGUUGGGAGUUACUUGAGUGCCUUUUUGAUAUCCACAGUUGAGACCAUCACAAGUUCAAAUGGAAAUAAGAGCUGGUUCUGUGAUGAUAUGAGUGAAGCUAGGCUAGACAAGUACUACUGGUUUUUAGCAGCAUCAAGUGCACUGAGCUUUCUGUUUUUUGUGAUUAUUUCAUCAUGUUACACAAGUAAAAGGGAUUUGGACUUGGACAGUAAUGAAAGUUGUAAAUAAGCUAGCUGGUUGUUUUGAGUUCAUGAGUUAGUUUCAAUGUACAAAGAGUGCAUUUUGUUAUUCAAGAUUCAAAGUUCAAAUAAAUUAGUAUAUCCAUACCAUGCCUUCUCUAUGGAUAUUUAACUUAUUUACUGCAUGGAUUUGUCCUCUUUCACGUGUUUGCUACUCUUAAUUUUUAGCGUUUAAAUUGUUAAAUGAUUGUUGGAAACCUGUAUUCAACAUUUUUUUUUUCCUCAAACAAAGAUAUAUAUAUGAUAAUUUCUUCUUCUUACAAGGUUAAUUAUAAGGGUUACUAAACGGUUUUUGGCUUUAUGUCCCCCUUAGGUAUCUUCUUUUUAUCUAAUAAAGUUCUUUAUUUGCCAAAAAAAGGUUAAUUAUAAGGAAAAUUAGUAGAGAUACUAUAACUUAUCUUAUUCCAUGUUUGUACAAAUUAAGGUACAUUAUUUUUCUGGUUUGAAGAGCAGAUACAUUAUUUCAUAACAUGAAAAAUUAAAAGCUGACUUUGGGAGAACAUAUAUAAUCAGAAAAGGGUGAUGAUACAUGCAAUUCACAAUUCUUCAUUUCUUUGAACUUUAGAACUUUAGAAGUAUCUGAUCGAUCGAGCAGGACUACCCGUUGUAUAAAGCUUUUAUUCCUGCAAUAUCAUCCGCAUGCAAACCUCUUACAGUCGCUCCCGCGGGGAGGCUAGGGGCCAUGGCAGCUCCACUCACUGAACUAUGUGCGAGUCCCAGAAGGUGCCCUAUUUCAUGCAAAGCGCAACUCUCGUAGUCAAAGGCACCAGGUUUACCACCAACCGCCCAAUUCUCAGCUGCGUCGAUGUGGAAUCUUCCAUCCGUCGGGUAAAACGCAUGAGCCAGAACUCCGCCGGGGCCAUCAAAUGCAUUCCCGUCUCCAUGAUCACCCUUGUGAAAACUGAUCUUCAAAUCUGCACUAUUGUAAUUUUGAGCCUGGCUGAAAGUGAAUUGACUGUUCUUAGCCCAUGUUGUGAAAGCUUGUGUGAUAGCACCCGUGGCUUCGGAUGGGGUGCCCAUGAAAAAACCGUAAGUGAGAUGGUAUUUAGAGGAAGGCCAUACUGGUUUUCCGGGGGGAAACUCGUACUGAAUACCGGUAAGAAAUGAACCUGUAAAACAAUAUCGAGUGAUUAAUCAAGGCUUGAGGGCAUGCAGCCGUCACCAGCUCUUUAUUCGUUUUUUUUUUUAAAAAACUAAUAUCGUAUUGAUCAAGUCUUAAUUCAAGGGAGUUACUGUAUGCAUGCGUUUAACAAUUUUGAUGUACAUAUGAGUACAUGUACAGCUAGUAAUGUGUUUUUGAUCAGCAGUAUAAAGUUAAGAUCGAUGCAUUGACAAUAUAAUUCUCUAGUAAGAUGAAGUACGUACGGUGCUGGAAAUUUAUCUUGGCUGAUCGCAUGGAUGUGGUGCCAUUGAUGAUGUCGGGAAAACCACAACGAGGCAUCAUCAUCUUUGAUAUGGUUCCGUCAUCCAAUGUUCCGGUGGGCUUCAGGUGGAAAUUGAGCUGGUAAGUCUUGACGGCUUCCUCCAGGAACUUGUCGAAAUCGUCGUCAUCCGUGGAUGUUGUUCUUGUAGUUCAAGUAACCGAACUUGUGAAGGUAUUUCUUGAGGUCAUUGAUGCCCUUGACCUUGUCACCUUUGUGACAACCCUUAAGAUGCUCAAGGAAGGCAAAUGGAGAUGAAGGCUGAGGUUGCAUCAACUGGGCCGUUGCGUUAGAGAGGAACCAAAAGAGGGCGAGGAGGAGAGUGACUGUGAAAAGAGAAAAAUUAGAUUUUGGUGCCAUUGCUCUGAGUAUGGAGGUUGCAGAAGUAUCAUAUUCGCAGCAGUAUUUAUAGGCAAUAUUAUUGAUGCGUGAAUGUAAAGAGAUGGUGUGAUCGAUUACGUUUUCUGUUGAGUUGAUGUACGUACGUCAUGCAUAUAGAGCUUUUAGCUUAACAAGCAGAAAACAUAUAAAAAAAAACGUUCUCACCAGAACAUAUUGAGCUCAACAUUUGGCAACUUUCAUUAUCAGUUAGGUUUCAGCAGUUAGGUUUAAACUGUUAAACCAGAGAAUUUUGAUGACAAAAACUAGCUUGGAAACAAUCAUUAUCGAUAGAGAUCAUUAUUGAUGCACAAAGCCACAAAUUAUUCAAGUACCAAAUCGCCCCUCUAUAUAUAUAGAAAACCAAUCAAUUUCCAUAUGAUCGAGUUCACAGUAUGAGAUAACCUGGACUGACAGGACGAUAGAUCACUGGGAAUAUAUCUGACAUAGUGACAUUCCCGAUCGAUAGUCACUUGACUCACUUGCACACAGAGGUUCUCUUUCUUCUUCUGAAAUUAAACAUGCACGUAGAUAUACUACGCAUAAAACUCUUUUCCUUCUCUCUCUCUCUUUCUCUCUCUCUCUCUCUCUCUCUCUCUCUCUCUCUCUCUCUCUCUCUCUCUCUCUCUCUCUCUCUCUCGCUAAUAGAUCGAUGAUAUAAGAGAGGAGUGACCUCUAUCACUAUGUUUUAUUAAUUAGAGAAGAAUAAGAACAAUAGGAGGGGGACCAAAACCAAUACCUCCAACAAAAAAUGACCAACGCAAACGAAUUUGAGGACAAAGUAAAUGCUCAAAACAAAAGGGGAGGCACACUCACAACCCCAACUCGAUCAGAAGAAAAUGUACCAAAAAUUUCCAAAGGACUGGCUGUUCAUGUACGACUCUCUUCAUUAUUUCUUAAUCUGAAAGAUCUCAACACCGGUAAUUCAGGUACGCACGUACCUUAUUUGAUAAAGGAAAGAAGAAUUAAAAGAUGAAUAUGGGGGAUCCAGCUAGUGCUACUGGUUAAUUCUCAGACGUUGUAUAGAGCCUUGAUACCUUGAACAUCGUCUCCAUGCAAACCUCGUGUCACUCCCGCAGGAAUACCUGAGGACAUGAUAGCGCCCUCCACUGAGCUAUGAUCGAGUCCCAGAAGAUGCCCUAUUUCAUGCAAAGCCAGAGUCUCCAAGUCAAAAGCACCUGGCUUAGCACCCACAGACCAAUUCUCAUCUGCGUCGUAGUGGAAUCUUCCGUCCGUCGGGUAAAAAGCAUGGGCAAGGACACCGCCAGGGCCAUCAAAUGCAGAUCCGUCUCCAUGAUCACCCUUUUCAAAACCAAUCUUCAAAUCCGCAUUCUCGUAAUUUUGAGCCUGGCUGAAGGUGAAGUGAGUGUUCCCGGCCCAUGUUGCGAAUGCCCGUGCAACAGCCCCCGUUGCUUCCGAUGGGGUGCCGGGGAGAAAACCGUAAGUGAGAUGGUAUUUGGAGGAAGGCCAUUUUGGAUUCCCGGCGGGAAAUGCGUAGUGAGCAGUGGUAUGGAUAGAACCUGUAAAACAAUAUCGAGUACUUAAUUUCGUUAGAUGUAAUGAGGAGAAAUGGUAGUUGAACAUGCAUGUACCUUUCAUUUUGUUGUAUACUUGUAUAUAGUGGUGUAUGUUCUACGUACUUAUAACUCAUUGGGAAGUAAGAUGACAAAGUAAUUGUACGUCUAAUAAGAAGAAAUAGCUAGAUAUAUACCAUGGUGGUGCCUUUUCUUGGCUGAUCGCAUGGACGAGGUGCCAUUGAUGAUAUCCGGCAGACCGCAACGAGGCAUCAUCAUCUUCGCCACUGUUUUGCCGUCCAAUGUUCCGGUGGACUUGAGGUGGUAAUUGAUCUGGUAGGUCUUGACGGCUUCCUCCAAAAGGUCAUCAAAUUCAUCGUCGUCGGAAUGACUGUGGUUCUUGUAGUUCAAGUAACCGAACUUUUCAAGAUACUUUUUGAGGUCAUUGAUACCCUUGACCUUAUCACCUUUGUGGCAACCUUUGAGAUGGUCAAGGAACUCAAAUGGGGAAGAGCUCUUGUUGUGGGGAUGGGAAGCAGUUGCAUAUGAUAGGAGAGUUAAAAGUGCGAAGAGGAGAGUGAUAGCGAAGAGAGAAUAUUUAGAUUUGAAUGCCAUUUUGCUCCUUUUAACUAGCUAGCUUGUUAUGUUGCUAAAGCCUCUUAUGUGUAUUGCUAUUUAUAGGCUUGUAACAUAUGAACGUUCAACUUUUCCAUAUUGCGUCUUUCUUAACAAUUACCUGCUAGGUCCCUAAGGUUCGAGAUGACCGACCAAUUGGGAGUAAAUUAAAGAAGAAGAAACAUUAAUUAACAGACUAGUCUCGGAGAAGACGUCAAGUAUUUAAUUUGCAUGGUCAUUCCAUCUAAGUCUGCAUUUGCUAGAAGCUUAGAACUAGUCUUGCCGUUUUCCUUACUCCCUAAAUUAAUCAAUUAAGGAGUGAUUGGUGGACUACAUAUAUAACCCUAGGGUUCCAUCUAACCCUACAUAUAUACAUUACAUAUGUAACAUUGAGAACACUUGAAACUUAAAAGUUGCCUCUCAAAAUUAAUAUAUAGUCUGGCGCAUGCUACGUCUUAAAAAAUAUAUAAUUAUAUAGGGUAUGGUUCAUGAAUAAAUUAACUUAUAUAUACAUAGAACAGAUCUACAUCUUUUAUGAGUUUUGCUACUCCAAAUUUUAUGGUCUCUGUUGAGUGACGUAUUGUGUGUGUAUGUAUAUAUAUAUAUAUAUAUAUAUUUAUUUUGAAACAUGGACGUGAAGACUGAAGCUUUUGAUAUUGCAACGAAAAAUAACAGUUACAACAUAACUUACCCGCAAUGGCAACGAUAGAAAAGGCCACGGUAAAUAGCCCGAAAACAACAUAAAUGAAACUACUAUAGAGUUCUAAGCAGAAAAUAAAACUAAAACUAAUAAUCCUGGUUUAUUAGACUUAUCCCGGAACCACCCUACACAUAUGAGGUAUCUCCGGGGCCUUCUUCCUCGACCAUCAACGCCAUAACAGCCGGCAUGGACUCCAAGAUAGUAGCAAGAACAUAUCCAAACCAGAAUGAUAGCAAGCCCAAGGCCCAAACCUGCAACCUAGCGCUGCAGAAUUGAGGCCCAAAGCCCCCAAAAAUUCAUCACCACCGUCAGCCACCACCACACCAGAAAUUGCAUUUCCGGUCAACCCAGGGUUCUUCGGCAACCGUCUCCAAUAGGCAUCAUCACCAUCACUACUCUGGCCAGCCAAGACGAAAGCCGAUCCCGUCGGAAUCACCAUCGCACAUGUCGACCAUACCUUCAUCCUUGCAAGAUCCGAAUCCAGAUCUCCAACACCAACCCGCUAGCCGCUAGCUCCGCCAUGGAGGAACCAUCAUCGCCGACACCGUGAGAUCAUGUGCCAGUCCAGAGCACCGGAGAAACCACUCGGUAGGAGUCGGUAAACGACCCCUCCACCACCGCAAAAAGAUCAGAAGGAAGAGUGAUGGGGUUGAGUCGCGCUCACUCCGUGCCUGAAGCCAACCGGGGCUAACAACACAAAGCCCACCACCUCCGUCGUUCCAAAACCCACCGCCGCUGUCAGAAGAGAAGACGAGGGCUAGGGUUGAGAGGAGAUCGCGCGACCAGACGAGAGAGAGCCAUGAGUGACGUAUUGUUGAGUCUUGUAUUUAAAAAGAAUUCUCAUACUGCAUGUAAAAGGAUAUGGUCAUUAUUUCUUCAUUAAGAGUUCAUCUUUAUUAAUACAGAAACUAGAAUCCUCACACAAGCUAGUUUAUAGUUUUAUACAAUGUUGUACACAAAGGUACAUUAUUUUUUCUGAUAACAAGAUAUAUAUUAGAAGUCGACUCUGUUGGAACAUAAUCUGUGCCAGGAGAUACUACUCCUCAAACCUUGUACAAAGCUUUUAUUCCUUGAAUAUCAUCCUGAUGCAAACCUUUAUAAGCCACUCCCUCGGUGACAGUUGGAAACAUGACAGCUCCCUCUACUGAACUAUGUCCAAGUCCCAGAAGGUGCCCUAUCUCAUGCAAACCAACACUCCCAUAGUCCAUUGCACCUGGUUUAGCACCUGCAGACCAAGUCUCCUCUGCGUCGUAGUGCAGUGUUCCUCCCGUAGGGUAAGCUGCAUGGGCGAGCUGUCCACCAGGCCCAUCAAAUGGAUCCCCGUCUCCAUGAUCACGCUUGUGAAAGCUGAUCUUCAAAUCAGCAUUCUGGGGAUUGUUGGACUGGCUGAACUUGAAGUGGGUGCUCUUUUGCCAUAUUGCGAAAGCCUGCACGAUAGAACCCGUGGCUGCGGAUGGGGUGCCGGGGAGGAAACCGAAAGUGAGUUGGUAUUUAGAGGGUGGCCAUUUAUAAUCUCCAUCAGGCAAUGUGUAGUGAACUGUGGUAUGAAUUGCACCUGCAAAACAAGUACUUGAAUUCGUUAGACGUAGUGGUCAAGUCUUAUUUCUUGAAUAUAUAUAACUGAAUGCAUGCUAUUUACAACUUGAUGUACCUAAAAGUACAGUGAUGUUUUCUUGAUCAGUAACUACUGACCGGUAAAAUACUACUAACAAACUAUAUAUAAUUAAGAUGAUAAUCUCUGUUUUUACUAAGAUGAAAUAUGUACGGUGUUGGUGCUUUAUCUUGGCCGAUCGCAUGGAUGUGGUGCCAUUGAUGAUAUCGGGCACACCACAAUGAGGCUUCAUCAUCAUUGAUAUAGUUUUCUCGUCCAAAGUUCCCGUGGGAUUGAGGUUGAAAUUGAGCUGGUAAGUCCUGACUGCUUCCUCCAGGAACUGGUCGAAAUGGUCGUCAUUAGAGUGGAUGUGGUUCAUGUAGUCCAAGCAACCGAACUUGUGAAGGUACUUCUUGAGGUCAUGGAUGCCCUUGACCUUAUCACCUUUGUGACAACACUUAAGAUGGUCAAGGAAGUCAAACGGAGAUGAGUUGUUGCUGCUAUGGACUUCCUUUGCCGUUGCAUUAGAGAGGAAAGAAAAGAGGGUAAGGAAAAGGAGGAGGAGAGUGACUGUGAAAAGAGAAAGAUCAGGUUUUGGUGCCAUUGCUCCAAGUUAAGAGUAUGGAUGUUGCAGAAGCCUCGUAUUCGCAAUAGAAUUUAUAGGCAAUAGUACAUUGAUGUGUACAUGUAAAGAGAUGGUGUGAUCAAUUACGUUUUCUAUAGAGAUGGUGUACGUACGUCAUGCAUAUGAAGCUGUUGAGCUUAACAAGCAGAAAUCAUACAAAAAUGUUCUUACCAGAACAUGUUGAGAUCAACAUUCGGCAUCAGUCGUCAUGCAUCAGUUAGCAGCCUUAAUUCAGAGAAUUUUGAAGAUGAAACUAGUCUCGACGUGUAAACAUUCAUGCAUUAUCGAUAUAUUAGAUCAUUGAUGCCAAAAUCGAGAAAUGUAUAGGACGUUUACACCCUCGGUAUAUAAAACCAAUUUUCCAGAUAUAUGGAUGAGUUCACAGUAUGAGAUCGAUAGUCUGGAAAUCUGGAUGAGAGAUCACUGUGAUAUUCUAGUCAUCUGACAUUGAUUCUCGAUCGAUGGUCACUCUUGCUUCCAUAUGCAUGAGUACCCUUUCUUCUUUUGAAGACUUGAAGUUAAACACGCACAAAUCGUUUACUGAUUAUUUGAUAAUUAGUACCAUCACUACCAUCACAUCUGUUAUCUCCAAUAGAUUGAUUGAUGAUACGGUUUUUAAUGUAAUAAGUUUUUGGACAAAAUAAUUUAUAUGGGUAAUUUUCAUAAUUUUUUACGGUUAAUAACUUUACAGUGAAUGCAGAUGCAUGGACAUAUACACUGAUGCAUGAAAAUUUUUCUUUUUUCUCUUUUUUUUGUGUGUAAGAGAUUGAGAGGAGUAACAAGUAACAGUACGUAUCUCUCUAUCACUCUUUCAUUAAUUGAUUAAAGAAGAUCGAAGAGGAAAGACAGGAUGAAGGAGACAAAAAAGCAAUAACUCCAACAAGAAAUUAAGACUAACAAAAAGGAACUUGAGAAGGAAGACAUCUCAUAUUCUCACCACACCAAAAGAAAAUUGACCAAAAUUUGCCAAAGAUUUGGUAACAACAAUGCUUGAAUUGUUUGAUCGAUCAAGCUGGUGCUAACUAGCCCUGCUCCUCAUACGUUAUAUAAAUCCUUGAUACCUUGAACAUCAUCCCCAUGCCAACCUCGAGUUACUCCCGAGGGAAGAAUCGGUUCCAUGAUUGCCCCCUCCACUGAGCUAUGUCCCAGUCCAAGAAGGUGCCCUAUUUCAUGCAGAGCCACCGUCUCCAUGUCAACAGCACCUGGUUUAGCACCAGCAGACCAUGUCUCAUCUGCGUCGUAGUGGAAUAUUCCAUGCAACGAGCUAACAGCAUGGGCCAGCACUCCGCCAGGUCCAUCAAAUGCAUGCCCGUCUCCAUGAUCACCCUUCUCAAAACUAAUUUUCAGAUCCGCAUUUUCGUAACUUUGGGUGAGGCUGAACGUGAAGUGAGUGCUCGCAGCCCACGUUGCGAAUGCCCGUGCAACAGAGCCUGUGGCUUCGAUCAGAUGGAGUGUUGGGAGGAAAACCGUAAGUGAGAUUAUAUUUAGACCACUUGGGAUUUCCUUCAAAAAAUGAGUAGUGAGCAGUGGUAUGAACUGAACCUGUAAAACAAUAUUGAGUACUUAAAUCGUUAAACAGAAUGUUCAGGUGUUAAUUCCAAAGAAUUAAUUAUUGUAUGGUUUAAAUUUUGAUGUUGAAAUUCAAUAGCAUAAGGAGAAAUUAAUUAAUUGCAUGUUGUAGAUGCAUGUGCAUAUAAAUUAUUGUAGGACAACGUAAGAAAGUUGGAAGCUAGGACAACGUAAUAAGAUGAAAUAACUCGAUACCAUGGUGGUGCCUUUUCUUGGCUGAUCGCAUCGACGAGGUGCCAUUGAUGAUGUCCGGCACGCCACAACGAGGCGUCAUCAUCUUCAACACUGUUUUGCCAUCCAGUGUUCCGGUGGACUUGAGAUGGUAAUUGAUCUGGUAAGUCUUGACGGCUUCCGCCAAACGGUCGUCGAAAUCGUCGUCGUCCAAAUGACACUGGUUGGUUUUGUAGUUCAAGUAACCGUACUUUUCAAGGUAUUUUUUGAGAUCAUUGAUACCCUUGACCUUUUCACCUUUGUGGCAACCUUUGAGAUGCUCAAGGAACUCAAAUGGGGAAGAGCUCUUGUUGUGAGGAUGAGAAGCAGUUGCAUGAGAGAGGAUAGUAAGAAGGGCCAAGAGAAGUGUGAUAGUGAAGAGAGAAAGAUUAGAUUCUGAUGCCAUUGCUCCUUUUAGCUAGCUAGCUAGCUUGUAUUGUUGCAAAAGCGUCUUAUUUGUAUUGUUAUUUAUAGGCUUUGUAACACAGAAGAACGACGGUGAAACAACGAUAAUCAUGGCUAUAUUUUCCAUUUUCCGGUCCUUCCUUAAUAAUAUAAGGAAGGUCCGCGCCGACUCAUGAGGUUCGAGAUGAUCAACUGGGAGAGAGCACAGUAGAAGAACAUUCAUUCAAUAAUGGGGAAUAUAUAGGCUAGUUCUUGACUCGGAGAGAACGUUAAUUAGUAAUGGUCAUCUGAUCAAGGUCACCAUUUGCUAGAACAAGUCUUGCAGUUUGGCUGCUUGCUCCGUAAAUUAAUCAAUCAAUUAAGGAGUGACUGGUGGACUACAUGUAUAAUUACGAAGACCUGAUUAAAGUUCAAACUUGCCAACUUCAUCUUAUCUAAUCAUAAAGCGCAUUACUUAGAAAGCUUCUCUCUCUCAGCCAAACCCUAGGCGGUGGCUGUUUCUCUCCAUCAAAGUGAAUGAGAUGGCCAAAGAGGACCAUGUAUCUAGUGAUAGCUUGCCCAAUUGAAGUUUUGGAGGCGUUGGGGUGGUUUCGAUGGCCAUAGCGUUUGGUGGCUUUGCCGGAUGAGGCGUCGGUGGCUUGAUGGCAUGGUAGGACUUAUAUGCUUGCCGGGUAAAAUAGAUCGCAAGUGAUUAAUUAAUUAAGGGUGCGUCUAUUGCCACCCCACUGUCCACUUUGCUCACCCCACAAUCUGGUUGAUUUAUUAAAAGACCAAAUUAUCCUAAUAUAGAAUUACAAUAAAGAACAAUAUGUUGAUACAAUUAUAAAUCCUUUUUCUUUCUUUUUUAUCGUUUUGUUUUCUUAGUACGUGCUUGAAACUGAAUUUUUUCAUAAAACCCUAAUAAUUUUAAUUUUUCUAUGUAGAAUUUAUGGUCUUCAAUCAUUUCUAUGGAAUCUGAAAACACCUUACAACCAGAAGACGAGGUAAACUGUUUUCUUUCUCUUGUAUUUGUUUUUUUUUCUCUUGUUUUCUUGUUGAUGCUUCAGCAUAUAUGAAGCACUGCAUAUAUACGAUGCUUCGACACUCAGGUAAAGUCUAUAUAUGGAUUCUUUAUCGCAGUUGUAUGACAUGGAGUGUUCAAUGGCAUGUAUUAAGAAGCAAUCUUAUUAAUUCCAAGUUCUUGUGCUUCUCCUUAUUAUCCCUGAACCGAAACACAACUAUGAGAUGUACAACAUAUUUCUACAUACUUUUGAUGAGGAAGAUAAGCUAGGAUUUUUUAUUAUAUAAAAAAAUGAUAUAAGAAAUCAAAAAACAAUAUAUGUAGGGUGAAGAAAGUAGAACUGAGAAAAUGGUUAUUUUAGGUAUUGUAAGUGGGUAAACAAAGUAGACUUACAAUCAAAAAUAUAUAAGUGGGGUGUAAAGAGAAUUUGGGGUGAGCAAAAUGGAUUGUGGGGUGGCAAUAGACGCACCUUAAUUAACUUGUAAUUUCAGUUUAAUUAUUUGUAAAAUAAGUGUAUAAUAUACAUAUCUGUAACAUCUCCAACGUGUUAACUUUCUACAUCAAUUAUCCAUAAAAAGCUAGCGAUCUAAUGACGUCUGUUUGUUGUAAUUAAUUGUCGUGAUGAGAUUAAUAUAUCAUAUAAUAACUCAUUUUAUGGUUAUAUACAUGCAUAAUUCUCUUUUUUCUUUCUUGCUGAAGGAACGAGGUGUAUAUGAGAGAUGAGUUAACAGUCUCCCUAUCACUCUGUUCUUUUCUAUAUUGAAGAAGAAGAAGAAAUAGGAGGGGAGUACGUCCAAAACCAAUACCUCCACAAAAUAAAAAAGAGUAACAAACACGAACUUGAGGAGAAAAUAAAAUGCUGCAAAACGAACAGAAGCACAUCUUGAUGCCCACAUGCACUAACUAGAUCAGAAGUUGUACCACAAUUUGCCAAAACAUUUGGCUGUUCAUGGAUACAAAAACUCUCUUCAUUAAUUAUUUCAAAUAUGAAAAAUCUCAAUACAGGGUAUUCUCAGGUACCUUAUUUAAUUAAUAGAGUGGUACAACAACAAAACUUCGAAUGGUCUGGUCGACCUGGUACGUGCUAGCACCGCUACUCAUACGUUAUAUAAAGCCUUGAUACCUUGAACAUCGUCCCCAUGCAAACCUCGAGUCUCUCCCGUGGGAAGAGUCGGUUCCAUGAUAGCUCCCUUCACUGAGCUAUGUCCCAGUCCGAGAAGGUGCCCUAUCUCAUGCAAAGCCACCGUCUCCAAGUCAGUAGCACCUGGUACAGCACCCACAGACCAAGUCUCAUCUGCGUCGUAGUGGAAUAUUCCGUGCGUCGGGCUAAAAGCAUGGGCCAGCGUUCCGCCAGGUCCAUCAAAUGCAGCCCCGUCUCCAUGAUUACCCCUUUGAAAACCGAUCUUCAAAUCCGCAUUCUCGUAACUUUGUGCCUGGCUGAAUGUAAAGUGAGUGUUCCCCUCCCAUGUUGCGAAAGCCCGCGCCACCGCGCCUGUGGCUUCAGAUGGAGUGUUGGGAAGAAAACCGUAAGUGAGAUGAUACUUAGAGGAAGGCCAUUUUGGAUUUCCUUGGAAAAACGAGUAGUGAGCAGUAGUAUGAAGUGAACCUGUAAAACAAUAUCGAGCUUAAGUCGUUAGACGGUUAAUUUGUUCAAGUUUUGAUCCAAGAGAAUUACGUACUGUAUGUUUUAAAGUUUGAUUUUGAGACUCAAUUAAUUAAUGUUUUUGAUGCAUGUACAUAUAAUUUUGGGUAUGUUAUACAAUUAUUGGACAACGUAAGAAAAUCAGAGGCACAAGUUAGAGGGUCUAAUAAGAUGAAGUAGCUCGAUAUUACGUACCGUGGUGGUGCCUUUUCUUGGCUGAUCGCAUGGACGAGGUGCCAUUGAUGAUAUCUGCCACGCCACAACGAGGCGUUGUCAUCUUCGACACUGUUUUGCUGUCCAAUGUUCCGGUGGACUUGAGGUGGUAAUUGAUCUGGUAGGUCUUGACAGCUUCCUCCAAAAGAUCGUCGAAUUCAUCGUCGUCUGAAUGACUGUGGUUCUUGUAGUUCAAGUACCCGUAUUUUUCAAGGUACUUUUUGAGGUCAUUGAUGCCCUUGACCUUAUCACCUUUGUGGCAACCCUUGAGAUGUUCAAGGAACUCAACUGGGGAAGAGCUCUUGUUGUGGGGAUGAGAAGCAGUUGCAUAACAGAGGAGCGUAAGAAGGACGAGGAGGAGAGUUAUAGUGAAGAGUGACAGAUUAGACUUGGAUGCCAUGGCUCCUAUUAGCUAGCUAGUUAUGUUGCAAAACCCUCAUGUUUGUAUCUUUAUUUAUAGGCUUGUAAUAGAAGUAACGACGGUGACCCAGUGAUCAUCGCUACAUUUUCCAUAUUGCGGUUUUCCUUAACAAUAUAAGAUGUGACUUUGACUGGUAUUACAGUAUUACUAGCUAGGUCGGUCCUGAGGUUCGAGAUGAUCAAUUGGGAGUAGAGGAGAAGGUGCUCCUAACUCGGAGGAUACGUUAGAUUUCGAUGCCAUUGUGAUUUAGGAUGGCAUGUGUUGCAACCCCUCGUAUUUUGGUUGCAAUGUAUAGGGUUGAUUACAAUAUAAUCUCUUGUGAACGUGAAAUGAUUAGGUCUUGAUGUUUGAGAUGAAUUGGAAGAAAGUACCAAAAGCAAGAACACAAAUAAUAGAUAACUCCUAACGGGGAGAAGACGUUGGGUUUAGUCGUCAUUCUAAGGGAGACUCUUGCAUGCAUAUAUGUACAACUUGGGUGACUGAGACUGACUCUCUAAAAUUGAAUCAAUUAAUAGUCGACGUCGUUGCCUCGUCGGACAAGUUAAUGAGUUGUGCUGAGGAACUAAUGAAGGAGCUAUCAUACAAAAAAUUAGUUGUAAUGGACAAUUAUAAUAUUCCCAGAAACAGAAAGGCAGAUGGAGCUCAUCAACAAGUCUCUGUUCAAUUGGGGCCUAGCUACUGUGGAAAUUUUCUGUUCUAUAAUUUUAGAGGAUGUUCAGUCAUCGCCGGCCAGACGUAGACAGCUUUGUCCGCUACUCCAGUAGGUUGAUUGAGUACAUCAACUGGAACACAUCGUAUAUAUGCAUGUACUACGUACGUAGUCGCGCUCAGUUAGUCAGUUACUUGUGCUUACUGGAUCCUUAGGUUAAGUUCGCUGGCUACGAUGCAUGGGCGGAGCCAUUUCGCACCCCUCAACUUUCUUGGUGAUGUGUGAUUUCCAACUAAGAGGUUAUUGGUUUUCAUAGAGUUUCUAGUUAAUUACGAUUGAUUUCACCCCUAAAAUAUUUGGUAAUUACUUAUGGUGACCAAGGGAAGCAAAGAAUUUGCAUUUAUUUCUUUCCUAAUUGGUUAAAAUAUAGCAUUAUUCAUGACUAAUAUUAGUUAUCUUAAAACAAUGAAGCUUUAAGUUUGGUAUAUGAUUCAAUUAAAUUACUCAAUUAUCUCUUUGAAUAAGCGUAAAAAGGAAAAUUUAGUUAAAAAAAACUAGUAAUGAAGAUAUGUCGAUUGAAUCGCUUGUACGUCUUCUAAAAUGGGCGGGGAAAUGAUUAUCGAUAUAUAUCUUAAUGUACACUGAAAAUUAUACUUGAUUUAAUAUAUCAAUAAAGUUUUGUUUUUCUUUUUACUGUAUAUUAGCCGACCCCCUAAACGUAAAUUUCUAGCUCCGCCCCUGCUACGAUGUAAUGUAAUAAUGACUAGUGAUGAGCAAGCUGUAUGUAGGCCAAUUAUAACUUAAAUAUCUGAUAACUCAAGGCUAGCUCAAGGAAUGAAACAAGAUCACCUAAACUCCAAGCAUGUCUAAAACGUACAUCGUUCGUGUAUGCGUAUGUGUUUCUUUUCGGGGGCUUUGAUAUAUUUUCCUGCUGGCAUGGAUUCAUGUCUGAAUAAUCUACUCAGUCUACUUCCCAUUUUCUUUUCUAUGAUUAAUUAACGUGGGUUGCUAAAAUUCAAGUCCAAAUUUUUAGUUGGUAAGCAGAAAUAUCAGUGAACAUACAUCCAUAGCAGGAAACCUGCAACUGAGCUCAUCAAACAGUGACAAAAUGAUCUGCUCAUACGCAAUCUUUAAAAUUAUACAACCCGAUGGCAGUUGACACCCUAGCUAUUUGAAAUUUUAGAACUGUAAUCUGUUUAGAGCGUCUAACAUUCAUCCAAUUUAUUACAUAUAGGAUCAUCUACGAAGAUUAGAGAAUAUAUAUCUAGCUACUCAUCAAUCAUCAUGAAUCUUUAAUCCAUACAACAACAAUGUCAAUGCAGCUCCAUAGUAACAUGAGGUCGUCAAAGUCUUGAUGCCUUCCUCCACGAAAUCAUCUAACUCAUCGGUAUUGGAGUCAUUGUGGAUCGGGUAUUUCAACUCCAAGUAACCAAAUUUUUCAAAGAAUUUUUGGAGUGCACUAAUGGUUUUGACCUCACCGUUGUGACGGGAUGAUGUUUCGUUGCUAGUUUCUUCUGCAUUUGUACGAGAAGAGAGACAAGAGGGUGAGAGAGAGCAGAGCUUGCAUGAAGAGAGAAGUGAGAUUAUAUUUUGAAGCCAUUGUGGUUUAUGAUGGAGUGUGUCGUUGUUGUUGGGAAAAUGGAUACAAAUUUGCCGAUCACUUUUAUUUGCCCACCAAAGUGUCAACUCUCUUAGCCUAUUGACACAUAUCUAUUUUAUUAUCAAAAAUAAAAGUAAAUUAUUUCAUGUGUCAAUAAGCUAAGAGAGUGGGCACUUUGGUGGACAAAUAAAAGUGAUCAGCAAAUUUAUAUAUGUUGCAUGCGCAAAAGCCUCAUAUUUUUAUUUCAUUUUAUAAGAAAGAACUACAAAUAGUAUAUAACUUCUACCAUACGUUAGGAUUUAAUUUAACGCGGUAGUCUUUCUAAAGGACAGUUUGUAGGAAGGCUAGUUUUGCAUAAAUUCAUAUGAGCGUAUAGUUUGGGUCUCCAACUUUCUUAACCGAGCAGGUGAAGCCAUUAAGAUAGAGGUAAGUUCUGGUUUUGGGAGCCUAACACUGAUUACCUGGUGAAAGGAUGAACUGGUAAUUGGUUUCAGCUCUAUCAAAAAUUCGAAAUAGAUUUGCAUCAUUUUAGUCUUCUUUUCUGAUGUUUAAGCUGGAAGGAAUGGUGACUGCUACUCUUAGAAAUAUCUGAAUGAACACACAGACACAACUCUACAUGUUCAAGUAUUCAAAAUGGUAUGUAGCAGUAAUGUACUAAUUCAUUUGAUACAGUCAAGGUAACUCCAUGUUCCUUGGUUAGCCAAUUGGCCAUUGUUGCACAAUGUACAUCACAAGGCAUAGCAAUUUGGUGACAGGUUCAUGCUGAGAAACAUGGCUAUUGUCCUCAAAUCCAUAAUUUGAAGCAAUGGAACAAAAUCAAGCAAGCAAUAGAAGCUAGUUUCAUCUAAACUAGUGAAAUGAGGAAUUAGGCAAACUUCUGUAGCUAAAACAGAAAGUCAAUAUUUACCCUGCUCCUAUAUACAUUCCCUCUUCCAGCUUAAACACCAACUAUAUAAGUAGAAUUUCAAUUGUCCUCUUUAUGAUAUUUGGGAUGGGAGAGGUGCACAAAGAUAGAUUUACGCACCAAUAUUUCAUACUCCAGUGCAGAGGAAGAAGUAAGUUAGUCCUAACAUGUCAGUCGACCUGAGAAUCUACACAGAAGCGACAGAACUAUAGCAACCAAAUUGCAAACACAGAACAACACACUUCCAAUUACUUCAUCACAAACAUUAUCAAACAGUAACAACAUUUGAUCAUCUUAUCCAUAUAUUGUAUAUAACCCAAUGGCAGUUGACACACUAUAAAGUUGUUUAAAAUCAAACACUCAAGAAUUAUAACAACUGUGCAAAGUGUCAACAUUCAUCCAAAUCACACUACAUAAGCUCAUCUAUAAAAUAUAUCUAGCUACUCAUUAUCAAUGUUCAACCCAUACAACAACAAUGGGAAUGCAUGCACAACUGAUGUAUCACACUGAACUAAGCUGAAAACCAGAACACCCCAACUCACUUGUAUGAAAUACAUGGAACAAGAACGAAAAACAAAAUGUGAGAGUUUUACAUUCACUACAUCAAAACUGGCGAGAUUUUACCUCAUGUAUGCGCACCAUUACCAUUCACAUCCAAUUCCACUUCCCCGCCAGCCUUGUUCCUAACCACUUUACCCUCUUCUCUAACCUCCUCCUCCUCCUCAUCAGAAUCCAAAGUAAACUGCCCCUGACUAUCAAUCUGAUGCUGCAUUUCCGCCCCAAGCGGCUUAUACCUCGAAAUAUCACCCCCACCACCACCACCUCCUGUCUUCCUCACCACAACCGAAUACACCCCAACAACCAAAACCACAAUCAGAGCCAAAUGGCAGUUAAACUGCAGCGUCGCGAUAGCUCUCGCCCUAUGAUACUCCGGAUGGCCCUUACACUUGACCGUAUAAUUCCCCCUGCUCUUCUCCUUCAACACGCACCCGUGCGCCAUCCAACGCGUGUAAAUCGAAAGCCCCAUUUGAAAGAACCACAGCCCCUGCAGCACCAGCCCCACUCCUCGAACCAAGUUGGGGAUUACCGAACUAGAGUUGUUGCGCAAUUGAAGAAGCGUGCCGAACAAGCAGACGAAGAUCGGCACCAGCAGCAUGUCGAAGUAGCGGUUCUCGAUUCCGACGGUGUCUUUUCUCCGGAGAUAAAAGUACAUGAACUCUUCGACGAACGCGAAAAGGCCGAUCAGGUUGAGGAGGGAGGAAGGGAAGGAGGAGUUGUUGAGGGUGAGGAGGCCGGUGAGGGAGUAGAGGAGGAAGAGGGCGGCGAUCGCGGCGACCUGGAGCUGCUGGGCCGACCCGACCCGGUCGUGGGAGUUGACGGCGUCGAAGAAGGAGAUGAGGGAGUUGAGGAUGAAGAGGAAGGAGAGGAGGGAAGCGGAGAGGAAGUAGAUGAAGGAGGAUCUGGACGGCGUCGUUUGGGGUUUGGAUUGGGGGAGAUUGGAGGGUGGAGAUGAGGUGGUGGUGGAAGCGAUGGCUUCGAAUGUGCCCAUGAGGAUGAGGCCGAAGCCUGCGGCAGCGAAGGUGAGGAAUCCCAUGGCUUGGUUCCUUCCUUUCUCGGGUCAGCAGACUUUGAUAUCUGAGACGAUCGGGGUCUUGUGGCGCCUUGUUGUGAAGGGUGCGUGUCAUGGUGGACUUUUUCUUUUUGUUUUUGUCAGCGGAAGCAAUGUAUUUAGAUGGUCCAAAAAAGACGACUUAAUACAACCUAACAUAGUGGACUAUAACUCCAGCGUUAUUCGAGACGGUCUGUUACAUGCGUUGUGCAAUGACAUCCGGCGAGUCUAAGUUAGGGUGAUUCUAAGUUUAUUAUUGACCUUAUUAAUAAUAGGUCCCCCUCUCCGUGGAGACUCCUUACUCUUCUUAGUGAUGUUGGCUGGAUGGCUUCUAAGUUUGAAGAGAUCACCUUUAAGUAUGUCCCUUGGGAAGUAAAUUUUGUGGCUGAUGCAAUGGCUAGCUUGGGGCAUCAGGUCCCAUAUCCAACUCUCUCGAAUCGCAAGCUCCCACUCUCUGCGUUUAAUGCUUUUAAUUUUGAUCGUUUUAAUAUAAGCUGUUGUAGAGGUUUCUCUUUGUAAUUUCCUUUUUCUCAUAAAAAAAAACAUAGUGGACUGUUGAGUAUUUUUUAUUUGUGAUGAGAAAAAUGUAAGAGUAUGAGGAGGAUGGUUCUGUGAAAACGGGAGCGGUCUGGUGUAGUAGGCUGCCUUCAGAUGGAUCCGAUCAUGGACGGGCACGUCGGGUUGGUUCGAUUUAGCGGUUAAUACAAAGCAAAACCACGACUAUCUUUCGUUUCUAGCUUAUUUGAAUGAAAUGAUGUUGCAUACACCAAAAGAGAAAAACAAUGAAACCAAACUAGAGAAACAGAAACAAAAUGCCUUAGCUUCAACACUUUCUGUGAUAAAAUUAGCUUCUAUGUGUAUAUGUUGAAAGAUGCAAACUUGAACAUAAGAAACAAAAAGCUACAAAAUAUUUGAACAAGUGACUUCAAACACUAUGAUAUAAUGUAAUAAAACGGGUGAGAGCUCGGUUAAAGUUUCGCCUAAAUAGACUAUGAGGUCUUAACCUCACCAACCUUUUGGAUUAGAUCCGAUACUUCUUAACUAUAUAAUACUAUGAUGACACAUGUAGUUAUUCGAAAUGUAUGACACAUGCAUUAUGUCGAAAUAAGCAUAUGAUCUAUGUACAUAACAUAUACAUAAUCAUCAUGUGUUUACAUAUACAAACAUGCAUGAACGUAAAAUCUAUAGAAUUUAUAAACUAAUGACUUAUUUGUAAAUAACCUCGAGUUCAAUUACUUAGGAGGGGAUAGUAGAUAUAUUAUUGAUUUCAUAUGAUACUAUACGACUCAUAUGGAGGAUAUCUUCUUGUAUCAACAAUUCAUUCAACUUCAUUAUCCACGUUUCAUUGGGUUCUUCUAUCUCAAGCAAGUACCUGUCACCAGUAAACUUCACUCAUCUUAUCAGUUAUGGUCUUGACUUUGUGAUCUUGACAAUUCAUGUGAAACAUCUCUAACAAGACGAAAUCAUUGAAAUGAAAAAGAAAAUAUAGAAGGGGAGAGAAAAAUGUGGGCUGGAUAAGAUAAAGGCAUUAUCCGGAUAGGCCCAAACCGAUACAGCGGACCCACCUCCUUGCUAUCUUCUACAUUUCUAUGUUCUAUGAUUCGCUACACACAACCAUAUAGUCACCUUGCUCUAGCAAAUUAGAAAUGAUCAAAAUUGCCUCUUAUUGGUUCAGCUCUAGCUGUAGAAACAACUCCCACUAGACCGCGUUGCAGAGGAUACAACCUCCCCGUGAACUUUCUUGUGUAUAAAUACUUGGAUUCUGGUCCGGUACUGUACAAACUCGUCUCCUUUAUUUCUGUUCACGAAGACCAAGAUCAAAACCAGAGAGUCAUGAAGAUUACAGCGCUUGUUCAUUUGGUUUCUGUAAUCUACGUGGUUUCUGUGUUGCUGGGUAUGCAUGAAGCUGUACACGGGAGGCUUCUAUCAGCGAAGGAUAAACCCAGCCCCAAAAAUGCUGCUGCUACUGCUCGUUGGCUUGUCUCUCAGAACUCCUGGGGUGUCUUGAAGUAAUUUUACUCUCUAUCUCUAUCUCUGUGCUUCUAUCUUAUUGUUACAGUAAUAAUUGAUCAGGGCACCUCAGCUUUCUUAGAGUAACUGGUUUUUUCUGAGGCUGCUGAUUGAGGAGGAGGAAUUAAUUUAUUGAAAUUUUUAUUGGCUAUUUGAUUAGUUAGAGAUUCCAUUUUGUAUGGUAAUGAAAUCGGGUGUUUAGGUACAUAGAUUUUUUUUUGAUUGACUUAGUUGGAACAAGAUGGUUGCUAUAAAUCAGGUUGAAGAAAUAAAGACAGGAACUUUACUGUUGUUGAAAUUUUUCAGGAUGUCAUCCUAUCAGUAAGAUCUGAAAAGAUUAUUCAUUUUGGCUGAAAAAAAGAAGAAGUGUGAUAUGGAAAGUGAAACUGUCUGCUGCUUUCCAAGCUUGUAAAGAUUUUGACUUGUGUUUGCUUAUGUAUUAUCUUUGUGUUUGGAAGCAUGGAUUUGAAAUUUGAAUCUUACUUCUGGUUUCUGUGUUUGCAGUACCAUCUCAGGUGAAUUGGGAGGAGCACCCUUUGGGUAAGAUUUUAUCUUUUAUAAUUUUGUGACUAUUGUCUAUGUUAUCCUAGUCCUCAUCGAUGAUGUGUAUGUGUUUCAGCUUGGCUCUUUUAGAUAAUAUUACUAGUUUUGGUGUCUUUUUUGUCACACAUUAAGUUCAAGUAUAGCUCAUAACUGAAUAGUAUUAGAACUGGAUUGAGCCCGAACCCUUCUUUCUUUGCGCUCCUUGAAAGAAAAUAUUGUCCAAAAAAUUCAGAUCACCAUUGACAAAUGACAAGACAGUGUCUGUGUGUGUUACACAUAUCGUUCUCUGAUUAACAGCUUCAUUCCUAUGCCUUGCUGGACAAUUGUUUUCUAUUUGCCUCAGAAUCUUGUAUCACUUGUUUAUUUGUUACUGCAACUCCUAUGAUGUUUCUGCAUCAAAUUGAUCAUCAAAUACAAUGCAGGAAUGUGGUUUCAUUUAGCGAUGGGGAACCUGGAAAAGGCAGCGGUAUCCCAUACUUCUACUUGACAACUCUUGAUCCGACUGCAAGAAAUGCAGGGAAAGACCAAAGGGCUUCAUUGACAAUUAGUGAGCAUCCUAUUGGAACCUGUGGCAAAGUUGACCCUGAGAAUCCCACCUGUGCAAAGAUUACACUUACAGGAAAGGUGUGUAGCAACUUUGAGUUGAUUCAUUACAUGCUAAAAUAACAGAUAUGUAAAAAGAGGUAUUACGCUAAGUUUACUGACCCAGAGUUUCUGAUUUUAGUUGAGGUAUGCCAAUGGAAGUCCCAAAGAAAAAGAAAUUGCUAAAAAGGCCUUGUUCUCAAAGCAUCCAGAGAUGAAAUGUAAGUACACACAAUAUGGGGUAGAAACACAAUAUUACAUCUUUUGUGUCUAUAACCACCUUCUCACCAUUUCAUUUGUUGCUCAUGAACUAUAUUGAUCUUUAUUAUUGUUGGAUGAUUAACAGACUGGCCCAAGGGUCACAACUUCCAGUUCUUCAAAUUAGACAUCGAGAAUAUCUUUUUGAUUGAUUGGUUUGGGGGUCCAAAACCUCUCACAGUGGACCAAUACCUUCAAGCCAAAUUGUAAGUGUCAAGAGGACAAAAUAGAGAAGAUAAUAUACAGUAGAACCAAAAACAUGAAUGUAAUCUGAUGAAUAAAUGAAGAAAUAAUACGGUUUAGUGUCUCAACUUUAAAGUGUUUAUCUUUAAUUUCCUUUUCUUAUCCUACUUCCUGAAAUUGAUUUUGGUCCUCUACAGGACAGAACAUGCCUUCAACCUGUGAUUGAUCAUCCGGCUGUGGUUCAGCUUGAAUUCGAAUUGUUAUGAGUUGGAUCAUUUGGAUUGUGUACAGUGAACCUGUGUAAAUGAAAAGAAACAAAUGUAUAUAAUCAUGUAUUUCUAUGAAUUGUCACAGAAAUCUGCUAUCCUAUAAUUUGAUAAAAUAACAGGAGGGAACAUUAUUUGUACAAGGGAGUUCAAUUUUCUGUGUUGUAAGCUGAAAAAAAGUGAUACAGUGGAAAUUGGCAAGCUCUUCAUUUGUGUUUGAUUCAUAUAUUCCACCUUAUAGAGAUUUUCUCAUGUAAGGACAUCCUUAUUUAUUCUUAUGAUGCGGAUUUUCACUUUAGUCUUUAGGUACUAAUGUGUAGAUCAUCUAUACAAAUUUUCAGUCAAUUUGAUAAUCAUUAAAACACUCAAACUCGAUUAAACCAAUAGACAAACUGAAUUCUGUUAAACUUGAGCCGUUCAUGUUUAAAACAGGAAAAUACAAUUUUGAGGGCCUUAACAAUUAUUAAAUUAGAAAUCUGCACCAUAUGAAUAAAUAAAGACAUCCUUAGUAGACACAAGACAAAGUGAAUAUUCAAGAACAAACAUCCUAUGUGGAAUCAGAAUUCCUUAUUCGACUAGCAUUACACCAAGACACACACAAAGUGAAUAUUCUAGAACAACAUUCUAUUAUCAUAAAUAUUUUUCACAAAUUUAUGUUCAAAUCAACGACAUUCUACUAUCAGAAGAGACCCAAGCCCCAACAUAACGUCUGUGUCACUCAUGUUCGAAUCAUAGACAUUCUAUUAUUACUAGAGCCCCAACAUGACCCAAUAUAACGUUCGUGUCACGUCCGCGCCACGCUGUAUGUUUCCGCUAGACCAACCCAACUAGAAUUCAUUGAAGUUGAUUAUGAGCUUCAUUUCAUUUUAUUUUGUUAGAAAUUCUUGCGUGCAUGACGUGUAUUUACACGACGCAAUUUUAACCGUUUAUAACAAUUCAUAUGUUUGACCACCAUAUUUCUAUAUUAUUUCAUCUAAUUCUGACCAUCCAUGUAUGUAUGUGAACUCAUGUGUGACAAUUCCACCCAGAAGGUUCCUUAUUUUAUACAUAUAUAUAUAUAUAUAUAUAUAUAUAUAUAUAUAUGAUGAUAUAUGAAGAUAUCACGAGCGAGUCACGUGAGUAAGGAUAGAGAUAGAUAGUCGUUACUGGAUUCGUUAACCAUAUCACCCGCCUGAACUUGAAGUCUUCACUCUUCACAAUCACCAACGAUGCACCUCUUCAUCUUCGUCUUCAAAUUCUAAGCUCCCCCUAAAAAUGUUGCACCCCCUAACUCACCUUCCCUCCUCUCUCCCGCCAAAAACCCUAACCGACCUCCACUCCUUCUCCCCCUUCUUCUCCUUCCCCAAACCCCCCAAACCCUCCCAAUUCACCAUCCGGAGCUCCGCCGCCGACUCCAAAACCCUCGCCGCCAAUUCCGCCAUCCAACGAAUCGCGGAGAAGCUCCGCAGCCUCGGGUUCACCGAAGACAACAAUAAACCCGACUCCAAACCCGGCCCAAGCUCCGCCGGCGAAAUCUUCGUCCCUCUGCCGGAGACUCUCCCCAAGUACCGCGUCGGCCACACUAUCGACCCGAGCUGGAGCACGCCGGAGAAGCCGGUCCCGGCGCCGGGGACCGGGAGGGCGAUUUCGAGGUUUCAUGAGAUGAGGAGGGAGCUGAAGAGGCUGGAGGAGGUGGAGGAGAUGGAGAGGAAGAAGGAGGGGAAGAAGAAGGAGGAGAAGGUGCCAACGUUGGCGGAGAUGAGCUUGUCUACGGCGGAGCUGAGGCGGUUGAGGACGGUUGGGAUUGAGCUGAAGAAGAAGGUGAGAGUUGGGAAGGCUGGGAUUACUGAGGGGAUUGUGAAUGGGAUUCAUGAGAAUUGGCGGCGGUCGGAGGUUGUGAAGCUUGUUUGUGAGGAUUUGUGUAGGUUGAACAUGAAGAGGACUCAUGACUUGUUGGAGGUAAGAAUCCGUUUUCGCUAUUUGAGUUGUACAUGACUUUUCGAUAUGGGGAUUGUUUGUUUGCAAUGUGUUUUUACUUGUUGCAGAUUUGAAUUAUAUCGGAAAUGUGAUAUAGUGUGAUUGUUUAUAUAACGGAGUUAGUUAAUUUUAGUUUUUGUUGGUGACAUUAUCAGAGGAAAACUGGAGGGUUGGUUGUUUGGAGGUCAGGAGCGAAGAUAAUUUUGUAUAGGGGGGUGAACUAUAAGUAUCCUUACUUUUUAAAGGGUAAAAAGCGUGAAGAUUCGACAAGUGAUGAUUCUGGUGAUGCGGUAGUUAAUGCUGGAGGAACCGAUGAAGCAAACUCUGUGACAGGACCAAGUCCAACUGAUGAAAAAACUCAGCCAGCCUUAAUACAAGGGGUUGGUUUGGCAAAUAGGUUUCGGUUUCAGCUUCCAGGCGAGGCAGAACUUGCUGAAGAAGCUGACCGCAUGUUAGAGGGACUUGGUCCGCGGUUUAAUGAUUGGUGGGGAUAUGAACCUCUACCGGUUGAUGGGGACCUUCUACCAGCUGUUGUACCUGGAUACAGGAAGCCUUUCCGACUUCUUCCGUAUGGCUUGCAACCUAAGCUAACAGAUGAUGAAAUGACCACAAUAAGGAGACUUGCCCGACCCUUGCCAACUCAUUUUGCAUUAGGUUAGUUUGGAUUAUGAUGUCGCUACUCUUACUCUCUUCAGCCAACAUUUGUGUUUACUAGCUUUUCUCCCUAUACAGGAAGAAACAGAAAGCUUCAAGGGUUGGCUACGUCCAUUGUCAAACUCUGGGAAAAAUGUGAGAUUGCCAAAGUAGCUGUUAAAAGAGGGGUUCAGAACACUAAUUGCGAGCUGAUGGCUGAAGAGUUGAAGGUGUGAAUAUUUCUUCAAUGUAUCUAUAUUCUAUUUAUUGGAACCAGAACGCAUUAUGGCUGUUGCUUAACUUAGAACAUGUUCUUUGGCAGAGGCUGACUGGAGGAACUCUGAUUGCUCGGGACAAGGAAUUUAUUGUUUUAUACAGGGGAAAGGAUUUUCUGCCUCCUGCAGUUUCCUCUGCCAUAGAAGAGCGGAGGAAGGCUGUAAUGUAUGCAGAUAAUCGGAGUAGGAAGUUGAGGAUUUCUGCCACAACGGCACAGGAUCAUGAAUCCAGGACUGAACUGGAAACCAAAGAUGAUCUGACCGGUGGUCUUCCAUCUGAAAAAAGAAAGCUAAAAUCUACUGAGGCAGCUGCCAGUAGGGCCAGCAUUAAAUUGUCCAUGGUAUGACUUUCUGUGAUGCUACAUUUACAACACUUUUGGUUCAGCUUUUUUGUCUUACAAAUGGCACAUAUGCAAUGAACAGGCUUUAGAAAAGAGGGAAAAAGCAGAGAAACUUCUAGCGGAGCUGGAGAAAGCAGAGAGUCCCCAGCAACCUGAAAUAGAUAAAGAAGGUAUAACUGAAGAGGAAAGAUAUAUGCUAAGGAAGGUUGGCUUGAAAAUGAAGCCUUUCCUACUAAUGGGUGAGUUAUACUAUCUUUUUUCUUGGACUCAGCAGCUGUUCUAUCAUUGAUUCCUAUUAUAGGACUGAAUCAUAGGCCAUAUUAAAAAUCCAUCAAACUAUGCGGCUCCUUCAGCAUGAUUGCCAAGAAAGAUUAAUAAAGUCUCUUAAAAUGUUCAGGUCGACGAGGAGUAUUUGAUGGGACAAUUGAAAACAUGCAUCUCCAUUGGAAAUAUAGGGAGCUCGUGAAGAUUAUUUGUAAUGAGAAAAGCAUUGAAUCUGCUCACCAAGUAGCACAAACUUUAGAGUCCGAAAGUGGUGGGAUUCUUGUGGCAGUGGAGAGAGUAAGUAAGGGUUACGCAAUCAUCGUGUACCGUGGAAAAAAUUAUAUCCGGCCUGCUAAUUUGAGACCUCAAACACUUCUGACUAAACGAGAAGCACUGAAGCGUUCUAUUGAGGCACAGCGUCGUGAGGUAGAAUUUGCGUUUUAUCUAUUUGUCAUUAUCAAUCUGCAUCCACUAACUUAAAAUGUUUAAGGAAAAAAGAAAGAUAGAAAGAAUCAUAUGAUGCAAGUCCAUUCAUAGAGGCCGGAUUAAUGGCCAAGUUGUCUAAUCCUAUCAAUUCUAAUUCCCCCCUCUAGAUUGAUUUUGGCUGAAACACUGCCUUUUGAUCUUAGAAUGACCUGAAAUGAAAGAUAACGGAUAUAGUUGCAUUGUCAUGUAAAAUCUAUAGGACAAGGAUCUUGGAACAAUCUUGACUGUUUUUGAUGUUGAAAGCUAUUUCAUAGUCUUUUGUAUUGUUCUUACUUUUAUCAUGUCUACUUCAACAUCUGAUUCUGUUUUCUUUUUUCCUGCUGUGAAAUGCAGUCCUUGAAACUUCAUGUUUUAAAGCUUAACAAGAACAUAGAUGAAUUGGAGGAAUUGGUGGUGAGCUUUCCUAUUAUUCUAUAAUUCAAUAUUUUUACUCUAUCCUUUUUGCUUUUUUGCACAUCAAAGAGACAAUUAUACAUUAUUUUCCUGAACCAGGUUAAAGGCAAGGACUCAAACAAUAUGCAUCCAGUUAAUGAAUCAAAGGAAUUGGUGAGCUAUCUGAUGACUAUAUACUUUGAUGUGCAUCAGAUAUUUAGCUGGAUUAUAGUUAACAGUUUUUUUGCGCCACAUAAAUCAGGUCAGGGAGGAGGUAAAUAAUGUUGAAUCAGAAGAAUGUAUGCAUGAAGAGAAUCUCAAGGUAAAGACUACAAAGUAUGAUAAUGUCUCAGACAUCUGUAUAAUAUUUGUAACUUAUAGUUUUGUUCUUCAAAAGUGAUAUCUGAUAAUCUGAUAUAGUGCAUAAAUGUUUUUCAAGGCUAGAGGCAAACAAGAAUCUCAUGUGACCAACAUGAAUUUAAAUGAUGGAAUGGUUGCUGUUGUGAAAGGCCACUUAGCCACACAACAGGGUGAGGGGUAUGGUCUCUCUUCAAGUUGUGAUGGAGAGGAGACUGAUGAAGUGGAAUCAAGGUCUUCGAAUGGAUCAGUUACGAUUGAAUCCCAGGAAAAUUUGUUCAAUAAUGUAAAAGGAGAAGUUGGAAUAUUGAACAAGGCUAGAGACAAACAAGAACUUGAUGGUAUAGAUGCGGAUGCGGAUUUAUUUGAUGGAAUGAGUCCUGUCAUAAAUGGCCAGUUAGCCACACAGCAAGGUAAGGAGAUUACUUUCUCUUUGGCCUACGAUGAGGAUGGGCCUGGUAAAGUUGAAUCAGUAUCUUCAGAUGAAUCUGUUACAAGUAAAACCCAAGUGGAUUUGUUCGAAGAUAUAAAAGAAGAAGCUGGAGUGUUUAUCAAUGCUAGAGAUAACCAAGAUUCGCAGGUGACUCAGAUGGAUUUAAAUGUUGGAACGGGUGCUGUAGUUAACAGCCAAUUAGCCACUCAACAGGAUAAGGAGAUUUUCUCUUUUAUCUGUGAUGAGAAUGAGAGUGGUAAAGUCGAUCCAGGAUCUUCGGUUACAAUUGAUUCCAAUGCAACUUUCUUCAAGGAUAGAAAUAGAGAAGUUGAAGGUUAUGUUUGCCGUGAAGAUGUUAUGGUAAUAUAAAGAUGUCGUAUGCUAGUUGAUAUUAGUUUAUCUUCUUUUCUUUGGCAACCUCUUAUGUUGUCUGGUUUUGUGGUGAUUCCAGUCAAAAGGUCCAAGCAGUUCUGCUAUUCUUGACAAUCAGCAUCGUGUUUUUGAUUAUGAGCUGGAAUCAUCAGGUAGAUCUGGUAAUACUAAAUCAAAAUCUCCAGUUCCAACAAUGGUAAGAAAGACAUUAAAUGAGAUGCCCUCGAGAGCUGUGCAUUUGUCCAACAGUGAGAGGCUUCUACUGCGAAAGCAAGCCCUGAAGAUGAAAAAACGCCCUGUGCUUGCCGUUGGUAAUUUGUUUUCCAUUUUGAGUUUUCUUAUUUCCCUCUUAUUGUUAAACUAUUCUUGCUAAAACAGUUGUUAUUUGAUAGGAAAUGUACUGCACUGAUUUCUAGUUUGUACCUGAACCUUACUUUCGCACCAUGGAUUUUCUUUUUCAUGCUUAUUUUGAAAAUGCUAACUAUCCCUGACAUUAUAUUGGUUCAUGAUUACAUGUCCUAGUAUAUAGAUUGCCAAAAUCCUAAUCUAUAUGCAACCUCAUUAUUUCUGAAGUGUGCUGUUGUUAUCACUUCUUAGGUAGGAACAAUAUUGUAACUGGUGUUGCGAAAGCAAUCAAAGCGCACUUCGAGAGGUAUCCUCUUGCCAUAGUAAAUGUCAAAGGCAGAGCAAAAGGAACUUCAGUAAGGGAAAUUGUUUUUAAGCUGGAGGUGCGCACAAAAAUUCCUCUCUUUUUCUCCCCUAGUUUAGGCUAUUCUGUGCUUCCAUUUAAACUUGUCUGAAUCUCUCUUGUUUAGGCUAUUCUGUGCUUCCAUUGUAACUUGUAUGAAUUUAUUGUUUCUCUUCCACAGCAAGCAACAGGUGCGGUUUUAGUCUCCCAGGAGCCAAGCAAAGUUAUUCUUUACAGGGGUUGGGGUGCAGGAGAUAGUCCUGGAAAUAAUGAUAAGAAGAACACAAUUGGGAAAAAGGUUGCUCCUGUGUCUCCUGAACUCUUGGCAGCAAUAAGACUCGAGUGUGGUUUACAGAACCACGAAAAGGAAGAUGCAACUGCUUAGGUUGGAUCCUAAGCUUGUACCAGAAGUUACCAACUGCAGAGACCAUGCACAUACAAUACCUAGUUAGCAAGAAUUCACAUUCAUUCACAUCAUCAACUUGAGCCUGAACAUAUCCGGAAACUCAUCUACCCCUUUUGGCAUCUCCAAUCCAGGAAUCUAUGAGAUCAUAUCUUCGGAAGAUUCAACAAGCAUCGGUAUGACUUGUAUGCUAAAUAGAUUGUACCCUAUCUGUAUAUAGAAUGCUGUCUUGACAUAUUCAGUGGCUGAUCUGCUACAUUGGAAAUCAGAGAGCUUUGUUUUGGGGUCAAAAUGAGGGUAAUUCACUAUGCACCCUUCUGUAUGUUAAUCUUGAACAUUUUUGUAAACAUACCUAGAGACUGAAAUAGAAGCACCUGUUCUCUCAUCCUAGAGUAAGGUUAGCCAAAAACUCCUGGUAAGGUCGGUCAGGUGCAUCAGACAAUGAGAUAGUUGUGUAGACCCAUCGACUACGACAUAAUAUUGGCCCAUACUCGCUGCAGGCAUGCCUUUCAUUCUUGUUGUCGAUUCUAGGACCAUGUCCCCAACCCCACUUUCUUCUUCCUUCAACAGUUGAACUCCUUUUUUGUCUUUUUACUUCCGUAUUCUUUGAAUCUUUUCUAGGUGGAGGAUUGUGUAAUUUUUGUUAUUCUAUGCCUUCUUCCUGUUGAUAGUUGAGACGAUACGAAGAGUUAAUUAGCGUAAUGAUAAUUCUCUCUAUGUUUAAAGUUGUAUCGGGCUAAAAAGGAGGUAUAAUCUUGUCUGGAAGACAUGUGAAUAUGAACUGCGACUAGUUGUUUUCUAUCAUUAGUCCUGUGUACGUCCAUCUUUUUCUACUAAUGUGUGAUGAACUACAUCCGUAAUUUAGUUGCAUACAACCGUAGCAAUGAAAGAAAAUGGUGAAAAUUACAUGGCUUCAGGCCUUGGUUUCUUUUGAUAUUGAUAAGACUCUGAAGUGUUUCAAUUAUACAGAUAAUAUGAUGACCUGAAAAAACUGAAGCAGCUGAAACCUGAAGCAGCUGGCAACCCCUGGCAUAACAAAUGGGCAUCAGCUAAACUUAAUGCAAGAUAAGUUCUCACAUAGAAGUUACGCAGUACAAUACACACAACAUUGUUAUUAGUAAAAGUGUUGGUAACAUAUUCAACCGUAAGGUGAAGGUGUUGAUUAUAACUAAAUUACGUAUUGAAAUAAAUAUAACCGUCUUCUUUUUUGUUAUAAAUAAACUACUAUAUCAUCGCUUUGCCUUCUUGUCAUUGUACUGGCUCNCCCUUUUUUUUUUUUUUUUUUUGAAUAUCAACGACCGUAUCAUCAAAGACUCACCAGGUCCAGAAACUAAUCCGCGUCGAGAAAUACUUCCUCAUUUAGUUUUACUUAUUUUCCGUCGAAGAAAAACUUUUGACAUAGGACAUUGAUUCUAAUCAAUUAAUUAAUCAUACUUGCAAGUUUAAGAUUGAUCAACCAAAACAUGCAUCUCAACUAAAUCAAACUGAAACUGCUGCUAGUGUAAUUUUCAAAGAGAAAUAUAACAGAUUAUGAGCUUAGUCGAAGCUGGCGCAUGAUAACAUGGACUUGGCGCAUGAUAACAUUGACUAUGACGCCGGAGCAAGAAGCUAGUCAAAUAUGUAACUGUACUGUGUAUGACAUUGGAGAAAAAAACACACUAAUUUUCUCAAUGGUAGAAGACGAAGUUUAACUUGCCCAAAAUCGCAAUAUUGUUUCACACGCGCUUGGAGUUCAGAUGAGACUGGUUAAGCCACACACUUUCUCUCUCUCUAUCAUAUGUCAGAUAGAGAGAGAGAAGAGAGAAAGAGAGAGGAGUCUUGGGCUUCAUAAAUGAAAAUCAUCAUCACACACACUUUUUCUCUCUCUAUCAUAUGUCAGAUAGAGAGAGAGAAGAGAGAAAGAGAGAGGAAGAGAGAGGUAGGCACAAAAAACCUAGAAAUUUAGCUGCCUUUCUUUCAACGCCAGAGGCCAAACGCAAUCAUGCUGUCUUCUCCUUACCUUCUUUAUCGCCAUCAUUGCUCCCACUCCAUCUUCUUCUGCUCCAACCCCUCCUCAACCACCCCACAAAGUCCAGACCAUCAUCAUUAUCACCAACAAAGGAGAAAGAAGAAGAAGAAGAAGAAGAAAGCUUUUCAAGGAAAACCAGAAAGAUCUACCCUAGCUGUUCUCAGCUUUCUCUUUGGUUGCCAGUGAUGAACAAGUGAAAAGUGUGUUUCUGAUCCGACUAUUUCAAAGAUUUUUUCAAGUCUUUGCUUUUGGGGAAUCAAGCAUCAUGGUCCGACUCUACUUCGAUUUGCUUGUGUAUGUUCCAUCAAAGCUGCAUCAGAUCGUUUCUCUAGUUCUUGUAUCGAUCGGUUUGUAGUUCUCUCUCUUGUUUAUGUGAUCCUUGUAGUUGGGAUCUUGUUGGAUAAGGGUUUCUGUCAUUAGGUUACUUAAGAACAAUUAAGUUACUAGCUAGCUAGCUAUUUGGUUACGAAGAAGGUCUUAUGCUCUAUCUCUCUGAUCUGUGUAUGGAUUCCUCUUGUUAAUCAUCAGAUUUGGCGUCUCUUCAACUCAACGUUAGCUUGAAGAUGAUUGAAUUUGUGUGGUUCGAAUUUCCUGGUGAAAUGAUAAUAAGAUAUAUAUUACUGUUGAAAUCCAAUAAUUCUAGAUAUGUAUAUAUGUGAAUGCGUGGUUUGGUACUCUGGUUAGUAUGAACUGUAUGAUUAGUUUCUACUUCAACUUCCUGAUGCAGAAAACUUGAUUAGCUAGUGUAUGAUUGAACCAAAGUAUCGUACUCGGUUAUGUUAAUUAAGUCAUGAGUUCCUUGAAAACUUUUCUUUCUAGCUAGAUCCACUCCAUAAUCCAUAGUAGGGUUUUCAUUUAGAGAUGUGUGAAUUGAUAUAUGUGAUUUCUUAUAUUGAUUAAUGGAGAUUCAGGUAUUGAGUACUGAGUACUGUCGUACUGACCUGAGUAUUUUUUGAAGAUUCUGUUAGCUUCAACAGGAUGAGAAGAAACAAGAACAUAAAACAAAUGUUUGGUACUCAUAAUUAUCUAUGUUCUACUUUAAAUAUCUUUAUAAACUUGAUUACUUUAUAAAGCACGCACCAUAUAUAUAUAAACAGUUAUUCAUGUAGAUACUUCUUCGUCUUCCUCUUCCAUACUGUAUUUAUUUCCCAACAGCAAACACAUGUGUAAGUUGGAUUCUUGAGUGUUCUUCGUCUGGGAAUUUACCAGAUGAUAUAUACUUGAUAGCGUUCCAUCUCUACCUAGGGUAGCCUCAUUUGUACGUUGCGGACUCAACUAUCCAUUUUUGGAGUCAAAACGAAGGUAAUACAAAAGGCUAUGAUCUCCGAUCGGUUCUUUUUGGCUAUCUGGCGGGUUUGGACUCUGGAUAAUGGUUAAACUUAAUCCAAAAGCAACCAACCUCAUGCAUGCAUUAUAUCUGAGUUCUUAGGGCCAAGUACUUCAAAUGAAUGAAAACAACGAGUUGGUAUUUGGUAUAACGUAGAUAGCCAGAGCUGAACUUGAAGCUUAAUUUAACUUGAGCUGAGGGAGUCUGGUAUUAUUCGUUUAUAGUUUCAAACUUGAAAUUUCAAGAUGUGUAUUUUCUUUCACAUGCAGGAUCAUGAUGAAGAGGAAGAAGAAGAAUAAUCAUGAUGAUAAUGCGCGCUAUAUGGUGCAGAAGCUGCUGCUGCUUUCGGCAGCAAUGGCAUUACGGAACGAUCGUGAUAAAAGUGGUGACAACUGACAAGUCCCACAUCGCUUAAUGAAUAGUAAUCAUGAUAAACAUAGCAAUACACGUGCUGUGUCUCCAGAGAUCUUAAUUAAGGACAUGGAUAAUUCAAAAGGAAUAAGAAAAACGAUGAUCCAUACUCGAAGCAAACCCUAAUACGUUCUCGUAUACAUAAUCGCUUCAGUCAAAUGUGUCUUACUACCUGUCCUUUCCAUUCCCCAGUGCUUUCUCUAUGUUGCUUUCUCAAAGACAAAAUUCACGGUUCAGACUCAUACGGAUGCACAUGAUUUUUAGAUGUUUGGUGACAAAAAUCAAAAUCAAAAGAUAUUGAAGAUGAUACAAUGUAAAGAAUAUAUGUACGUACUAUCUUGUACGUGUAAAACGUAUCUAUAUGAAUUGGAAUUUUAGCUUUGGAAAUGAAAAUGUAAUGGUGGAUAGUCUACACACUAGUAUCACGUGUGUGUGGUUUUGAUAUGCGCCCAUAUGUCUCAAAGAACCGCACUUACCUAUGUUAACUAUUGCCUCUAAAUAUUUCGAGAUGUUUAAGAAAUUUGGGGUUUAAGUUUUAUGUCUCACUUUGUAUUUUAUGGUUUUGUUAAUAGUCAAGACAUGAGGGCUGCCGUUUAACCCCUAUGCAUAUGAGUACUUGACAAGACAUCGAGUUUUGAACUUUGAAAUGAAAAUAUAAGGUGAUAAUACUUUCUUGUUUUUUUUUUAGGAAUGAUAAUACCAUUUUGGAGAAAGAUGGAAGUCAUGACUUGAAUGAGUGAGUGUCAACAAAAAAGAUUAAACGUACUGUUUAGCAACAAAAUAAAAAAGCGCUAGAAGGAGGGGUCGAACCUCCGACCUUGUGGUUAACAGCCACACGCUCUAACCAACUGAGCUAUUCCAGCUUCUUGCUGAUGUAAUUUGAUUAUUACUAUUUAACCCAGGAUGUGGUUGGGUUGUGAGUUGUGACCGUGGUUCCACUUAACCGCAAUUCAUUGGGCGCAGACCGAGUGGUUGGCGUCUUCCCUAAACCGAUAUUCACAACGAGUGGCACCAAACCAUUCCUCCUCCUCUCUGCCUUUUUCAAAUCCCAUCAAUUUCAGAUAAACAAUCCCCCCUUACUUUUCCUAAAUCCAAACCCCAAAAACUAUAUAAACAAAACCCCCUUUAUAAUUACCCACAAAUCAAAAACCAAAAUUAAUUUAAACUCCACAGCACUCAUCUCUCUCUCACUCCCACAAGCUCACCCUCAAAGCUCGCCGCCGGCCAUGACUCUCCAGCUCCAAGCUCCGUCGUUCGCCGCCACCAUUUCGUCUCUUGCUUCCCCUCUCAACCGCUCCACCCGCCGCUUCGUAAUUCGAGCUCAAGGUUCGGAAUUUAAUUGUGUUUUAUCAAUUCCCGAUUUAUUGGAGUUUCUGAUUUGUGUCUGAAAUCAUAUGUGUGUGUUUAUAUGUAUGAAUGUGGAUGAAGAAGUGAAAAAAGUGAAAACCUUGAGACUCUAUUUGAAGCAUUUUCCAGCUUGGAUUAGGAUAAUGUUUUCGAUUUAAUUUGCCAAAAAAGAUUGUGGCUUUUUGAUUUUAAUGUUGGAGUUACAUGUAUUGAUGUGGCAGUUGAGCCAACAGAGAAGUCUGUUGAGAUUAUGAGGAAGUUUUCGGAGCAGUAUGCUCGGAAGUCCGGGACAUACUUCUGUGUUGAUAAGGGAGUCACUUCUGUUGUUAUCAAGGUAAUGUGUUGUCCAUAAGCAUAGUUCUUUAGUUCUAAUUUUGCUAGAUGAUGUAUUAGCUUGGUUUGGCAUUUGAUUGUUGGUAAGAGAAACUCAUUUUGGAUUUGUCAACAGGGAUUGGCAGACCACAAAGAUUCAUUGGGUGCUCCACUUUGCCCUUGUCGGUAAACAUCUGUUCGUUCGUAUUGUUUUUGAAUUGGUUGUUUAGUUUUAUCAUGUACUUUUAACUCCUAUGAGGUGUUAGUGAUCAAACUAGCAUGUUCAUGGUUUCCAAGUCUCAAAUACGCUGGUGUUGCAGGCAUUACGAUGACAAACCGGCAGAGGCUGGCCAAGGCUUUUGGAACUGCCCCUGUGUUCCCAUGAGGGAAAGGUGAGUUUGACCUUUUCUUUUACGUUCUCUAUGUUCAGUAAGUUGUAGAUUCGAAUUCCUGGUUGAAAUUUAGCUGAAAACCUGGGAGAUACUGGUGUAUUGUGAUAUGUUAUUCUCCUUAUGAGCACGAGUUUGGUAGUCAGCCAUUGAAAUCAAAAGAUACAAAUCGGCAAUAGCCUUGUUCUAAAUUCGUUUAAGCGUAGAUGCUUGGGUUGCAACUACGUGUCCUAGUAAUGGGAAGAUGUGUUCUUUAUACCCAUUCUAUCAAAUAGUUACAAGGGUCGUACCAUAAUUAGCUAAUGUUCUGCUAUCAUAGGCUGUUUGCUGGUCCUAUUAUAAUGUUCUGCAAAAGGGUUGUAGAAAAUCCUACAUGUUGAUCAACAAAUUCUAUUCCAUAUCUGCUUCUUCCUUCAGAAUCCCUUAAACCAAUAAUGUCAGUCUUUCCUUCAUUCUCAUCCGAAACCUCUCUAUCAAACACACUUCGUCUCUCCACCCACAAUACACACUUGCAACUUACAAUCAUUUUCAGAUUGAAGUUAUUUGAUGUCAAGGUUUGAUAUAAGCUGUAGAUAUUGUUCUAAUGCAGGCAUCUAGGUCGAGAAUAACCAAACAAACUAAUCACAAUAGUUAGUUGCAAUAAAAAUCCCAAUAAAUAACGAAAGUUUACCACAACGUUGUUGCUCCUUUUGACUCUGAUGUCUAUACUAGUCCUGUUUUUAUAUGCCAGCUUAUAUACGCAUUUCCUCUUCUUGCUAAAAUUGUAAGACUGUCUUGGCAGGAAGGAGUGCCACUGCAUGCUCUUUCUCACCCCUGAAAAUGAUUUUGCUGGAAAAGAACAGGUAUUUAGACACGUUUCAUUUAGCUCAUCAAUUGUGAUGUCUAUAUCAAACGCUUUUUUGUUCAUGAUGUUCUCUUGCAAACUGUUUGCACAUUCAUGGCAUAUUACUUCACAUCUUUUUCCACAUAUAUCUAAUUAUUUGUCUCUGCAACUCUUGUGCAAUGCAGACAAUCACCUUAGAAGAGAUCAGAGAAUCCACGGCAAACAUGUAAUAAGCAUCAAUGUGUAUUGAGAAUUAUGUAUAAACUACCACUACUGUAUUUGUUACAAGGAAAAGAGUAAAGAGUUCAUGUUUUGAACGUCUCAAACCAGACUAUUUCUGAUCCUUCUUUUUUGUUCUUCAUUUUUAUCUGCAUGCAUUUUCAUUUGCUUCUCUCAUUGUAAUUUGAAGCACAUGUAAGGCAAAGCCAAAUCAUGCCAUCUGUACCCAAUAGAAACAGCCAAUUGUUUAGAGCACCACCCAGUUUGGUGCAAAGCCUUCAUUGGCUGUGGUGGUUCUUUACUUUGAGUGCAGGCUUUCAAGAUCUUGGUGAUUGCUUUAGAAAUAAGAAGCGACUAACAACUCGAAUUCCUUCUUCCAGUAGUAAAAUUCAUACUCUCCUAAACCCUAAUAGGAAUCCCCUGGCGAGAAGGAAACUCCUCAACUCUUUAAAUAUACCUUUAGCCCCCUACAAGCCUUUGAUUCCUUUGGUCAAUAUGUCUCUCCAAAAGUACCGGCGUUCCAAAAAACAUGAUCUUAAUCCGGGGAGCAAGUUGUGAAACAAGUCCCUGAUGAGAUUAUGGAAUUGAUUCUGCAGAGGCUAAACAUAUUCGAGUACCUAGCGUUUCGCCAAGUAUGCCAUCCUUGGCGUGCCCUAAGCAAGCGUUGCCCUCCUGCUCCUCACCUUCCAUGGCUUCUGUUUAAUUCUCAUCCCUACUACAUCCAAGACCAAUGCUUUGUAAGCUGUCUCAGCGAUCCCAGGAUUCACACUCUAGACUCCCCAAUGUUGUUUCUUGAGUCGAGAUGUCUCGGACCAGAUGAAGGAUGGUUGAUCAUGGCUGCUCUCGUUCGUAGACUUUCCCCUGUCGUCAACUACUUACUGAAUCCAAUAACAGGUUCCCGAGUCGAGCUCCCACCUAGUCCACCAUUUCAGGCCUCCAUAGCAACAGUGUCGACUUCAUAAAGAAGGCAGUGGCCUCUUUCGAACAAACAAGUCUAGAACACUGUGUUGUGGCUUGCCUUCGUGCCACUGAUGAUCAUUUGGCUUUCUGUAGACCCUUUGAUGAAUCAUGGACCCUGAUUGAAGCCAGAGAGGGGAACAAGAUUCGCAGAUUUACAGACGUAGAAAUAAUUGAUGGGAAACUAUAUGCUGUAACGUACAGCAAGACCUUAAUGGUGUUUACCUAUACGGCUGAAAUGUUGUUUGAGCUUCCCCUUAUGUCGCUUCCAUUCCAUCUAGCAAAAGAUGUUGCAUCAAAGGACCUCUUUAUCGUUUAUAGAGAACGCAUUUGCAGCAAUGUAAGCUUUCAUGUGAUGAAGUUACAGUGCAACAAGUGUGAUGAUCCUCACUGUGUACUGGUUUACGAUCUCGGUGACCGGACACUAUUCCUAAGCGAUCUUGACACCAAGAUUAUUUCUUCUUCAAGCAGCAACCUUAGUGGUUCCGUCGAUAACAGACUCAGAAACUGUAUCUAUUAUUCUUUCGGAUACGGGAGAAAAUUUGGUGCAUUUUCCUUGUUUUCCUUGACAAAUAAGAGCAUCAAACUCUUGACUCUCCCAGGUUAUGUCUCCCCGUUUGCAGAACAGAGAUUCUCCAAAGAAAGUUUUGUUUGGUUCAAACCAAAUCCUUGGUAAUUAUAUGAAAUCAUUGUAUUUCGGAUCGUGGUAUAGGAUAUUGUUUUCAGUCCUCAGCAAUCAGAUUGAAGCAGUCAAGCAGAGCGGGAAUAUCUGUGCAAGAAAUAUGUCUAAGAUGAUUGAAAGUGCUAACAACACCCCCUCGCAGCUUAUCCAAAUAGAACACUGGUUUAAAAUUGUUUCUUAUAUAUAUUAUUUGCCAACAACAAUGUGUCAUGGUAUAGACCGUGUCUCAAAAUAUCGGUUGUGAACUUGUGAUCAUUUCAUAUUAUAUAAUAACAAGAUAAGAUUUGCAAACAUGGUGAUACACAAUCAAACACAUUUGUGUAUGCAUCUUAGACUAUUGUUUAUCGAGGACUUUCAUUCGGAGUUACCAUGCCUCAAGUGCAUCUAUAGAAGUAGAAAUUGGUAGCUGCAUGAUAUCCACCCAUUUCCGGCCGUUUCCGGUAAUAUCAGCGUGUUGCUUGUACCCGGUGCUUUUUGGGUUAAACAUUUAUUAUCGGAAACAGCCGGAAACGUGGCGGAAACGUAGUCGUAAAUAAAUCGGAAACAUGGAGCAAGACUGACUUUUGAUCUCAAAAGAAAGAAAAAAAAAGAAGAAAAAAGGGAAAGAAAAAGAACUUGGGCUUUAGAAGUGAGGGACGGUUGUGGCCCAAAAGAUAUAUGAGCUGACCCGGGGCGCCAAUUUCUGGAGGUCAAGGCGGACUCACACAAACAUCACAACGACACAACCCCUUUCCUUUCCUGCUAAGAGAGAGAGAGAGAGAGAGAGCUAAGAUCAGAUACAUUAGCCAAUGCCCACCAAAUUUGAUUCCUUUCUCUAAAAUCACUGCUGUUAGAUUCUAGGGUUUCUACUUCCCUUUCCCUCUUCUCCAAUCAGAUCUCCAGAACCCAACUUUCCGCAUUUGGCUCGCGGCUAUGUCGAAGCCCAGGGUCACCAUCACCCUCGGCCGCUCUGGUCAGGUAAGUCAAUUAGAGCUUUUUAUUCGAUCAAAGGAAGUUUUGUUUUGUUUUGUUUGCAUAGUCGUUGUGGUCGAUUUUGUAUAUUUCAAUUAUUUUUUUUGUGUUUCCGAUUAUAAUUGAGCUUGAAUUUGUUGUAAUUUAACUACUUUUUUGUGUGAUACGAGGCUGAGGUAGUUGAUAUGGUUGUGGUCGGAUUGUUGAGGUUGGAUUUUGUUAGGUUGGAUUGUGGCUGUGUUUUGUGUGUGGCGGAAAGUUUAUUUGGUUACUUAUUGUGGAAAGUUUUUUUUUAGGUUGUGGAGAGGGGAGGAACAUCAGGCUCUGCACAAAUGCGUGGCGAAAGAGGUAUGGUUUCGGGAGGGAAACGAUCGAUGGGAGACAGGCUUGGGAGUAAUGCUCAUGGCAAGCGGUACUUUGUUCCGUCUCUCUUGAGUUCUACAUGGCACUUAUCUGCUUAAGUUUGAUCAGGCAGUUUUGUGAUGCUUUAGGUUGAGAGUAGUUGUGGUUUUGCUCUAGUUUGGUUCCUAUGGUUUUAAUGGCAUGCUCACCACUCUAGUAUAGUUUAAUCCACCAUCACCGCCACUGUCGAUCUUGAAGCGUUUUCGUUUUCAAUAUGGAAAAAUUGUUAAUUUUAGCGUUACCCAAAAAGGAUUGGAUUCGGGAGUAGGGUAGUGGGUUUUGUUUCCUUAAUCAGGUGCAUAAUAUAAAAAAGGUAAAAGCAAUCUGUGUCGUCUUUUCUUUUCUUUGAACAUGUUUUAGAAGCUAAGGAGAGAAAUGUGUUUCUCCAAUUUGUAAAAUUCAUUGUUUGUCUGCAAAGGCGGCAGCAUGUUUAUUUGAUGAUGGGCUGCUGUUUGCAUUGUUAUGUUAUUUGUGUCUGUAGUGAUGUGUUGAAUCUCAAUUUCCAGGCAACGAGGAGAUGGAAUAAAAUGGAGAGGGGGUGACAAUACAUUACAUGGUAAACCAUCUUUUCUGAAUUCUGAUACUACCAACUUUAUGUAUGAUUUAUUAUUUUUUUAUAUGGUUUCCUUGUAUUGACUCUUGCUCAUUAAAACAAGUGAAGAUUCACGAAUCAGUCGAAAUGACCUCAGAUUGACACUGUUGCGCAAAAGAUCAUUAAAGCAAAAUGGGGGAGGUAUUGCAGAACACAAGCAGAUGGUCCAGCGCCCAAAGCUGUCAAAACCUGCUCAUUCUGCAGUGAGCUAUCAGAUGUCACAGCAUGAGUCAGAAACAAAUGAGAAUAGCUUCCUGAGAAAAAUUCCUCCCAGGGAAAGUGCAGCUGAUUUGUACCAUGUAAAUUCACAGAGGAACUUCAACUCUUCUCAAAGUAGAGAAGGAUUCCGAGCUAGAUCCCCUGAUAGCUUUCAGAACACUUCUUAUGGGCCUUCAUCACAAAGAAACUUUGGUGAGCUGCAGUCAGCAUCAUCAUUCAGGCCAGUUGACGCUCCUAGAGCUGGCCAGUUCCUCAGAAAUGGUAUGGUUGGUUCGUCUCAGCCAACAGACUUUAUUUUCAGAACGAAGUCUAACCCUCAAACUGCCAAGCCAGUUGGACAGCUUGUGCCAACAAAUUACAGCAUGCAAAAAGUCUCUUAUAUGGUACUACUUUCUGGCUGUUGCUCCACUUUAGCUUCCUUUCAAAUAUCACUUCGAUCACUUUAGUAAGUUGUAUAAUAUCGCUCUCUCUGCAUUGUACAGGGGGAAGAACCUCUAAGUGUUGCUAGUUUAUUGCAUAGACUUGGUUUGGGAAAAUAUGCUAUUAUUUUCCAGGCUGAAGAAGUAAGUAACCUAAUCUUAAGCUUAUUUUUCAUUCCAUAGACAGAUUUUUGGAGGUGUGCCUUUCUUUCACUGGCCUUUUGAUUUUUGAGACAGCAGAAAGAAUUUCAUGUCUUAGAAUGUAAAGUUCUGAUGAUUUCAAGAAGCAAAAUCUUAAAUUUUAAUAAUCAAUUCUUUUCUCUUUUCGUUUUGGGGUUUUGGCCUUAAUGCUUUGAUUGUCUGAUUCGCAGGUAGACAUGAGUGCUUUGAAGCAGAUGGGCGAUAAGGACCUCAAGGAGCUGGGUAUACCAAUGGUAAAUAUUUUAAUGCACCAAUUCGUUAUAUAUGUUCUGAUUUAUAUCUUUAUCCUAACUUAUCUGUAUCAUCAAGCAUGUGAUUUGAAACUUGUGUUAUGUUCUGCUAGCUCAUUUGUGUAGUGCCAUUUUUCUUGUACUUCCCAUUGGUAGUUCAUCGAACUGUUCUCACACUUAAGGUUGUUUGAUUUGCAGGGGCCAAGGAAAAAGAUUCUCCUUGCAGUUCUGGCCCGUGGUAAACGACCACCGCCACCGUAAUUUUUACUUUGAAUGCUGCACUGUGUAAACAGCAUAUCUCUUGUUUGUACCUCUCACAUGUUGUAUCAGAAAUAUUUGAGUUUAGGGGUGAGGUUUGAGUAGGGGCGUUCAGUUGAUUCAUUUCCUUCCAGGUCUUGUUGGUUUGAACAUGAUUAGUAUACCAUUUUGUUUUACAUAUAGAAGCAGGACAUGAGCAAACGUUUGUAUUUAAAUGUAAUGUUGAACAUGCUAAUCGGUCAUUUUGUAUAUUGACACGAGUUUAUAGUAGUUUGUGUGUUUGCACAUACUUGAUUCAUGGAAAUUUGAGACUUUAGCAUACUGAAGAAUUUCAAUUAGCAUAACACAAAUGCAUAAUUUGAUUGUUUACAAGCAGUAUUAUACUUUGAAUGAAAAGAACAAAAACUCAAAACGCUCCAACUGAUGGAGUACUGGGAGGAGACUUGGAACCCCUCUCACUCUUUCCACAAUCUUUCCCAUUCCUUGAAGCAAAAGCAGCCAAGAACUUCCCAUUCCAGGCUCCUUCAUUCACCGCCACGGCCACCGCCGCCCUUGCUUGCUUGUUGCAUUCAUGGUCUGCCGGAAACCGAUGCUUGAGGCAGACCUUGAGAUGGCAAGUCUUGCAAGUACUACAAUUCGAAAAGGUCAGAAUCUGCUUGCACCUCGUAACAGGACAUCUAGGCUUCUUCUUCUUUCUCGGGUCACAAUUCCCGGACUUGCUGUGCCUCUCCAGCAACACCUUCUGGCUCUCCUCGCCGUCGUGGCCAGUGGUCUCUAUGGAGGUGGAGCAUACCUCGCAAACAAUCACUUUCCGGCUGUUGUGAUCGGAUUUGGGACAAUCAUGUGACUUGUACGAGCGGUGAUCGAGGCAGAACACGUCAUGGCAGCCGGCGCAUUUGAAAGGCAGGAAAUCGAGUUGGUGGCAAUCAGGGUGCUGGCAAUGACUUCCUAAAUCUGGAAAAGCUUCUGUUCCUCCUGACAUGUUUGGUUUUCUUGUUCAACAACAAUGAGAUUUCAAUUUUGGGGCAAAACUUAACGAGGGUUGGGGGGUUGGUGAUAUAUUUAUAGAGGGUUUGGGUGGUUCUGGGGUUGGCUUGGAGGAAAAGCCAAACCCAAACCCAGGUUGAUUGGGAAGGAAGGAAGAUUCUAGUUUUCACACGUUUCUUUUCUUUCCUGGAAAGGGAUUGGAUUAUUGUUUUGUUUUUGUUUACCGCGCUUUAUAAUGAGACGUGUUUUUUUUAUGGCGUCAUCACAAACGCACACGCCCAACUGAAAAACCCAAAUCUUAUCAUGAUAAAAUUAGAAACAAGGGACAACAAAUUUGUGGCGAAACAAAAACAAACAUGCAUUUGAGGAAACCAUGUGAUCUUGAUGAAUAAGAAACUCGAGACAAAACAUGUUUAUUUCGUUGGAGUAGAGGGUUUUGAUCACAGUUUUAUAGGCCAAGGAGUUGUUCUAUAGAUCAUUUCCGGUAGUGAAUUUACGUCGCUAGGUGACUAACAAGAAUAAGAAAGUGAAAUAGAUUUUCGGAAGGGGCAUUUGGCAGACCAGAAUCAAUAGAAUCUGUAAUCAAAGAGUUGGAACACCAGAAUGGCAAGCUAAAGUAAGGACCGCCCCCCAUCCCGUAAGGGGAUGAAGCACGUCAACAAUAAUUGGGGUUUAUCAUACAGUUGGUGAGAUGGUGACCUAGCCAUGGAUGGGGAUCACAAGGGCCAUGCACUAUUAUCAGCAAACAAAAAGCUCAUAGCAAUUUGUAAAGGUAGAAUACACUUUCAUAAAGUUUUAACAGUGAGAUAUAUAACAAAGAUGAUCAAACAACCAAAAUUCUUGAUGUCUAAUACUCUAACAUAGUGCAAACAAUUAAAUUGCUUUCAUUGGGUGUUAGCUAGUGGAAGAUUAGAGCAAAUCAAAAGACAAAGAUACAAUAGUCCAUGCUUAAUUAUUGGGUGCUGCUAGCUUGUGGCAUGGCAUUCACACUCAUAUGCAAUGUCAAUUUCAUUCGGCCUUUAUCAGAUCAUACAAGAAAAGUUUAUUAACCUUGGACCCUCUCGAGCCUUCUGAAAAUAUUGAAAAAAUCCCACCCGUGAAAAAUGCAGGUAAUAUUUGGUGAAUGCAACCAAAGCAUAAUUAAUCAUUUGGGUUAUUUUACACCUAAUUUGGAGAUCAAUUAGGCCAAGGUUGUUGCCAUGGAUUCUCCCUGCCUUUCUUUCUUUGAAAGCAAAAGAAAAAAGAAUUAGAAAGAGAUACCAAAUGAUCAGAUAGAAUAUCAGAUAUUAGAUUUUAUUUUUCUCUACUCGUUUCACAGAAAAACCAAUAAUGGCUCUCUUCCUCCUACAAAAUGAGAAGCUGUGUUCAUCUGUAAAAAUGAACUCGGACUUAUAAACUAGUCCAGAAAAGCUUCAAAUUAAGGAGGAAAAGAAGGAACAGAAUCCAGUUUAAUUAUGUCAAGAAUGGACCCGUUGGCAUGGGUAUAGAGAAAAGGAAUCAAAUUACUUUGGUAAAAGAAAGGGGGAUAUUGUCCAGCCUAGAACACUGAUAUAAAGUAAAGCAAAAAUAUGAAUGGCUUCAGAAACUUAACAAUUAAGUAUGGACAAUCAUGAUGAGAGUUGUGCUGUUCUAGUUGGAGAUCUCUCUAAAGCAUGCAAAUUAGUCAGACAUACAAAUAUUCCCAUACAAAUAAAUACAAUUUUGAAGAAAAGGGAGAGAGCACCUUUCUCUUUCUCUAAACUUUGAGAAUGGUGGGAUCAAUCAAGCAGCUUGUCUGCAGAAGAGGCUAAAAGAGAAGCUUAAUCCGUGAGUUUAGUCACGGAUUAAAACACUGAAAAAGUUUACCAACACAUAAUUUAUAGCAUAAAAGUUGAGAAUAAUUGAGAUCGAUUUAGCGAUUUUAGCCUCAGCAACAAAGGUAAAAGGUGCUUCAUCUUUCGGGCUUUUUAUGUAAUGAAGUUGAUGGCUUGGAAACUGGAAUAGUAUGAACAAACUUGUUAUAUAUGCUUGGUAUUGGUAACAGAUCAUAGAACAAAACCUAAUUCUGAUAAAUCAUUCCAAGAAUAAACCUCAAGGAUAUUCUUCCUUCCAGUUCUACAUACUCUUUUAUAAAAUCAAAUACAAUUUACAUGAAAGAAAGUGCUUUGACUCCUAGCUACUAGUUUCAGGUCAUUGGGGCUAACAGAGACACAACCAAUGCAUUACUUCAAACCCAAGUAAAUUAGUAACACCAAGAUUUCUUUUUCCAUGGCAGGAAACAGUAAAGAUUCAAACUUUUUGUUUUGGUAAAUGGUAAAGAUUCAAUCUUGUGUCGACCCAAGUUAACAAAACACAGAAAGAUAAUCGUAAAAAGCAGAGAAAGCGCUUUUGGAUUCAUAUGCUUGGUGUCACAUACUCACAUUCAUAUAAAACAGUGUCCAAAUAUAGUAGACUAGUCCCACACUCCUACACUUCAAUCAAUAGAGCACUCCUGAGUUCCUGACAUGGUAAGCACAUUUCACUUUCAGACAGCAAAAACCAAAGAUGAACGGGGAGAAUUACUUCCGUAAAUACCUGAAGCUCUGGCCUUGUUAUUAUUAUAGAGCACAGGAACCUGGAAUCCCAUUCACAUCAAAACUAUUAUCCCUAAACUUUCAAACACUCUCCUUCUCCCGAGUGAUCUUAGCAACCCAAGAAUUUCAGCUUAUCCAAACCACUUCAAUGGGGCUUGAUCAUGAACCUCACUUCUUUCAUUUCAUACUGAACCAAUAAACCAAUCAUUUCCUAUAUGGAGUUCAAAGAGGGUCUGUUGAGAUUAGUUGUCCAGAAAUCCAAAGAAACCAAUACCAUUUACGUCGCCGGAGAUAGAUUAAAUGAGAUUACAACCACUGCCCGGAGUCCAAGCCGGAGAUGGAAGCUCUUCCACAGAUCCUCAUCAGCAAUCCCAUCAAAACCUAUUUCAAAGCCACAAAUCCCAACAGAGUUCAUUUGCCCCAUUUCCGGGUCGCUAAUGUCCGACCCGGUUAUAGUCUCCUCGGGUCACACCUUCGAACGCGUCUGCGUCCAACUCUGCAAAGCCCUCGACUUCACUCCUCAUCUCGUGGACUCUCCCCCACCUGAUUUCACCUCCAUCAUCCCAAACCUCGCCUUGAAAUCCACCAUCAUCAACUGGUGUCGAAAUUACUCUAUUGCCCCUCCGACGCCGCCCGAUCCCGUCUCCGCCGAGAAGCUAGUCCGCGCAUCCUGCGAUCGCCGGAAAGUGUCAGUUUCCGAUAACGAGUCGCUGAUCCGAGGCGUGGAGGAGACGCCGAAGGUGAACUUCAACCACGCCGCGACGGAGGUGACUCGCCGGAAAACUCACUUCCACUCCAGCUCCGACGAGUCUGUCAGCGCUGCCGCGUUGACCCCGCCGCUUCCGUUCUCGACUCAGCCGAGCUGCUACUCGUCGCGGUCGUCUUCCUCUUCGGAAAUCGAAACCCUAACGAAUCCGAACGAGGAAGAAGACGGAAUCUUGGCCGGACUGAGAAGCACGCACGUGUCGGAGAUCGAGGCGGCGCUGACGUCACUGAGGAGGAUCACACGGACGAGAGAAGACGCGCGGGCCCACCUCUGCAGCCCACGGCUCCUCUCCGCCUUGAAAACCAUCGUUGUUUCCAGGUACAUUAAUAUUCAGGUGAACUCAGUAGCGGCGCUGGUCAACCUUUCUCUCGAAAAGUCAAACAAGAUCAAGAUCGUACGCUCAGGAAUUCUCCCGCCUUUAAUUGAUGUGCUGAAGGGGGGAUCGGCUGAGGCGCAGGAGCACGCUUCCGGGGUGGUCUUCAGCUUGGCGCUGGAUGACGACUGCAAGACGGCUAUAGGUGUACUAGGGGCUCUCCCGCCUUUGCUUAACUUGCUCAACUCGGAGAGCGAGCGGACUCGGCACGACUCGGCGCUUGGUUUGUAUCAUUUGACAUUGGUGCAGAGCAACCGGUCCAAGUUGGUUAAGCUCGGGGCGGUUCCGGUUCUUUUGAGGAUGGUGAAGUCGGGUCAUAUGGUGGGUCGGGUUUUGCUCAUAUUGGGGAAUUUGAGUUGGUGUGGGGAUGGGCGGGCGGCGAUGUUGGAUUCGGGUGGGGUGGAGUGUUUGGUAGGGGUGUUGAGGGGGAAUGAGAUGGAUUCCCGGUCGAGUCAGGAAAGUUGUGUGGCUGCAUUGUAUGGGUUGAGUCAUGGGGGUUUGAGGUUUAAGGGGUUGGCGAAGGCGGCUGGGGCGGUGGAGGUGUUGAGGGAGGUGGAGAAGAGUGGGAGUGAGAGGGGGAGGGAGAAGGCGAGGAGGAUGUUGGAGAUGAUGAGAGGGAGGGAGAAGGAGGAAGAGGAGGAGGUGGAUUGGGAGGAGUUGCUUGAUUCCGGGUUGGGAAGUCGAACUAGGUUUCAGCUCGGUUGUGGUGGAUUGAGUGGAUCUUGUGUCAACUCGUCGGAGUUUUGAGUACAUAAUUUGAGGUUUUUUUGAGGUAAACUUUUCAACAUUGUUUGUUUUUGAUAGUUUUGCAAGCUCUCUUGUUGUAAUUAUUGAAGCUCUACACAAGUUAUUUUGUGAUUUUGUGACUUUUACCAUUGAUUUCUUCCGCUCAAAAUCUAGUAAAACUAAUAGGUUUUGGGAAGCUAUAUAACGAGUUCAAACAAGCAAAAAGCUCUACAAGUAAGUCAUGAUUAUCUUUCUCAACAAAGAAAGGAAAAACCAUGAAUAUAGAAUCCUACAGUUCCAUUACCAGAACUCGCCCUACCGCGCCACGAUGUGAAGGUUUUUGAGAGUGGGUAACAAGGGUGUCCAUAGAUGUUCUGCGUCCCAGUCUUCGCAUAUCACUUCCUCUAACUGCUCAAGAUCUGAAACUGAUUCAGGCAAUUUUCUCAAUGCAUAACAAUCAACCAUUUUCAGCUUCGUUAAACUCUUCAAUUCACCAAUAUGUUCAGGCAACUCCAUCAUUUUGCAGCAAGCGUGGAUGUCAAGAAUGUUCAACUUUUUAAGAUUUCUGAUCGACUGCGGCAGCUCUGACAACUCAAAACAGUACCUUAGACUCAGUACUUCUAAAUUGAUCAGAUUUCCAAUCGUUUCAGGCAAGGCAGAUAGAAAAUGGCAACAGUUUAAGCCGAGAUGUGUUAGACACUUGAGCUCACCCAUGUGUUCAGGCAACUUUUCAAUUACCGAACAAAAAAUCUUCAGAGAUUUUAAUUUCUUAAGAUUCCCGAUUGAGUCAGGAAGCUCUGAAAGAGGACAGGCUUCAAGCUCCAACACUUCUAAACUGACCAAAUUCCCAAUCGCUUCAGGCAAGUCUGAUAAAUCGGGACAUUUAAUGAUUUUGAGCUUUGUUAGAUGAAUCAACUCGCAGAACUCUUCAGGCCAUUCACUCAUACCGUAGGAGUCAAUGACCAUUUCCUUCAGAUUCGGAAAUACAUAUGAUAAUUUGACAGGAUCUUCACCGAGAUAGCUACCAUUCCUCAAAUAUAACUUGUGUAGAUUUUUCAUUUGUACUGGGCUCUUGGUUAUGCAACGAAUAUCGAUGCCGUCUAAUCUGACACAGGUAAGAUUUGUUAAGGAGCCCAGUAGUUGAAAAUUAUCCAAUUCAUCACAAUAUAGAGAAUAAUUUAGGACAAGAAGCAUCUUUAGUUUAUCCAUUCUCUCCACAAAUUCGGGCAAGGCAUACGUGUCGGAUUGAAAAUUCAAGACUAGGACCUCUGCCUCUGGUAAUUGCAUGUUGGGCAAUUUCACUGAGAACUCUUCAUCUGCAAACAACAUAUAUAUAAUUUGAUGUGAAUAUCACAAGUGAAAUGUAACUAUUACUACAAAGAUAUAAUUAAUUGAUGGGAAACCAUAUAUAUACCAGUUGUGAUUGAAACAAGGCGAGCAUUCAUGUAUGGAUAUUUUUGUUCUCUCCACCAUUUUGGAAAAUUGUUUCCACAUAUCUCUAUAAUCAGUCUUUCUCUAUGCUCAAUCGGAUCCCGCUUCGAGUUGUAUAUAGCAAGUUCUCUGAGCAAAUCAUGCUGCUUAACAACGUACUUACUGUAAUCUAUUGACUCCUGUGCCAAUUCCCAAUCCGCAGACCUAUAUAAUUCAUGAUUUAAAAAAAAAUACUAAUUUUUCUGUUUCUAACAUAGAGAACAGUUUUCAGAAUAAAUAGUAUUAUGCAAAUAAAUGAAAAUCUCGUACAAAUAUAUAGGAGAAACAUAUAAGCUUGUAUUUCAUCUAUUGCAUACCAUUCUGAUUCUUGUAAAAGAGCUAGACUGCGAUUGUUGAGUUCACAGAGUUUGGCAAUGCAUGACGUCUCUUUCUUUAGAUCAUACAACUCUGCCCACAUAUCAAUGAGAGCGGCAACUGGGAUUUCAACAUCUUCAGGAAAAGCACCUAGGUCUAAAAAACAUUCUUUGACCUUAGGCAUUGCAUUAUCCAAGACAUCUAUGCUGCUUUGGAGCUGAAGAAGCAGUUCCGUCUCGAAAUCAAGAAUGGAAGAACCAUCCGACCAUUCAUCUACUCUACUUCGCCACAUUUGUUCAGGUUGCCCACAAAGUGAUCUUCCAGCCACUGUAAUGGCCAGUGGAAAUCCAUUACAAUGUUUUACUAUCUGCAUCAUUUGGAGUUUCAAUAGAUAAAUUAAAAUGGAGAUACUGAUUAAUGAGAAUUUUUAGAAAGUCAAUUAAGUUUAUGUAUAUGCAAGGAAUCAACUCACCUCUUCUAAAAGAUCUUUUGGAAUAUAAGAGCUCUUGUCUCCCAAGGAUGCUGUAUGACAAAAAAGUUCCAUAGCAUUGUCACUAUCCAGUAGUUUUAGAUGAUAUGAGGAACCAAAUCUCGGAAAUUCAGACCUCGAUGUCACUAAAAUCUUGUAAUUUGACAUGCUAUACUCAAACUUCUCAAGAAGAGAUUCUGAUCCUGACCAAACAUCAUCCAAGACCAACAAUAAAGGAUCAUCACCUUUUUCCAUCUCAACUUUUUUCAGCCAUUUGACUGGAGUUGCUUCAUUCUGGAGAGUAGGUACCUCAAAACCCUUUUGUUCAUACAACCCUUUCAUAAUAAGCUCCAGGCUGGGCUUUUUAGAAAAAGUGACGAAGAAGAUGUUCUUCUGGAAUUUAUCUAAUCAAACACAGCAAGAAAAACGUUAGUCGACAUUGCUCAUGCCAAGUAAACUAUUGUGUAUAAUUUGUGUCAGACUAUCAGGUAAAUAAUAAUAAUUGUCUAUAACCGUGCAAGUGAAAACAUAUAUAGAAAACAAGAAAAAAGUACUGAUGCAUUUUUCUUAACAAAUUAAAGCCUAUAGAUUCCUGCAUUCAUGGGGUUGAACAUUAAAUAUAUAAAACAGAUGCUUCCUUAAUUGCCCUUAAUAUAUAUAUAUAUCAUCAGGCCUUCUUGACUGCGGACGUUCGCACCGAAACCUUCGGUGCAGAUUUCUACUUUUGCACCACUUUCUGAUCGAAUUUCCUUAUCUCCACCAUCUAGUAUCUAGAUAAUAUUGUGUAGAUCAUCUCUGCAAAAUUUCAGCCAAUUUGGUGAUCGUUAAAGCCCUCAAACUUGAGUUUUUCUGGUAUGAACACAACCGGACAGAAUUCAGUCCGUCCAUUUAUUUUUCGAGUUUGAGGGCCUUAACGAUUAGCAAAUUAGCUGAAAUUUUGCAGAGAUGAUCUGCACAAUAUUAUCUAGAUACUAGACGGUGGAGAUGAGAAAAUUCGAUCGAAAAGUGGUGCAAAAAUAGAAAUCCGCAUCAAAACUUUGGUGCGGACGUCCGCACCUGAGAAUUCCUAUAUAUAUCAUCAACUAUAGAGUUUCUAGAUGUAUAUAUAAUAUAUACCUAUGAUGUCUUGAUCUUGAAAAAACUUUGUUGCCAAAGUUGUCUUGCCACAUCCUCCAGGAGCAGUCACGAUGAGAAUGGAUACCUCAUCCUUAAGAAGCUGCACCUUCAAUUCUUCUAUAGGAACUUCCAAUCCGACUAUUAGCGCUGGAAGUUCAGGUAGUACUGCACUUAAAGCUUUGAUUUCUACGGAUCCAUUUUGCUUCACAAGCAUAGAAACCUCCUCCUGUAUGUUUUGAACCACGACCUGGAUAUUCUCUACGCCAACUUCAGUCUUCUUCACAUCUCUUGCUACCUGCACCUUGAGCACAUCUAACUCGUUUUGGAGUGAUUCUUUGAAUUCAAGAAACUCGCUGGCGUACUUCCACUUCUUGUAGAUGUUCCACUUACGAAGCUUAGAGCAUUUGCCGACGAGCUCUAUGCCCCGCUUUAUGAGUCUUUCUAAAGCUUCCAACUCCUUUGUGCGAUCCAAUUUUUGAUUAUAUUUCGCCAUCUCGUCAAUCAGUGGUGCUAAACAGUCGAGCCUGUAUUUGAUGUCCUUGCAGAGUUCUGAGAAUAUCCGAUUCUUGCGAAUAACCUCUUCAACACCGGCAUAGAGUGCCUCGAAUGCUUUCCCUGCCACUAAAUCCACAGCCAUUUUCAGUAGUACAGUGCUAGCUCUCUUUAACCUAGACUUGGAAGAGACAAGAAGAAAGGCACUACCCAAAACUCAAUGUGAUACGAACUGAUACUCAAAGCUCAAUUUAUACAAACUACAAGCUUAAUUAUUGGACUGACCUGGUAUAUAUGUAUGGUCUUUCUUCCUUCUUUAAACUUGUGCAUCUAUCGAGCUUCGGGGAGACUUCCAUUGCAAGGAACACAACCCACAUGGCAUCAGCUGCCAGUGACUUCCAUGCACAUGGAAUUAAUCUUAGUGAAUAUGAUAUUUCUGUCAUGAGCUAGCUAGCUCCAUCGAUCAAAUGAAUUAACUAUAUUUUUCAGACAUUGUAAACUAAUUAAGCUUUGGUUGACUAAUAAUGAUCAAUCCGCAAUAGUAGGUUAUUAGCUAUAUAUGAUUACUCUUAAUAAAAUGCAUCCCAGAUCACAUUCACACAUCAAAAAUGCAAGUUGGCUAAAGUUUAUUAGCCACAUGAUGCAUUCACCUUCAUCGUUAUAUAUUCUUUUCUGAUACAGAACACUUAUGAAUCAAAAAUCGAUGUUUAUCAUUGAUCGUUGGUCUUUCAAUUUCUAUUCUACUCUUAUUCGGUCUUUCUUUUUUAAUUACAGUAUUAAUGAUCGAACUGAUCUUGAGGAAGCAGUAUGCUACGGCUCAUUUUAGAAAUAGUGUUUCUACAUUCGAACUGAUUAAGAAGUAAAGAACUAUUGAUGGACCUCCAAAACCACAAAACAACAUAUCAUAGUUGAUGACAUGGCGGCCUCAUGUUGUUCACAAUAUCCAAUAGUUAUAAGUGAUCCAAGCAUAUCCAAGGGACAUUAAUUUAGACAGAUGAGCCAAAUUUUCUACAAUAUAGUUAAGAAAUAUUCAAAAGUAUACAGCGAAAUUAAAAAAGAAAAACAAAUUAACCCCCUAUGUUGGCACAACAACCUUCUAAAAAAAAAAACAAUGACAAGAAAAAACCCUGCGCAAAUUCUAUGGUACCUACUUGUAUAUGAUACAUACAUACAUUUACAAAUGUAACAACAUAUUUGUAGUCAAAGUGGUAAUGCUGAGUCGUAUUGUUUGUAAUCUUGUUCUAAUAAUUGUAAUUACAAAAUGUUCAACCAUUUUACAACUUUUUGAACAAAUUGUUCUCUUAGUUAUAAUUUUGUUUAACUUCAUGUAAAUAAUGUAAAUAAAUUUGGUAAAUUUGUUCUCAAUGUUGUAAUUUGAUUCAUAACAUUAUAAUUUUUUUCAAGUACAAAGUAGGAUAUACAUCCCAGUACCAUAGCUUGUCACAAAACCCUGAGUCAGCAUGUGUUAAGAGGCAAUACAGAUUCAAACGCAUAUACCAAUAGUUCAAAUUUGUCAGUUUUAUCUAUAAAUUUUUAGCUAUUAUGUUGGAGCUCAUAUUUGCCUAAAAAAAUUAACAAAUUUCAAUUUUAUUUUGAAAUAUCAUUUUCAAUCUAACAGUUAAGAAACAUUCAAAAAUAUGCAACAUAAUUGAAAAAAACAAAAAAAAACAAAAACAACAACAAAUUAACCCCCAAGUCAGCGUGUGUUAAUUGGAAAAUUCUACCUAUUCACUCCCAAUUGGAAAAUUCUACCUAUUCUCAAUAGAGUGAAGUUUCUGUUGCCUGCCUUUGAUGAGGUGUUAUGGAACUGGGUUCCUCGUGAAGCUAACCAGGUUACUGACGCAGCGGCGAAGCUUGCCAUGGUGAGGUUGUGCUCUUUGGACUGGGCUAAUACGCCUCCAACCUCCCUCCUUCAUAUUCUUAGGAGCGAUGGCCCUCCUGACUGAGACUUGUUGUUGAUUACAGCAGCUCUUGCUCUUUUAUCUGCUUUUGUCUUUCUUUGCUUUUUGUCUGUAGUGGUUUGUAGCAGUGUUUAGUUUCCCUCUUGCUCUUUCAGCUUUGUUAGCUUUCUUUUUGUUGUGUUUUGCUCGACCUUUGUGGUCUGUUCCAAUGAAGUUCUAUUCUUGACAAAAAAAAAAAAGUCAGCGUGUGUUAAAGAGAGACAAUACAGUUUCAAACGCAUUUACCAAUUGUUUAACUCUACUAACUCGAGGGGAAGUUGGGCAAAAAGGGACAAAGGAUUUGCUGCCUUCCCGCACGACGAUGCGAAGGUUUUGAGAGUGGGCAACAAGGGUGUCCAUAGAUGUGUUGCAUCCCAAUCUACACAUAUCACUUGCUCUAANNNNNNNNNNNNNNNNNNNNGCAUAACAACCAACCAUUUGCAGCUUCAUUAAACUCUUCAAUUCACCAAAAUGUUCAGGCAACUCCUCGAUCUCUAUGCAUCUAUACAUGUCAAGAAAGUUUAACUUUUGGAGAUUUCUGAUCGACUCCGGCAGCUCUGACAAGAGGGUACAAUACCUUAGACUCAAUACUUCUAGAUUCACCAAAUUUCCAAUUGAUUCAGGCAACGCAGAUAGCCUACUACAACCCUCGAUGAUGAGAUGUCUCAGACACUUAAGCAUACCCAUCUGUUCCGGCAACUUCUCUAAAUCCCGAUCGUUAUAAAUCUUAAGAAGUUUUAAUUUCCUGAGAUUCCCAAUCGAUUCAAGAAUCCCUGCAACUAAGCCGACGUCGUCUAGCGUCAACGCUUCUAAACUGACCAGAUUUGCAAUGGCUUCAGACAACUCGCAGUAUAACCGGCGUCUUCUAGUGAUUUUGAGCUUUGUUAAAUGAAUCAGCUGGCAGAAAACUCCUGUCAAUUUCCAGAAAGAGCAGCUUUCUAAAACAAUUUCCUUCAGAUUUGGAAAUAUAAUAUGUGAUAGUUUCAGAUCUCUGCUCUCAUCUCGACAUGCUCUCAAAUAUAACUUGUGUAGAUUCUUCAACUGUACUGGGCUCUUGGUUAUGCUAGAAAGAUUGAUGCCGUCUAAUCUGAGACUCCUGAGAUUUGAUAAGGAGCCCAGUAGUUGAAAAUUCUCCAAUUUUGCCCAGCUGGUAUAAUUUAUGACAAGCAGCAUCUUUAGUUUAUGCAUUCUCUCCACAAAUUCGGGUAUGGCAUAGGACGUUUCUGAUUGAGAAUUCAAGACUAGAACCUCUGCCUUUGGUAAUUCCAUGUCGGGCAGUUUCACUGAGAACUCUCCAUCUGCAAACAACAUAUAAUUUGAUUUGAAUAUCGAAAGUGAAUGUAAUACAUUUGCAGAAAUAAUGGAAAACCAUAUAUAUGUAUAUACCAGUUGAGAUAGAUACAAGGCGAGCAUUUAUGUAUGGAUAUUUUUGUUCUCUCCACCAUUUGGGAACAUUGUUUCCACAUAUCUCUAUGAUCAGUCUUUCUCUAUGCUCCAUCGGAUCACGUUUUGAGUUGUAGAUAGCCAGUUCUCUGAGCAAAUCAUGCUGCCUAACAACGUAUCUAUUAUAUUCUAUUGCCUCCUGUACAACUUCCAACCGCAUAUCCCUAUAUAUAUGGUCCAUGAUUAAAAAGAAAAAGAGUGCUACAUUUAGUUUCUCUUAUGUAAAUAACACUUUUCAGAAUCAAUUUGUAACUAAAAGAAAAGUUUCGUACAUAUACGAGAGACAUAUAAGCUUGUUGCAUACCCUUGUAGAAGAGCUAGACUGCGAUUGUUGAGUUCAUAGAGUUCGGCAAUGCAUGACAUCUCUUCAUCUAGAUCAUACAACUCCGCCCACAUAUCAAUGAGAGCUGUAACUUGGAUUUCAGAAUCUUCUGGAAACGCACCUAGGUCUAACAAACAAUCCUUGACCUUAGGCGUUGCAUUAUCCAAGGCAUCAAAGCUGCUUUGGAGGCAUUGAAACAAUUCCAUCUCACAGUCGAGUACUGAAGCACCUUUUGACCAUUCAUUUACCCUACUUCGCCACGUUUGUAUAGGUUGACUGCAAAGUGAUCUUCCUACCACUGUAAUAGCCAGUGGAAAUCCAUUACAGUGUUUUACUAUCUGCAUAAUUGGAGGUUGAACAAGAUAAAAAAUGGUGAGAUACGUACUUGUAACUAUUGUAUAUGCAAGAAAUUAAUCACUCAAUCAUCGAUCCCACCUUUUUUGCAAGUUCGUUUGGGAUAUGAGAGCUCUUGUCUCCUAAGAAUGCUGUGUGAUGAAAAAGUUGCAUUGCAUUAUCAUCAUCUAAUAGUUGGAGAUGAUAUGAAGGGCCAAAUCUCGGAAACUCAGACCUUGAUGUCACUAAAAUCUUGUAAUUUGACAUCGUAAAUUCAAAUUUCUGAAUAAGAGAUUCUGAUCCGGACCAAACGUCAUCCAACACCAACAAUAAAGGAAUAUCACCUUCUUUCUCCACAAUUUGUUGUAGCCAUUUCACUGGAAAUACUCCAUUCUGGAAAGUAGGUACCUUAUAAUCCUUUUGUUUGUAUAGCUCUGUCAUAAUAAGCUCCAGCUUAGGCUUUUUAGAAACAGUGGCGAAGAAGAUGUUGUCCUUGAACUUAUCUAAUCAAAUUCAGUAAAAACACAUUAGUUUGUCAUCGAUCUCCUUUAUUUUACAUAUAUAAGUAAUUAAUAGUUAUCUAUAACUGCACGAGAAAAAUGUACAGAAUGUUGAUCUAGAAAGGACUUGUUUGGCAUAGAAAGUAACAAUAUGAUCAGUAAUACCUUUGACGUCUUGAUCUUGACAGAACUUUGUUGCCAGAGUAGUUUUCCCACAUCCUCCUGGAGCAGUCAAUACAAGCAGUGAUACUUCAUCCUUAAAAAACUCCGUCUUCAAUUCCUUCAGUGGAAUAUCCAAUCCAACUAUAAGUGACGGUAGUUCAGGUAGUGCACAACCUGCUUCAAUUCCUGCAGAUUUGUUUUGAUUCGCAAUAUCUAAGAGCUCAUGCAGCAUGCCAUUGCUCUCGUCUGUAACAACUGCUACACGCACAUUCAGUAAACUCAGCUGCUUCUCAAGAGCUUCAUUCAGCUUGAGAAGCUUGUUGGUGUACUUGUACUUCUUAUAGAAGUUCCAAAUACGAAUCUUAGAGCAGCAGUUGGAGACGACAACUGCACCUUCCUCCAUUAAUACUCGUAAAUCUCUUAGGACUGGAUCCUCUGGACCAUCCGGUCGCUGAUGAUUACGUUGUACCAUCUUUUGGAUCAUCGGUCUCAAAGCAUCUAGCUUGGCCUUGAUGUCGGUGGAGAGAGCUUCAAAGAGUAGAUUAUUGGCAAUCAACGUUUCGACACCACCAUACAGUAACUCGAGUGCUUUCCCUACAAGAAAAUCCCCCACAACCGCCAUGAUAUAUACAAUGUGAGCUAGGCAGCUAGCUAGCUCUUUCGAUCUAUAUACUUCAAAUAUUAGAAGAAAAAAUUGGCCAAAAGAAAGAAAGAACCAAAGUAAGAAGACUAGAGAGGAAAGCAAUCAAAGAGUUUUCCCUUGCUUGAUUUGCUUGUGAUUUUAUAUAGGCAUCCUGGCGAGAUCAAGAAGAUUAGGUUAGGUUUAAGGGCUAAUAUUAUUGGCUUUGUCUUAUGGACUGACCCAAGUAUAUAUGCUCUUUCUUUAAACUUGCGCACAUAUCAAGCUUACUGCAUUUUCGGGAGACUUUGAUGGCAAGGGAACAUAACCCUCAUGGCAUCAGCACUAGACUUCCCUGCACAGGACAUGAAAAUUAAUCUCUGUUAAUUGUAUGAUAUAGCUGUCAUGAAUGUAAACUAAUUUAUCAGAUUAGUUAACUAUAUUUAUCAGACAUUGUAAAACUAAUUAAGCUUUAGUUGACUUAUAAUGAUCGAGCCACAUUAUCAGGUUAUCAGCUAUGAUUAGAUUAAGUAAUCCAUUCCAAGUCACAUUCAUACAUGGCUAAUGUUUAUUAGCGACAUGAUGCACACACCUUGAUUGAUAUAUAUAUUUUAUGACACAGGAUUGAUAUAUAUUUUAUGACACAGGAGACUUCAGAAUCAAUAAUGGAUGUUUAUCGUCCGUGGUCUUUCACUUUUAUUUUAUUUUAUUAUACUCUUUGGUCUUAAUUUCUCCGAGUUUUGAAUACAUAAUUUGAUGUUUUUUAGGUAAGUUCUCCAGCAUUAUUGGAGUUUUGAUGAGUACAUAAUUUGAGGUUUUCUUGAGGACGAUCUUUCAACAUAGUUUGUUAUUGAUAGUUUUGCAAUUGUUGUCAUUAUUGAAGUUCAUGAAAGUCAUUAAGUGACUUUGAACUGGUAAUUUUUUUUCACCCAAAUGCCAACAAAACUUUGCCAGUUUGAGCAAAAGAAUGAACUCAAAAAAUGAGAAAACCUCUAUGAUAAUUAGAUGUUCAAUAUUCUAAACUUAAUGAUUUUCAUUCACUGCCAUUAAUUAGCUGUUUUUUGAUUCCACAAACAUACUCUUGUGAAAGCAGCCCUAAAUUAAUCAAUUGCUCAAAUCAGUUGCAUAAAAUAGCCAUGAAUACAGAAAUGAACACUUGGCCAUUAACGGAAAUUGCCCUUCCACACCACAAUGCUAAGGUUUUUGAGAGUCGGUAAACAAGGGUGUCCAUAGAUCUCUUGCAUGCCAAUCGUCGCAUAUCACUUCCUCUAAUUGCUCUAGAUCUCUGAAACUUACUGAGGCAGUUUUUUCACCUCCUUGCAACAACUCAUUUUCAGCUAUAGCUAUUCAAGUCCCCCUCUCUUGAUGUUUCUCUAUUUCUUUUUUAAUGCAUAAGAGUGUUAGGGGGUCACUCAUCUUUCAACCAAAAAAAAAACCCUUCAAGUCGCCAAUUUGUUCACCCAACUUGAUUUUGCUGCAGUUAUGGAUAUCAAGAUACUUUAACCUUUUGAGACUCCUAAUCGACUCGGGAAACUCCAACAACCCUCUACAAUACCUUAGACGCAAUACUCUUUAAGCUGUACACAAUUCUCAAUGGCUUUAGGCAAGAAAGAUAUCAAACCGCACCCCAUGAUGCGCUGAUAUUUGUUAAAUACUUAAGCUCACCUAUGUGCUUACGUAUCUUGCCUUAGAGCAACCACAAAUCUAACUAUGCUACUAGAUCAAAUGGUACGGGUAAAAUAAUAAUAAUUUGUUGAGAUUUCCCAUUGAGUCGUUAUUCCAUAAAAAUGUCAUGAAUAUCUUUCUUUUUUCAAAACAAAAAAAACCACGAAGCGUACAGUUGGACGUUAACUGGAAUCGAGCGUCCACACCACGAAGCGAAGGUUCUUGAGAGAGGGUAACAAGGGUGUCCAUAGAUGUGUCACAGCCCAUUUUUCGCAUCUCAGUUCCUCUAACUGCUCAAGAUCUGAAACUGAAUGAGGCAAUUUUCUCAACGCUCUACAAUUAAACAUUCGCAGGUUGCUUAAUCUCUUCAAUUCACCGAUAUGUUCAGGUAACUCCUUGAGGUUGACGCACAUAUCGAUGUCAAGAAUGUUUAACUUUUGGAGAUUUCUAAUCGACUCCGGCAACUCUGACAAGCGGGUGCAUUCGCUUAGGCUCAAUACUUCUAAAUUGACCAAAUUUCCAAUCGAUUCAGGCCAGGCAGACAGCCAACACUUAUUGACGAUGAGAUGUGUCAGACACUUGAGCUGAUCCAUGUGUUCAGGCAAUUUCUUUAACCUGUAAUUCAAAGAAAUCUUAAGAAAUUUUAGUUUCUUGAGAUUCCCAAUUGAGUCUGGAACCUUUGAAAUCUGUAAACAGCCCUCAAGCUUCAACACUUCUAAACUGAUCAGAUUUUCAAUCGCUUCAGGUGAACCAAAGAAGCAGCGGCAAUUAGUGAUUUUGAGCUUUGUUAGAUGAAUCAGCUCGUAGAACACUUCAGGCAAUUCCCAAAUUUCGCAGGAAUCAAUGACCAUCUCCUUCAGAUUUGGAAAUACAUGUGGUAUUUUGAGAUCAUUGCCAUCAAAAUAUGUACAUUUCCUCAAGCAUAACUUGUGUAGAUUCUUCAAUUCUGCUGGGCUCUUGCCUCUUGGUUAUGUAAGAAAAUUCGACGCCGUCUAAUUUGAGACUCCUAAGAUUUGAUAAGGAGCCCAGUAGUUGAAAAUUAUCCAACUCUGGCAACUCAUCACAAAUUAAUGCUAGCAUAAUUUAUGACAUGCAGCGUCUUGAGUUUAUCCAUUCUCUCCAUAAAUUCGGGCAAGGCAUAUGACCUGCUUGAUAGAAAAUUUAAGAUCAGAACCUCAUCUUUUUUUGGAAAUUGCAUGUUUGGCAAUUUCACUGAGAAUUCUCCAUCUGCAAACAACGUAUAAUUUGAUGUGAAUAUCAAAGUGGAAAAAAUUAAUUACUACAGUGUUAUAUAUAUAUAUGACCGUUCUGAAGCGCACGUGCGUACUUUAAAGUGCGCACGUCACUUCGUUCGCCACCGUCCGGCGCAGACGACGGCGUGCCUCCACCCCAGAAGACUCCAGCAGCGUCCCCGAUCACUUUCUCUCCCCGAUGAGUCCGUUCUUUUCCAGUUUUUAGGCGAGAUCACCCAAGAUUGACUUUAUUUGAAGUUUUAGGUGAUCUCACUGGAAAACUGGAAAAGAACAGACUCGCCGGGGAGGAAAAGUGGUCGGGAACAUUACUGGAGUCUUCUAGGGUGGAGGUACGCUGUCGUCGGCGCCGGACUGUGGCGAACGGAGGGACGUGCGCAAUUUAAGAAAAGUGUGCACGUACGCUUCAGAACGUUUCUGUAUAUAUAUAUACACACACACACACACACAAUCGUUAUCAGGUGCGGACGUCCGCACGGCUCUUAAAGUGCCGGCGUUCCUCUUUUCGCCACCGUACGGNACCCGGUGAGGGCGCACCUCCACCCCAGCGGACUCUAGCAGUUUUCCCGACCACGUUCUAUCCCCUGCGAGUCCGCCGAAUUCCAGUUUUCUGACCAGAUUGACUUUGUUUGAAGUUUUGGGUGAUCUGGCCGGAAAACUAAAAUUCGGCGGACUUGCUGGGAAGGGAAAGUGGUCGGGGACGCUGCUGGAGUCCGCUAGGGUGGAGGCGCGCCUUUGCCGGCGCCGUACGGUGGCGAACGGAGGGACGUCCUCACUUUAAGGCGGUGCGGUCGUCUGUAUCUGAAACGAACUAUAUAUAUAUAUAUAUAUAUAUAUUACAUAGAUGAUCCUAUGAAGUAGUCAUAGCAACAAGAUCACAGAGUAUAUAUGUAGCUAGCUAAUUUGCAGAGAGGCUUGUUUCAAUGUCGUUUCCCUUUCUCUCCUAUUUGGUUUGCGCAUUGAUAACAACCGAAACCGGGCGUUUCAAUUAAAAACCCUUUUGUGUCAAUUGUAGUAUAUAGCAAAUAAGGGUAUUUGUGAAACCCCAAACUUAAAAUAUAUAUAUAUAUAUAUAUAAAUUAUUUUUGGAUUGCUGCUUUGUUUUAUUUGAAAUGCUGAUUCACCUACUUGCUAGAUAACUUAUGCCUAACACAUGACUACAUGCAGCCAAUCACAAGUGAAAGUCUGAAAACCUCAAUCAAACUUGUGGAUUGCAAAUACCUGAUGUGUGAGCAGCUUAAACUUGGGCAUCAAGUUUAAAAACAACUGCUGGCACUUGAAGAUAAACUUCAAGUGUUUUUACAUUAAUAGGUGGCAGCAAAUUAAGAGUUAGAAGGAUAAGUGUCCAACUAAGAUAGACUAGGGAAGCUACAUGUGGCUGAUUACUUCUCCUAGUAUAAAUAGAGGUAUUCACCUGAGGAAAUAAAAAAAAGUAGAGUUCAGAAAACAUAAAGAAAAGUUAGAAGAAGAAAGAAACUAAUGGAGUUCUGAAGCAAAGUACAAGUAUCUAAUAGUGAAAUUUCAGUUUGGUAAAACAGGUUUGAGGUAAGGGAAGUUAUGAGGAAUCUCUUUGUUCUAUAAUCUUGUUAUCUUGUUUUGGAAUUGUACAUGUUGUUUGUUAAAAAUGGUUAUUAUGUUUAGCUUUUUAUCAUAUUAUUACAUGAUCUUAUGUCAACAACAUAUUACUAUUUGAUCUUAUGUUGAAUAAGAAAUAAAUGAAGUUAUGAGGUUGAGGCUAUUACUUGAAAGGGACCAACAAUUGUCUGCCUUUGUAUACUUAUAGGGAGAGAAGCCCUUUCAAUGUUAUAUUGAUAAAAUGAUCUCAUGACAAGAAGACACUGGUGACCAAGGAUAGUACAAGAGUACCAAUUUGAAAACUUAACUUAUAUAUGUGCAUACAUUAUUUGUUUAUUGAAAUGACAUGAGAUUUGCUUUACUGAGUUUAUAGCUCACGCCUUUAUGAAUUUGUGCAAAUGUUACUCUUUGAGGGAUAAAAACUUAAUAUCUAGAAGGGAUGAAGUCUAGGAGAAGUAAACUAUGGCUUGCUGUUUUUAAAUUUCUAUUUGUGUAAUAAGGCUUAGUUUAUAAGCUUUCUUUCAUGUUUGUUGUAAGAACAAUAUUUAUGAAAUAAAGUUUUACUCCUUCAUUAAGUUACCUCUGAUUCAAGGUUUCUCAUCUAACUUUUACUUGUCCAAGGUUUUCUUAUCCUUGACAAGUUGAAGUUAUUCACAUCCUUAUUUGGAAAAGAACCUUAUUUUUAAAAAAAAAAUUCCAAGUUGGGGUGUGACAGUAUCGUAAUAAAAGCUGGGGAUUGAGGGUACCUUUACAAUUUACGUUAAUUACAAAACAAGAGAAAACAAAAGAUGAUAGUACUAGAGAUAUGAGGUUUUGUGAUUAUAAACCAGAGAAAAUAAAGAAACAAAAUAAAACAGAAAAUAUCAGAUGAUGAGACGUUAGAGACUUGGAAAUCCACCACUAAGUAUGUUUCAAGACAUGUUAACAACCAAAGCUUCAAUCAUUAAGUCACAAAUUGGUAUCGAUUAAGAACAAACCGUGAACGCACUGCGUAAGUCUUUAUUACUUCUCUUAAUUACUUAAGCAAGAUGAAUGCACCAUUACCAAGCUUUUAGAAUAACCAAUCAAGGUAUAGACGAUAACCUAUCAACAAAUUAUUCUAAGCAUUAAGAUCUAUAUAUAUAUAUAUAUAUAUAUAUAUAUAUAUAUAUAUAUAUAUAUAUAUAUAUAUAGAUGAUCCUGUGAAAUAGUCAUAGCAACAAGAUCACAGAGUAUAUAUGUAGCUAGCUAAUUUGCAGAGAGGCUUGUUCUAAUGUCGUUUCUCUUUCUCUCCUAUUUGGUUUGCGCAUUGAUAGCGACCAAAACCAAGCAUUUCAAUUAAAAAUCAUUUUGUGUCAAUUGUAGUAUAUAGCAAAUAAGGGUAUCGUUAUAAAAGCUGGGGAUUGAGAAUACCUUUACAAUUUACGUUAAUUACAAAAGAGAAAACAAAAAAUGAUAGUACUAGAGAUAUGAGGUUUUGUGAUUAUAAACCAAAGAAAAUAAAGAAACAAAAUAAAGCAGAAAAUAUUAGAUGAUGAGACGUUAGAGACUUGGAAAUCCACCACCAAGUAUGUUUCAAGACAUGUUAACAACCAAAGCUUCAAUCAUUAAGUCACAAAUUGGUAUCAAUUAAGAACAAACCGUGAACGCACUGCGUAAGUCUUUAUUACUUCUCUUAAUUACUUAAGCAAAAUGAAUGCACCAUUACCAAGUUUUUAGAAUAACCAAUCAAGGUAUAGACACUAUCCUAUCAACAAAUUAUUCUAAGCAUUAAGAUCAAUGAAAGUUUGAUUGAACAAGUAUGCAACACUAGUGUGGAACGCCUACCUAACAUGCAAUCCUUUUUAUUUGGUUUCACCUAUGGUCCUAUAGGUUUUACUACUUUGAAACAAGUCUUUUAACCGUUUAGGAGAUUAAUCAACCUAUUUCUAGCCCCACUCACAAGUUCAUAAUGUUCUAUGUUGCGCAUACAUGAAUAUAAAAAAGCAAGAGUUUCCCAUAAACCAAAACCAAAUAAAUAAUUUGAAAGACUCAAUAAUUCGAAAUCAAGGUUCAAAACAAUAUCUAAAACAUUCUUGGGGCUUCAAACCUUGCCCCUAAUUAAGAGAAAUCAGCCACACAUGGCUGCAAAAUCACACAAGGAGAAUAAAAGAUAACAAAGGAAACGUAAACCGUGGAUGAUGGAGAAAUCAAUGAUGGUUUGACGGCUUCCUUGUGCGAGUCCGCAACUAUGGAGGUUCUGAUGAUGUGAGAUCGCUGGCCUCCUUUAAUCUUCAUGUCCUCCUCUUCUUUUCUGCUGUAAUUAGGAUUAUGAAACCCUCAAAACUCGUCCAUGGGCUUGCCAAUAUGGUCUAGGCCUCAAAAUAGAAGUUUUGGUCCAGAUCAGAAAUUCAGGCAGACUGACCUUUGACCACUCAAAUGGUCAUAACUUCUUCUCCAAAAUUGGUAUUGAUGAUCCGUAAAAGGUUCUAGAAAGUAGACUCUUGUAGCUUUCCAUUGAUAUAUAGCACAUCUCCUGGAUCAUCGUGAGAUGAUCACAAUCUUCUGUCGAAGUUGACUGACUAUUUCUGACAGAUUUUCUGAUUUCUUUCCUUGCACAACAAUUGAUUCAUUUUCCUUUAAGAUUUCUCCUCUUUUGUCUCUUUUGGGCUCCUCGGCUUUAUUUAAGACCUAAAACACAAACUUAGUUAAUAUGAAUAUUGUUAAAGGAAUUACAUAACUAAAUAGGGUCGGAAAUACAUUAUAAACGUAUCACUUUGUGCUCCUAUCACGCAUCCAAAUUUCUUGGUGCUCAAAGAACCUUGUUCAUUAUGGCUUAGAGGGACAUAUAACAAUAUAAGCUUGUUGCAUACCCUUGUAGAAGAGCUAGACUGCGAUUGUUGAGUUCAUAGAGUUUGGCAAUGCAUGACAUCUCUUCAUCUAGAUCAUACAACUCCGCCCACAUAUCAAUGAGACCUGUAACUUGAAUUUCAGCAUCUUCUGGAAACGCACCUAGGUCUAACAAACAAUCCUUGACCUUAGGCGUUGCAUUAUCCAAGGCAUCGAAGCUGCUUUGGAGGCAUUGAAACAAAUCCAUCUCACAGUCGAGUACAGAAGCACCUUUUGACCAUUCAAUAUCCCUACUUCGCCACGCUUCUAUAGGUUGCCCGCAAAGUGAUCUUCCUACCACUGUAAUAGCCAGUGGAAAUCCAUUACAGUGUUUUACUAUCUGCAUAAUUGGAAUUUGAACAAGAUAAAAAAUGGUGAGAUACUUGUAACUAUUUUUCUUUGCAUAAAUCGAUCAAUGGGAUUUCUAUAGUAAGUCAAGUAUCUUAAAUAUAUGCAAGAAAUGAAUCACUCAAUCAUCUCACCUUUUUUGCAAUAUCUUUUGGGAUAUGAGAGCUCUUGUCUCCUAAUAAUGCUGUGUGAUGAAAAAGUUGCAUUGCAUUGCCAUCAUCUAAUAGUUGCAGAUGAUAUGAAGGGCCAAAUCUCAGAAACUCAGACAUUGAUGUCACUAAAAUCUUGUAAUUUGACAUCUUAAAUUCAAAUUUCUGAAGAAGAGAUUCUGAUCCGGACCAAACAUCAUCCAAGACCAACAAUAAAGGAUUAUCACCUUCUUUCUCCACAAUUUUUUGUAGCCAUUUCACUGGAAAUACUCCAUUCUGGAAAGUAGUGUUUUACUACAUCCAAACCAUUUUUUGUAGUGUUUUAUAUAUUUCUUUUUCAUGCUUGCUGUUUUUGGAGAAGGAAAAUAUUCGUUUAGAGUUUGAGAUGAUAGAUCUUAUAUGAUUUGAACAGUCUGAGAGAACAUUGAUAUAAUGCAUGAUAAGGAGUAAUAUUACUAUCUCUAUGAACAUUAUUGGUAGUUCAGUAGAUACAAACAAGUGUUUAGGCGCACCACCAACCUCAACUCUGAAUAUUAAUCAGCAAAUCAACAAAACAGGAAUGCUAUAGACAACUCAGCCGACCUUCUAUUCAAAUCCAAGAGCUGACCCCCCUAUGAAAGCAUGCCAAUUCUUAGCUUGUGUGCAAUCCUUUACCAAUCUGUUGCUGUGAAGUUGUGCACCUAUAAGCAUUUAUGAAUAUCAUAGUUUAGAGAUUAUCUAGCUUUGGACAAUUCAAAGUCGGAUUACUCGCAAUUAAGCUAAACACUUGAUAUAAAUUUAUACCUAGUAUAUCAUAUAUAAACUUUGUCGAACAUAAUCUGUAUAGAUUGAGACAUGUAUAUAUGAACUCCACAUUCAUAAAGAUAAAUAGUUGGUUGAAGCUAAUCUAUGAUCUUACAUCAAUACUAACUUACAUACAUCACAAACACCGAUUUAAUUUUUAAAUAAUGCAUGGCAAGUCAUUCUCAAAAUUAUUUUCCUCUCAAACAGUAUGGGGUUUCUCUGCAGUUUGAUUUAUAAUCCAAUCCCUCAAUCAGUAUGUCCUACCCAUCUAAUCAAUAAGACAAAUUAUAGGAUUUUUUUUUUGAAAUACAAAAUCUUUUCAAUGGAAGAAUUUUCUGUACAAACAAUGGAAGUCUAUAAAUACACAAACCUAAAAUAUAAAAACCUGUUGAAUUCAAUUCCAGAAUUCCCAAACAAGACAAACCUAACUAACCGCUGAAUGAAAUACAAACACAAAAAGUUCUAAUCAGAAUUAGAAGCAGCAGCCGUGCAUAAAAGAAUCAAAGGAGAACCCUGUCACAAGACAAAGCAUCAAAUUCACAUAACAAAUAAGAUACAAGCUCCAACCAUCAUCAUCAUCAAUAAAUCCCAAACGAGAACAGCAACAAAGAGCAAAAUCAGAAUGAGGGAAAGUACCUUUGUUAUCAGAAAACAAAGGAACGUUAAGAUUGUGGUUGUCAAGGCCAGUUCAUCUUCGAUGCUGUUGACGUUUCAUCUUUAGUACCAGAGAUGCAGAAUGCUUGAAAAUCUCUUGUGUAGGGGUCAGAUUUCUCAAGGGGUUUGGUAUUUAUACCAAGCACUAAAGAAUCCUACAAAGUCGAUGAAAUAAUAGAAUGCUUCAAAAAAAAUCCUAUAGACUCUUAAUUGAAUACCUAUGCCAAAGAGUGGCGGGGUUGAAUUUGAGGGACUUGUUAUGGUGUAGGAAACCGGAGGAGCAAUAGAAUUGGCCGACCCAUGAAUUGGGCACCACCGCCAUGGCUUCCAAGCCUCACCAUCUUGAGCCCCUGCCGCUCCACCUCCAAGCACAGCCUCUCCUUCAUGUCCUGAUUUUUAACUUGUUUACGGAUUCAAAAUGAGGUCUCAGCCACAAGGAAGACGAGAGAGAGGAAGAUGAGAUCAUGAUUCAUGAGAGAGAGAGAGAGAGAGAGAGAGAGAGAAGAAGAAGAAAAGAAGAGAAAAGACUAAAACAAGGACCGGCCGACUUAACAUCGCGUUGUUUGCACGUGCUCUUUAGCAUCCGGGUGCGCCGCGCACCCGGGGUUUUCUGAAGAGUCUCUCAAACGCAAUUAGAAAUUUUUCAACCAUAUCAACUGGAGGGGAAGUUGGGCAACAAGGGACAAAGGAUUUGCUGCCCUCCCGCACGACGAUGCGAAGGUUUUUGAGAGUGGGCAACAAGGGUGUCCAUAGAUGUGUUGCAUCCCAAUCUACACAUAUCACUUGCUCUAACUGCUCAAGAUCUGAAACUGAUUCAGGCAGUUUUCUCAAUGCAUAACAACCAACCAUUUGCAGCUUCAUUAAACUCUUCAAUUCACCAAAAUGUUCAGGCAACUCCUCGAUCUCUAUGCAUCUAUACAUGUCAAGAAAGUUUAACUUUUGGAGAUUUCUGAUCGACUCCGGCAGCUCUGACAAGUGGGUACAAUACCUUAGACUCAAUACUUCUAGAUUCACCAAAUUUCCAAUUGAUUCAGGCAACGCAGAUAGCCUACUACAACCCUCGAUGAUGAGAUGUCUCAGACACUUAAGCAUACCCAUCUGUUCCGGCAACUUCUCUAAAUCCCGAUCGUUAUUAAUCUUAAGAAGUUUUAAUUUCCUGAGAUUCCCAAUCGAUUCAGGAAUCCCUGCAACUAAGCCGACGUCUAGCGUCAACGCUUCUAAAUUGACCAGAUUUGCAAUGGCUUCAGACAAGUUUGAUAACCGGAAUCUACUAGUGAUUUUGAGCUUUGUUAAAUGAAUCAGCUCGCAGAGAACUCCUGUGAAUUCCAGGAGAAGGCAGCUUUCGAAAACAAUUUCCUUCAGAUUUGGAAAUAUAAUAUGUGAUAAUUUCAGAUCUCUGCUAUUAUAUCCACAUGCUCUCAAAUACAACUUGUGUAGAUUCUUCAACUGUACUGGGCUCUUGGUUAAGCAAGAAAGAUCGAUGCCGUCUAAUCUGAGAGUCCUGAGAUUUGAUAAGGAGCCCAGUAGUUGAAAAUUAUCCAAUUUUGCCCUUCUGGUAUAAUUUAUGACAAGCAGCAUCCUUAGUUUAUGCAUUCUCUCCACAAAUUCCGGUAAGGCAUAGGACCUUUCUGAUUGAGAAUUCAAGACUAGAACCUCUGCCUUUGGUAAUUCCAUGUCGGGCAGUUUCACUGAGAACUCUCCAUCUGCAAACAACAUAUAAUUUGAUUUGAAUAUCGAAAGUGAAUGUAAUACAUUUGCAGAAAUAAUGGAAAACCAUAUAUAUGUAUAUACCAGUUGAGAUAGAUACAAGGCGAGCAUUUAUGUAUGGAUAUUUUUGUUCUCUCCACCAUUUGGGAACAUUGUUUCCACAUAUCUCUAUGAUCAGUCUUUCUCUAUGCUCCAUCGGAUCACGUUUUGAGUUGUAGAUAGCCAGUUCUCUGAGCAAAUCAUGCUGCCUAACAACGUAUCUAUUGUAUUCUAUUGCCUCCUGUACAACUUCCAACCGCAUAUCCCUAUAUGGGUCCAUGAUUAAAAAGAAAAAUAGUGCUACAUUUAGUUUCUCUUAUGUAAAUAAGACUUCUCAGAAUCAAUUUGUAACUAAAAGAAAAUUUUCGUACAUAUAGGAGAGACAUAUAACAAUAUAUAUAAGCUUGUUGCAUACCCUUGUAGAAGAGCUAGACUGCGAUUGUUGAGUUCAUAGAGUUUGGCAAUGCAUGACAUCUCUUCAUCUAGAUCAUACAACUCCGCCCACAUAUCAAUGAGAGCUGUAACUUGAAUUUCAGAAUCUUCGGGAAACGCACCUAGGUCUAACAAACAAUCCUUGACCUUAGGCGUUGCAUUAUCCAAGGCAUCGAAGCUGCUUUGGAGGCAUUGAAACAAUUCCAUCUCACAGUCGAGUACUGAAGCACCUUUUGACCAUUCAUUUACCCUACUUCGCCACGUUUGUAUAGGUUGACUGCAAAGUGAUCUUCCUACCACUGUAAUAGCCAGUGGAAAUCCAUUACAGUGUUUUACUAUCUGCAUAAUUGGAGUUUGAACAAGAUAAAAAAUGGUGAGAUACUUACUUGUAACUAUUGUAUAUGCAAGAAAUGAAUCACUCAAUCAUCGAUCUCACCUUUUUUGCAAGAUCGUUUGGGAUAUGAGAGCUCUUGUCUCCUAAGAAUGCUGUGUGAUGAAAAAGUUGCAUUGCAUUAUCAUCAUCUAAUAGUUGCAGGUGAUAUGAAGGGCCAAAUCUCGGAAACUCAGACCUUGAUGUCACUAAAAUCUUGUAAUUUGACAUCUUAAAUUCAAAUUUCUGAAGAAUAGAUUCUGAUCCAGACCAAACAUCAUCCAAGACCAAUAACAAAGGAUUAUCACCUUCAUCCUUCACAAUUUGUUGUAGCCACUUCACUGGAAAUACUCCAUUCUGGAAAGUAGGUACCUUAUAAUCCUUUUGUUUGUAUAGCUCUGUCAUGAUAAGCUCCAACUUAGGCUUUUUAGAAACAGUGACGAAGAAGAUGUUGUCCUUGAACUUAUCUAAACAAAUUCAGUAAAAACACAUUAGUUUGUCAUUGAACUUAUGUAAUCGAUCUCCUUUAUUUUACAUAUAUAAGUAAUUAAUAGUCGUCUAUAACUGCACGAGAAAAUGUACAUGGAAAUGUAUGAAGCGAUUAAGACUAAUAAUAAAUAGUAAAUACUAUCAAAAAGAAUGUUGAUCUAGAAAGGAUUUGUUUGGCAUAGUAAGUAACAAUAUGAUCAGUAAUACCUUUGACGUCUUGAUCUUGACAGAACUUUGUUGCCAGAGUAGUUUUCCCACAUCCUCCUGGAGCAGUCAAUACAAGCAGUGAUACUUCAUCCUUAAAAAACUCCAUCUUCAAUUCCUUCAGUGGAAUAUCCAAUCCAACUAUAAGUGACGGUAGUUCAGGUAGUGCACAACCUGCUUCAAUUGCUGCAGAUUUGUUUUGAUUCGCAAUAUCUAAGAGCUCAUGUAGUAUACCAUUGUUCUCGUCUGUGACAACUGCUACACGCACAUUCAGUAAACUUAACUGCUUCUCAAGAGCUUCAUUCAACUUGAGAAGUUUGUUGGUGUACUUGUACUUCUUAUAGAAGUUCCAAAUACGAAUCUUAGAGAAGCACUUACAGACGACCACUGCUCCUUCCUCCAUUAAUACUCGUAAAUCUCUUAAAACUGGAUCCUCAGGACAAUCCGGUUGGUGAUUACGUUGUACCAUCUUCUGGAUCAUCGGUCUCAAAGCGUCUAGCUUGGCCUUGAUGUCGGUGGAGAGUGAUUCAAAGAGUAGAUUAUUGGCAAUCAACGUUUCAACACCACCAUACAGUAACUCGAGCGCUUUCCCUACAAGAAAAUCCCCGACAACCGCCAUGAUCACAGCGCGAGCUAGCUCUUCCGAUCUAUAUGGUUCAAAGGGGGAAGAACAAAUUGGCCAAAAGAAAGAGAGAAACAAGAAAGAAGACUAGAGAGGAAAGCAAUAAAAGGGUUCGUCCCUUGCUUGAUUUGUUUGUAAUAUAUAGGCGUCAUGGCGAGAUUAAGAAGAAUAGGUUCGGAAUGGGAACAUAACCCUCAUGGCCGUAGCACUUGGCUUCCAUACACAUGGAAAUUAAUCUUUGUUGAUUGUAUGAUAUUAUGAUAAAGCUGUCAUAACCUAGCUCUAUAGAGCGCUCUAGCUCGAUCAAAUGAGUUAAUUAUGUUUAUCAGAAGUUGUAAACUAAUUAAGCUUUAGUUGACUUGCGAGAAAUUAAUGAUCGAUCCACAUUAUUAGGUUGUCAGCUAUGAUUACUCUUAAUUUAAUCCAUCCCAGAUCACAUUCACACGUCAAAAAUGCAAGCUGGCUAAACCUUGAUCGUUAUAUAUCAUUUUAUGAUACAGAAGACUUCUAAAUCAAUAAUUGAUGUCUACUAUCUUUGGUCUUUCACUUCUAUUUUAUUUUAUUAUACUCUUUGGUCUUUCUCCGUGUUUUGUGUAUAAAAUUUGUUGUUUUUUCUUUUGAGAUAAGUUUUUCAACAUUAUUGGAGUUUUGAGUAGAUAAUUUGUUGUUUGUUCUUUUGAGGUAAGUUUUUCAACACUGUUGGAGUUUUGAGUACAUAAUCUGAGGUUUUCUUGAGGAAAAUCUUUCAACAUUGUUUGUUUGUUUAUGGUUUUAAUUUGAAGGAAAAACAUAAAGUCUUUUAUUGAUCACAUGAAUUGUAAGAAUACAGCUUGGAUAAACAUCAUGAUCAAUCGGUAGCUGUUAGAGUCAUCUGACUUAUCAGAGUCAUCAACUUAUUUGAAGCAGAUAUGAAACCCCUAGACAUUUAACCUAGCCCGUCUGGCAAGAAUAGACCAGAACAAACUAGGCCCAACCCUCAAAAGAAAAGCCUCAACAUAAUGAGUUCAGGCCCAACUGCAAAGGGCACCCAAGUUGCAAGCUUGUAGCCGCCGCCGUCACCUCUAGCAGGCGACCUUGAUCCCAAAGUAUCGCCAUCGGCCCACCAACCAGACCGAAAAUCCAGAAAGGAGAACGCCGUCGGUAGAGAUUCUCGAUAAAUAUAUCAGGACUUGAUUAAUUGUAAGAAGGUGUUCAAGUUUUAUUUCUAUCUUUGUAUUUGACAUUUUUAUCGAUGAUGAUCAGAGAGCAGCCGACCAGUCACAUCAGGGCACCAGGCUUUAUUAAAACAAAUGAAUAUAGAACUUAGACCCAAAAAAAAACAAAUUUUUUUUUUUUUUGAAAAGACAAAAAAAAUAGUAGAAACGUACACUUUACCCGAAAAAAGAAAAAGAAAANAAAAAAAACAAACAAACAAACAUACACUUCGGCCAUCAACUGGAAUUACUUGGGCUUCCAGAGCACGAUGCUAAGGUUUUUGAGAGUGGGUAAAAAGGGUGUCCAUAACUCUCUUGCCUGCCAAUCUUCGCAUAUCACUUCCUCUAACUGCUCAAGAUGUGAAACUGAUUCAGGCAGUUUUCUCAAUACAUUACAGAAAACCAUCUGCAGCUUUCUUAAACUCUUCAAUUCACCAACAUGCUCAGGCAACUCCUCUAUUCUGCAGCAUGCAUCGAUGUCAAGAAAGUUUAACUUUUGGAGAUUUCUAAUCGACUUAGGCAACUCCGACAAUAUGUAACAGUACCUUAGACUCAAUACUUCUAAAUUGAUCAAUUUUCCAAUCGAUUCAGGCAACUUAUAUAGCCGAUCACAGCGGUCGAUGAUGAGAUGUCUCAGACACUUGAGCUUGCCCAUUUGUUCAGGCAAAAACUGAAAUGCAUUAUUGUUAGAAAUUUUAAGAAAUUUUAAUUUCUUGAGAUUGCAAAUCGAGUCUGGAACGGCUGAAAGAUUUUUGCAGUCCUCAACCCUCAACACUUUUAAACUGACCAGACUUCCAAUCGAUUCAGGCAAGGCAUCUUUCGAAUAAAAGCGGCUGAUGAUGAGCAAUUUUAAUUUCUUGAGAUUUCCAAUCGAGUCAGGAAGCACUCCAAAGUUCUCAAGCUUCAAAACUUCUAAUCUGACCAGAUUUCCAAUGGCUUCAGGCAACUCAAAUGAACUGCGACCAGAAGAAAUGAUUUUGAGCUUUGUUAGAUGAACCAGCUCGCAGAGCCCUGCAGGACAUUCCCAGAAAUCGAAGGCCUCAAUGACCAUUUCGUUAAUAUUUGGAAAUACAUGUGACAAUUCAACAGGAUCUUCGUCGUCAUAGCUCCAUUCAUCUUCCUCUUCAACUUCGUAGCUCCCUGCUCUCAAAUACAACUUGUGUAGAUUCUUCAACUGUACUGGGCUCUUGGUUAUGCAAGAAAAAUUGAUGCCGUCUAAUCUGAGACUCCUAAGAUUAGAUAAGGAGCCUAGUAGCUCAAAAUUAUCCAUUUCAACAUAACAGCCAGAGUAAUUUAGGACCAGCAGCAUCUUGAGUUUAUGCAUUCUCUCCACAAAUUCGGGUAAGGCAAAGAGCGUUUCUGAUUGAAAAUUCAAGAUUAGAACCUCUGCCUCUGGAAAUUCCAUGUUGGGCAGUUUCACUGAGAACUCUCUAUCUGCAAAAAACAUAUAAUAAGGGUUUGCAUGUAAUAUUAGUAUUUGCAUAUGUAAUGGAAACCAUAUAUAUACGUACCAGUUGAGAUAGAUACAAGUCGCGCAUUGAUGUAUGGAUAUUUUUGUUCUCUCCACCAUUUGGGAAAAUUGUUUCCACAUAUCUCUAUUAUUAGUCUUUUUCUAUCCUCCACCGGAUCCCCUUUCAAGUUGUAGAUAGCCAGUUUUCGAAGCAAAUCAUGUUGUCUAACGACGUAUUCACUGAAAUCUUUUGCCUCCUGUACCGCUCCGAAACGUUUAUCCCUAUAUAGUGUUCAUGAUUAGAAAACAAUAAUGCUAAUUUUAGUGCUGAUAAAUUUGUUAACCUAUGUAUCAAGUAUUAUUAUGCAACAAAACGAAAAUAUUGUACAUAUAUAUGGAGAAACAUAUGAGCUUGUAUUGCAUACCCUUCUGGUUCUUGUAAAAGAGCCAGACCGCGAUUGUUGAGUUCAUAGAGUUUGCCAAUGCAUGACGUCUCUUUCUUUAGAUCAUACAACUCUGCCCACAUAUCAAAGAGAGCUGUAACUUGGAUUUCAACAUCUCCCGGAAAAGCACAUAGGUCGAAAAAACAUUUUUUGACCUUAGGCGGAGCAUUUUCUAAGACAUCUAUGCUGGUUUGGAGCUGAAGAAGCAGACCCGUCUCAAAAUCAAGAAUGGAAGAACUUUCCGACCAAUCAUCUACUCUACUUCGCCACAUUUCUUCAGGCUGCCCGCAAAGUGAUCUUCCGGCCACUGUAAUGGUCAAUGGAAACCCAUUGCAAUAUUUUACUAUCUGCAUAAUUAGAAUUUCAAGAAGUUAAAAAAUGGUGAGAUACCUGGUACCUACUUUACCGUAUAUUGAUGAGAUUUGUUUAGUAAGACAAGUAAAGCUUAAAUAUGUGCAAGAAAAGAAUCACCUCACCUCUUUCGAAAGAUGUUCUGGAAUAUGAGAGCUCUUGUCUCCCAAGGAUGCUGUAUGAUGAAAUACUUGCAUUGCAUUUUCAUAAUCUAAUAGUUGUAGAUGAUAUGAAGGACCAAAUUUCGGAAAUUCAGACCUCGAUGUCACUAAAAUCUUGUAAUUUGACAUGUUGUACUCAAACUUCUCAAGAAGAGAUUUUGAUCCAGACCAAACAUCAUCCAAGACCAACAAUAAAGGAUCUUCACCUUUUUCCAUCUCAACCCUUUCAAGCCAUUUCACUGGAGUUGCUUCAUUAUGGGAAGCAGGUCCUUUAUAACCCUUUUGUUCAUAUAACCCUUUCAUAAUACGCUCCAAGUUGGGCUUUUUAGUAAAAGUGACGAAGAAGAUGUUUUCCUGGAAUUUAUCUAACCAAAUACAGCAUAAAAACAUCAGUCUGGUCCUUAGGUAAUGGCCAUGCUAGGUAAAUUAUUGUGUAUAAUUUGUACAUAUAUGGCAGUAACUGUGGAUCAAGGAGGCAAUAAUUAGAAAUGAAUGAUGAAUUAGUAUAUCUGGUGGUACCUUUGAUGUCUUGAUCUUGACAAAACUUUGCUGCCAAAGUAGUCUUGCCGCAUCCUGCAGGACCAGUCAGGGUGAGCAUGGAUCUCUCAUCCUUAAGAAUCUUCCCCUUCAGUUGCUCCAAAGGAACUUCCAAUCCGACUAUCAGCUCUGGGAGUUCAGGCAGUGCUGCACUUAAAGCUUCAAUUUCUAAAUCCUCAUUCUUCUUCAAAAGCAAUGAAACACCCCUUUCUAUGUUUUGAAGCACAACCUGGAUAUUCUCCGCGGCAACUCCAGUCUUCUUCACUUCUAUUGCCAUACUCUCCACGGCAACUCCAGUCUUCUUCACAUCUCUUGCCACCUGCACCUUGAGUACCUCUAACUCCUUUUGGAGAGACUCUUUGAAUUCAAGAAAUUCCUUCGAGUACUUCUGCUUCUUGUAGAUGUUCCGGACGCUCCACUUACCAAGCUUAGAGCAUUUGCUGACGAGCUCUGUCCCCCGCUUUAUGAGUCCUUCUAAAGCUUCCAACUCCUUUGUAAGAUCCAAUUGUUGGUUAUAUUUCCCCAUCUCGUGGAUCAGUGGUGCUAAACAGUCGAGCCUGUCUUUGAUGUCCUUGCAGAGAUCGGAGAAUAUCAGAUUAUUCCGAAUGACCUCUUCAACGCCCGCAUAGAGUGCCUCGAAUGCUUUUCCCACAACGAAAUCCACAGCCAUUGCCAUAGUACAGUGCUAGCUCUUUUAAUCUAAACUUGGAAGACGAGAGAGCCAGUACUCAAAACUCAAUUAAUCAAUAUUCUCGAUCUCACUUGCUUUGGUUGUGACAUGAACUGAUACUCAAAUUAAGCUCAAUUUAUACAACUACAACCUUCUUUCUUUUUGCUGAUCAAAGAACUACAAGCUUAAUUAUUGGAUGAAUUUUUAUUCAAAAAAACAACCGAUGGAAAGCUCGAGUUUGACUUUGCCAUAGUCUGGUCUUUCUCUAAACUUGUGCACCUAUCGAGCCUUCUGUCUCCGGAGACUUUGAUGGCAAGGAACACAACCCACAUGGCAUCACUUGUGACUUUCAUCAUGCACAUGGAAUAAUCUUUGUUAAUUAUAUUUUUAUUUUUUGGUAAAAGAAAUUAAGCUUUAUUAAAUAAAAAAAAGAAUCAAACAACAGGGGUAUAAAUGUAAAUGAUGCACGAGACAUUAAACAAAGGGGGUUAAAAUUUACACAUCAUUUUUUACAAUUCAUACACCCUUACCCUAUUUUUUAUAAAGAAAUGUCUAAAAUGUCUCUAUCCUUAACAACUUGAAGAGAUUAAAACAUGGAUAGUUUAGACAUUUUCUUAUAAAAAGUGGGGUAGGGGUGUGUAAAUAUCAAUCACCUAAACAAACCAUGAAAAUGUUUGGAAUCGAAUGGAUCAAACUCCACUAAAGGUUCAGAAGCAUUGUAGGUAUUUGAUUGGGUGCAGGAUACCUUUGAGUCGAUCGACAUGGUUUUUUUCUUAGAAUUCUUUUGUUUUGGGAGAGCACGGAGAUAAUUAAGCUAAUUAAGAACUAUUUAUAUCCUUGUUAAUUAGGAUUUAGUUGACUAAUAAUGAUCGAUUCACAUUAUUAGGUUACUAGCUACGAUAAUAAUCUUUGUUUUAAUCUAGUCUGUGAUCACACAUUAAAAAUGCAAGCUGGCCAUUGUUUAUUAGCGACAUGGUGCACACACCUUGAUUAUUAUACACCCUUCUUCUUCUUCUUCUUCUUCUUCUUGUUUUUUUUUUUUUUUUUAAGUGUUAUAUAGUUCCAGUCUCCUCAAUUUGCGCCUGUGCGGCCCAAUCUUCAAGCUAAGCCCAGAUUUCUUUUAAUUAUAGUAUACGUUUGCUUGAUUAAAUAAGAUUCUCAGAUAUACUGUUUCCAAGUGAGCUUGAAGCCUUGAACUAAAAUUUAUGUUUCUGUGCUGUAGCUAAGAAAUCUUCACGGUAUUUCAGCAAUCAAGCUAAGUCGGACUACGCUUCACUGAUUUGUUUAAGGUUAGACAGAUGAUCUAUUUGUACUUUAAAUAAGACUAUUAGUUACUUUACUAUAUUUGAGUAUGUGAGAUAUGAACGUUUUACUUCACUACACCAACUUUACUAGACUACUCGCAUCGAAAAUAAACACCACAGACUACUAUUAACUCCAGCAAGCCAGACAUGAUUAUUUAUGUCAAUGAUUUGCUGAACUGAUAUCGACUCUGAUAGCUUCUGAAAUUGGAUGGGAUACCUCAUAUAGGAAAGAAGUUCAAUUUGACAGCCAAAAAAGAAGGAUCAGUGUGAAGAAAAAAGUACCCAAGAAAAUGAAGUUUCCUUAUUAUUGAGACAUUGUUUUUUUUUUUUAAUUCGAUAAGAGCUAGGUAAAGCAGAGUGCUCUCCCACCUCAAAUUUAUUAAUAAAAAAGAAAGAUUACAAAUAAGUUGGAUGGCACUAAAGCCAGUAUCCUAAAACACCAAACAAGAGACAUCAAACUACACUAUAAAACAAGUCAAUGAAAACGAAAGUUUGGGAGACCGAACUUAUCUCGUUGAUACAUGCCCUGAAUGAAGUGGGGAGGUUCAUCCCACCAAGAUAAUGCAGACAUCGACAAACUCAUAUUGGCAAGAGCAUCGGCCACCUGAUUACCUUCCCUGAAGAUAUGAGAAGAUCGAAAAUUCAUCUGAGAAAUGCGGUGCAAACAAUUACCCCAUGCUACUCGUAAAUGCCAAGGAACAAGAUGAGGAUCACGUAAGAAAUUAAGCACAAUUGUUGAAUCCACCUCAAGCCAAAUAUGCUUCCAAUCCCUAACCCAAGCUAGCUCAAUAGCUUGAAUAACCGCCAUAACCUCUGCAUCCACCGAGUUAGGAAUUUCAAGGUUUGAAGCAAAAGCACCAAGGAAAGAGCCGUGAAAAUCCCUAAAAAUUCCACCAUAACCAGAUUUCCCUGUAGUCUUUUGCCAUGCACCAUUAGUAUUGACUUUAAACCAACCAAAGAGAGGCGGAUGCCAAUUAACCUCUGUAAUCCUAGGAGCCCGACGGGGCCGACAUAAAAGACCAAACUUCUUCAAAACCCAGAGCUCUGUUAAAGAAUUAGACAUGCAACCUGAGGCGAAUUUGCUAGCUGCUUUCACGUGACCCAUAAUUAACUGACUUACUGCAUCUACAAUAAUGGUACAAUUAUCAUGCCUCAUUUUAUUCCUUGCUUUCCAGAUAAACCACAAGGUAGUGGUGUAGCAUAUUAACCAAAUCUCCUUGAGCUGAUGACUACGCCCAACACACCCCCAUAGUAUAAUAGAUCAACCAAAUUUUGAGGUAGACGCACAGGGUUGAGACAUUGUGCCCAUAGUAUAAUAACCCCCAUAGUUAUUAUUGAGACAUUGUUAGAAUAGUCGCAAUAUUCCAAUAGAAAACGCACAGGGUUGCCAUAAGAUCCCUGCUGGAGUUGUCUGUACACUGCAGGGAAGCUCCCUAUAGCUUCAGUGGCCGUCUUAGCAAAUUUUAGUUCUGCAUAUAAACUAGGCAAAACACAUGCAACCCAGAAAAAUAAGGACUAAUUUAACUUAUAAUUGAAAAAAUAUAACACUACAGGUUCUGAGAAGAGAAACUCAGAAACUUGAGAAGAUCAAGACACAAGCAAGAGACAAAGCAAACUCUGAACUUCAACAAACAGAGCCAUUUAUGAACGAUUUCUUCAAAAUCAAAAACCUCUAGUUUAUUCAAUCUCUUCACUAUUGUAAUCUUCAAAGCAAACUAUGAACUUCAACAAACAGAGACAUUUAUAAACGCUUCCUUCAAAAUCAGAAACCUUUAGUUUAUUCAAUCUCUUCACUAUUGUAAUCUUAAUUGUAUUCUACGUACCAACAAUGCCACCAACUAACAGCUAGCACUCGUUUCUCCACAAACACACUCCCCUAAACCAAAUCUGCAUUCCACAGAAUCACCUGAAACAAUUAACAAACCAUUUCCACCACAAUGCUCAUCUCAAAGACUCAAACCCAGCACUCAAUCAAGCAAAAGAACCAAACCCAGAAACAGAGACUCACAGAAUAAUGAACAUAUAUGUGUAUAUAUAUUUGAAGCUCAACAAAUCAUGAUCACCUUCAUAGUACAAAAAACAUGUAUACAAAGCUCAAUUUACCAUACCCAAUUGAACAGCUUCCGAAAAAACAACAAUGCAAGUUAACCCAAGCUCACUCCUUUAAUCAAUUAAACUCAUCGCAUCUUCGCCUAAUCUCUCCCUUCCUCCCAGUCUGAAUCCCAUACACACUCAGCUUCUCCAUCGCUCUCGCAAAAGCAUAGAAGAACUUGCCCUGAUCCUUCGCAUAGAGCUCCACAAACGGCCUCGUCCUCGGGUCGUUAAACAGAGCAUGAUCCGACUUCAGCAGCCCCAGUCCCUUCGGAAGGUUCUGGAAAUACGCAUUGUCGAACUUGUUCGGCGUCAUGAUAUCAUUAAACACCGACAAAGUCGGGUUCUUCUGGAAAUCCGCGCAUGCAUUCCGCAACCCGGCCGCGUAUCUCGGGUUGUACUCCGGGUCGGACUGCGCCGCGCUGCUGUAGUUGUAGAUCGCGGCGGUGAACUCCUUACAGUGGGAGAAUCCAAUGGUGUGGGCCCCGGUGAGGGCCACCAUUUCUUGAGCGGAGAAGCCUCUGGAUCCGAAGAGCUCGAUGAGCUGGGAGAUGGUCAUGGUGGGCAAGGGGAGGGUUCCGUCGACGGCGGCGGCGUGUGAGGAUUUCCCGUCGCGGCGGCCGAGGGGGACGUUGUAGUAAGGGCCACCCAUCAUGGUGACGAGGUCGCGGGCGGCGACGGCGAGGAUGUCGGCGCAGGAGACGGUGCCGGGGCAGGCGAGCUCGACGGCGGUCUUGGCGCGGACGACGACGUCGAAGGCGUCGCCGGGGAGGGAGAGGUUGAUGUCGGCGUCGCGCUCGGCUUUGUUGAAAUGGGUGGAGGAGAUUAGGACGGAGGCGUCGCAGCCGUUGUGGAGGCAGUCGUGGAAGAAGAGGCGGAGGGUGGCGGCGGCGGUGGUGGGGGUGGAGAUCUGUUUGUUGGUGACAAUGUCCUGAACAAUCUGCGUGAAUCUCGGGCAAGACUUAGAGUAGUAGUUUGUGUAAAGCCUUGAUUCUAUAGAAGCAGAGCUUGACAGGAGUACGAGGAAGAGAAUGAGAAGCACCGCCAUGGCUGAGCUUCUGGUUUGGUUUCUUGCUUCCUUUCUGAGCUGAAAGAGUUGAAGCUAGUUUUAGAGUGAGGGGGUUUUACUGGGAUGAGGGAGCGUGUAGAGUAAUGUCUACAGGCGCCACCAAUCACGGGAGGGGUAGGAAAUGACGGGGGUGCCCUUUUGGUUGGUGUUGGGAUGUGAGCCUGGGGUGGUGUUUUGUGUAAUUGGAGGGAUGCGGGGGACGGAGACAGGGUUAUGAGUAAGCGGGAAUUAGUGGAGGGAUAAUUAAUUUUGAUUAGUGAUAAGUGGAGUGGAGUUAAUUAGGGAGCGUCGGUUCUAGGGUUUAGAAUUGGGGAGGUGAGACAACGGUGUGUUUAGCGCAUGUUGCGUUCGAAUCACACGAGAGAAAUAUUGUUUAAAACAGAGCUUAAAAAUCUUUAGUUUUAUGAUACGUGAUAGGAAGAUCGAGAGUUUCGUGUCUAUUGUAAUUUUUAUAAAAAAUAUUUUUGUAAUUUGUAGUACAACAUAAGUGAGUGAAACUAAAAUUAACAUACUGAAUAGCUAAAGGAUGUAAUGAUUGAUUUCCAAAUUGAGAGAAUGAAUGAAAUAGUAAUCACAAGCUUACAAUCGGCAAGAAAGCCUCCAAAUUCUUCUUAGUUACAUGGAUAGCAUGCAUAUCUGCACUUCAGACGAACCAAGUUAUCAAGUUAUCAUUAAGAGAUCAAAAGUUCCACACGGCUGUGUGAUGGUCCCCGCCGCAUCUGAUCCCAUGGAUGCCAUCUCAUGCCACUCUUUAAAUGUUCUCAAAUCCAAAAGAGCGGUGAUCUAGUUUGGAAUUUAUGAGCGAACUAUGGGCUGGACCAAGUCAACUCGACUCACCUAAUGGCAUGUUCAUUACAUGCUAGGCCAAAAUUAUUCACUUUGCAUCAACUCCUACAAAGACAAAAGUGUCAAUCAAAGCUUGAAUGGUUUCAACUUUUCUACACUGUAUCCAGCAGUGAAAUCCUAAAGUGCAAAAAAAAAAAACUCGCUUUGAAUUGAGAUCAGUAUACGACCUAACACAUCAAAUCUCAAGAGUUUCAGUAGUCCGGAGCAUUAUUGAUAAAAAAAAAGGUGCUGAGAUUAGAGAGUUAGAAGAGGUUGGGUUGAUGAGUUGAUGUAGAGAGAAAUGCAGAUGCAUGUGCAAAGCUGGUCCCAUAUAAGCUGGGUUUGUUCCUAUGUUGAGUUACAUUCCUUAUUGCUGAUGGUGUUGCCCAUUUCUAAGCUAACACCUCAUUCCUACUGAUCUGACAUGGAUAUGAAUACAGCUACAUCUUUACUAAGCUUUCCACCCCAAUUCAUGGACCAAAUUUUUGAUCCCACAAAUUAUCAAAAAUGUAGUCUUUAUCAAGAUGGAACUCAUAUGCAAGAAUUGAACUUUAUUUCUGCAUACACAAAGCAAACUAGAACAAACACCAAAUACAGAAAGCAUUACAACAACCAAAAAAAAAAAAAACAGCAGUACCACACAAGAUGUUACAUGUUAUCAUGUUUUAUUGGCAAACAAGCACAUCAUAUUUUGGAUCAUGGAAAGAUGAAUGUCCCUUCCUUGUACGCUUGGUCAUUGCGCUCUUUCAUGAAGUCCAGCAGCAAAGAGGAGUAGGGUUGCUCAACAACUCCCUUGUACUCCUUCAACCACUGCAUGAAGCUGCUCUUCUCUAAGAAAAUCUCCGGCGACAAUGCAUAAUUCUUGAGGGAACCAUACACAUAGGCCUCAAACUUUUUCAAUUCUUGCAAUGCACAUUCUUUCUCUUCAAUUGAUCCGUUCUUCACCAGAUUGCAUAACAUGCGAGCUUCUUCAACGUGUGCCCAAAAACAAGAAUCCUCAUUCAAACUAGAUCCCACUGACUGUCUUUUCGAUUUGCUUGGGACUUCUUGAGGUUUGUCUACUUUCUUCAACCAUUCUUCCAACAGAAUAAAAUGUUUAGGCCUUUUCCCAUCAGUUUUGUAGCUCUUUCCACCAUCUUUGUAGUAGUCUGCAAUGUGAAGUGGCUCAACCAUCCUUCUGUAGUUGGUGCCUGCCCAUAGCCAACGAACCCGAAAAUGAGCUCCUUCUAACUGGGGCUUGUUUUCUACUUCUGUGACAGAGUCCUCCCAAUAAUUCAUGAGUUUUUUCUUAAACUCAUUAACAUUUACGUCGCUUAUAUGCCCCUGGUUUCUGUACUUGUCAUAAUAUCCACCUACUUUGGGUUGUCUGGAUUCUUUCUUAUACCACUCCAAAAAGGCCAUGUGAACUUUCAUUUCAUUCAACUUCUUGUCCGAAUCCGAGUUCUUCUUCUUCUGAAUUAAUAACUUUGUUUCAUGCUUCUUCAUCCUUACAAUCAGACUGUCAAUCUCCUUACUUGGCUGUUGCUGUUGCAAUGAUUCAAUUUAGAUAUAAGGUCCUACAUAUAAUGUGAGGAACGAGCAGCAAGCAAACUGUUUAGUCAUAUAAUCAAUAAGUGUAAAUUUAGCUACCUGCGAGAGAAUUCCAAUGGCUUGAAGUUGUGUGAUAAGGCAUGCUUGAAGUGAAGAAUCUAAUUUAGCUUCAAUAGACUUGGAAAAAUUACACAAUGCCUUGCACUUGAGAUCACUCAAAAUGUUUCCAUAAUGGCACUCUUGAUUUUGGGCGUGGGUUUUCACCAACUGUUCCAAAAUGAUAUCCGGAUCCUCAAGACAAGCACAACCUAAAGCCGAGCAUAGUAGGAAUGUCCCAAAUGGCUUGUAAGCACCAGGAUUACGCGAUAUAAAUAGUUGAGGUGUAGGGUCUUGGUUAGAGACAAUAUGCAAGAAGCAGGACUUCCAUGUUGAGAACUUUAACACACAUUGUCGGAGUUGUUCAUCUCCAACAAGAGGAGAACCAAAAGUAACGCAAAGGGGGCGUUUGACUUUCGACAAGUUGAGGCCUUGUAGCAGCCACAGUGUGAAGAGUGUAGCCACACUACCUCCCACAGAUUGUCCAGUGAUGAUUACUAAUGAAGGGGUUUUGCUCUUGCUAUUCUCUACCAACUGAAACAUUAUAAGAAGUUACAAGCUAAGCUAGUGAUAAUGAUCGAUAAUGACGAGGUGCAAACAAGUCAUGUGUAAUCUUACAGAAACUAAUUAAAUCUAAUUAUCAUAACUAAUUUACUUGUUAGCUUCUUAUAACUAACCUUCUCUUUCAGCUGAAGUAGCUCAUCGUAUUGUGACUUAAAAAGUUGGAUUGCUGCUUGGUUGAGGGAGAAAUUUGGGUUGGUUUUGUUGCACAGAAACUCAAAGUGAGCAAAGUUGUCUUCUUUCAGGCUUGAUGAUGAAACCAAAGCUUCUUGUCCUUGCAGAGAGCUAGGUGGAGUUCCAAAAGCUAUGAUGGUAGGAUUUUCUGGUUGGAUUUCAUUAAACAAACAUGGCUCUGCAUUCGGAUUGAUCUGUUUCUGUUUCUCGAUUGCGUUCCAAGCCUGGUGAACCGGAUCAGAGGUCAAGAGAAAGUUCGCCGAUUCCAAACCGCUGCUGAAUCUAGCAUCAUCAAGAACCAAAGUCAACGCAAGUAAACAAAACAGAAUCACAAAAAACCAGGGAUGAACAGGAGGUGGACUCUACUUACUGGUUGCUGGUCAUCUUCAAGCUCCUUUCUCUUCAAUUUACUUUGAAACCCAAGGAUCGUAAGUUAAAUUUUGUAACAAGAACAGAUGGCUGUCAUUUAAAGGGGAUCAAAUGCUCUGCUACUUUUCUUCCCCACCAACCAGGAACUUGCUCGAAAUUCACCAAGUCUUCGUCCAGACCCAAAAAUAAUAAACAAAGUCUUCGUCUUUUGUCCAAAGACACGUCAAGAAAAUUACUUGGAAAACGUUUGCCUGUUGCUAAGAAGAAGAGGGAAAGAGGACGUCUACAUUUCUGAGUUAUGCUAUUGAACUUCCCCGGUAAUAUUGUCACGGGAUGAGAACUUCGCUCCUCUACCAACCGUGCGGCCUUAGAGUUGUUCACCUCCUUGAACUCUCUAAGUCAGUCUCGUCUUCAGGCAACGGAAACAAGAGCAACACAAGAGAACAAGAAUGCUAGAAGUAGACUAAGUGUGCAAGACUAAGCAAAGUAAACACUUAGACAAUGUGGGAGAAAUGAACUUUGUAUUAAGUUAUGAACACUUACAAGACUUUCCAAGAUGGUUUGGCAAAGAGCCUUCACCACCUAUUUAUAGCCUAGCACCUCCUUAAUGGAUGGCUAGGAUUCAUUUGAUCCUAUGGCUAUAAUUACAUGUUCUAAAAUAUACAUGAAGUAUCUACAAGAAAAUACCUAAGCUAGGGAAUUCUAAAGUGUCCUAGAAUUCUCUAGAUAGAUCCACCAUGUUCUUGAAUGUUGAAGUGCCUCCCCUUCCAUGAUGGACUUGGGCUUGUGUCAUGGACUUGCUUCACUCAAACUUGGUCCAUGACAUUCUCCCUCACUCAAGUCGGCGACGUCCUCGUUGCCCUUGCGAUCUCCUCUUGCUCGAACUCGGCAAUCUUGUCCUUGAAUUGCCACAAGGACUCCUCUUUCUCCCAACUAGCCUCGGACACGGGCAACCCCUUCCAUUUGACAAAGUAUUCGGUAUACCUUGGUACCCGCUUCUUCCGCACCUCGCGCUUGGCCUCAAUGCUAUCAACUUCUUUGUCAAAUGAAGUGAUCAUAUAAGCGGGAGCUCGAUGAGUCUUACCUCGUUCGGGUGCUUCAGCAUCUUCAUGAUAAGGCUUCAAGUGACUUACAUGAAACACCGGAUGAAGCUUGGUGUUAAAAGGUAGUUCCACUAGAUAUGCCGCUUUGCCUACCUUCUUGAGGAUCGGAAAGAGACCUUCAUACUUCCGUAGAAAACUCUUGUGAAGUCCCUUGUUCGCCUUGUGUUGUGUUGGAAUAACCUUCACGAACACUAAGUCGCCGGUUUAGAACUCCAAGUGUCGCCUUUGCCGGUCCGCAUACUUCUUCAUCUUCUUUGAAGCCUUCUCUAAUUGCGAACGAGCGAGCUCAUUGGCUUGUUGCCACUCCUUGGCUGUUUUAUAUGCAGCGGGGCUACUUCCCGUGUAGCCGGUCACCAACGUGCUUGGAGUCAAGGGUUGUUGUCCGGUUGCUAGCUCAAACGGACUUGCUCCCGUCGACUCGGACCGCUACAAGUUAUAAGAGAAUUGGGCGACAUCAAGCAACUUUGCCCAAUCCUUUUGGUUGGCACUCACGUAAUGCCUUAAGUAUAGCUCCAACAAUGCAUUCACGCGCUCCGUUUGCCCAUCGGUUUGCGGAUGAAAGGCCGUGGAGAAGUUUAACUUUGCCCCAAGUAACUUGAAGAGUUCCCUCCAAAACCUUCCGGUGAAUCGAGCAUCUCGAUCGCUAACUAUGCUCCUUGGAACUCCCCAAUACUUCACCACAUGCUUGAGAAAUAGGCAUGCCGCUAUCUCCGCGGUACACUCCACGGGUGCCGGGAUGAAUGUGGCAUACUUGGUGAAUCGAUCUACCACAACAAAGAUGGAUCCACAACCAUCGAACUUGGGUAGAUUUGUCACAUCCCGGGACCCGCUCCGCCGUAACACGAUAUUGUCCGCUUUGGGCCCCCGACCCUCACGGUUUUGUUUCCGGCAGCUCAGGAGCAGCUUCCCAGGAGGUCACCCAUCCUGGGAUUGCUCUAGCAUCAACAUGCUUAACCUCGGAGUACCCAUCCCCUCCGAAGCCGCUGAGCCACCAAAAGGCCUCGUGUUAGAUUGGAGGUGGGCAUGUACAUAUACAGCACAUAACCCCUCUCCGUUUGGCCGAUGUGGGAUAUUACAAUAUUGGUGAUGAAGUCCAUACUUAAACUUUCCCACGAUCUUGAUGGAAUGGGAAGGGGUUCCAACAACCCUCCCGGAUGCUUUUGCUCCACCUUGUCUUGUUGGCACACAAGGCAAGUCUUCACAUAUACAUCCACAUCGUCCCGCAUAUGUGGCCAAUAGUAGGUAUCGCUAAGCAAUGCCAACGUGCAAUGAGUGCCGGGGUGUCCCACCCACUUUGAGUCGUGGCAUUCUUUCAAUAUCUCCCUCCUCAAGUUGUCCCAUUUUGGAACAUAAAGCCGCUUCCCUGUUGUGUAAAGCAACUCGUCCUCAAGCCAAAAUCGCCUUGUCGUUCCACUCUUGACAAGCUCUACCAAGUUCUUGGCUUGAGAGUCAUGGGAUAGUCCCUCCUUGAUUCUUCCCAUGAGAUUGCUUUGAGGUGUAAGCACGACGAGUGCUAGCUCGGCUUUCCGGCUUAAGGCAUCCGCUACCACGUUCUCUUUGCCUUGCUUGUAUUCCAACUUAUAGUCGAACUCGGCAAGGAACUCUUGCCAUCUUGGUUGCUUCGGGGUAAGCUUUUGCUGCGUUUGAAAGUAGCUUGUGGCCACAUUGUCGGUUCAGAUUAUGAAAUGGGAACCAAGCAAGUAGUGCCUCCAAGUGCGCAAGCAAUGAACUACGGCCGUCAUCUCCUUCUCAUGCACCGAAUAUCGUCUCUCGGUGUCAUUGAGCUUGCGGCUUUCAAAGGCUAUCGGAUGUCCCUCUUGCAUAAGUACACCACCAAUGGCAAAGUCCGAUGCAUCGGUGUGUACCUCAAAUGGCUUGCUAAGGUCCGGCAGCCUUAGCACGGGUUCCUCCAUCAAAGCCUUCUUUAAGUCUUCAAAGGCUUAUUGGCAUCGAUCCGUCCACUCCCAUGUCUUGUUUUUCUUCAAAAGGUCCGUUAAGGGUGCCGCAAUGGCGGAGUAUCCCUUGAUAAACAUUCGAUAAUAAUUAACCAAGCCAAGGAAUGAUCGAAGUGCGGGUACCUUGGUUGGCGGCUCCCAAUCUUGGAUGGCCUUCACCUUGCUUUCCUCCAUCAAGAGCUUUCCAUCCUUGAUCUUGUGGCCUAGGAAGUCCACUUCCUCCUUGGCAAAGGAACAUUUCUCCUUCUUCACAUAGAGUUCGUUCUCCCUAAGGGUUUGGAACACUAUGCGAAGGUGCUCGACAUACUCCUCCAAGGUUUUGCUAUAGACCACAAUGUCAUCGAUAUAAACUACCACGAACUUAUCAAGGUAAGGAUUGAAUACCUUGUUCAUUAAGGUGUAAAAAGUUGCCGGGGCAUUGGUGAGACCGAAUGACAUGACUAAGAACUCGAACGAUCCGUAUCUUGUUACACAUGCGGUCUUCGGUUCAUCUCCGGGUGCAAUCCUUACUUGAUAGUAUCCUGAGCGAAGAUCUAGCUUGGUGAAAUAUCUUGCUCCUCCCAAUUGAUCGAAUAGGUCGGCAAUCAAAGGGAUGUGAUACUUGUUCUUGAUGGUGAUCUUGUUAAGCGCCCGGUAGUCGAUGCACAUCCUUAAUGAGCCUUCCUUCUUCCUUUGGAACAAGACGGGGGCACCGUAUGGGCUCUUGGACAGUUGAAUGUAGCCGGCAUCAAGCAACUCCUUAAGUUGCUUCCGGAGCUCCUCUAGCUCGGGUGGCGCCAUUCUAUAGGGAGACCUUGAUGGUGGCUUUGCUCCGGGUUCCAACUCGAUGGCAUGAUCCACCUCCCUCAUUGGUGGCAACCUCUUCGGCAACUCCUUGGGCAUUACAUCUCCAAACUCCUCAAGGAUUGCCUCUAUUGCUUUUGUCAAUGGUUCGGACUUUCCUCCAACCUCCUCAUCCAUCUUGAGGGUUGCUAGGAAUGUCGGCUCGCCCUUCUUCCAAGCUUUAGCGAGUUGCAUGGCGGAUAGAGCCUUUGUCUUCUCCCUUGCUUGCCUUGCCACGAGCACCACGCAAGACAAUUCUCUAUCCGCAACAAUGCAAAAGAUGUUAUAGAAUGGAAUGGAAAAUGCUCGUACAUUGUCCAUGAAUUCAAGGCCGAUUACCACGCCAGAGUCAUCCAUCUUGACCAUGGUGAAGUCGACUUUCCCCUUCCAAGCGUCAAUGUGAACCUCCACAUCGCGUGCUACCCAAACAAUAGGUGUGGCAGGUGUAUUCACUGUCUUCACACUGCCUGACUCCUUCGUGACUCGGAGGCCAAGUUUCCUUGCUUCUUCCGACGUCAUGAAGUUAUGAGUUGCUCCGCAAUCCACCAAGGCACGAAUCAUCGUGUCUUUUGCCUUGACAUCGAUGUAAAGCGAUCCACCUUCCGCUUGUCACCUUGGUUGAGGGAUGCUAGCCUUCACGGCAUUGAGCAGCCGGAUGCAUCCCAUCCUUGCUGCAUCAUCUUCCUCCGCCUCGAUCCUAUGCUCUUGCAAGGUCAUGGCUUUGAGUGCUUUCUUUUGAGGGCAAUCGCGCAUCAUGUGAGGGUCGUCGCAUAAGUAGCACUUCACUUCCCAAGUCUUGUUUGCGGACUUGUCGUGCUUCUCGAACCUCUUCACCUUCGGCUUGUAGCUUGACUCGGGCUUCUCCUUCGGCUAUGGCACAUCUCCCCCACUUUUCUCAUAGUUAACCUUCUUCCCCUUGAACUUGGUGUCGCCUUGGUAGCUAGUCUUGAAUUCAAUAAGGGACUCGGCAGCGGCAAUGGCUUGAGACAAAGUUUGCACUUGUCUUCUUUGCAACUCAAGCUUUGCCCAACUUUGUAAACCACUUAUGAAGUAGAUGAGCUUGUCCUCCUCCGUCAUGUUGGACACUUCGAAUAGUAAGUUAACAAAUGUAUUGACAUAGUCCUUGACGCUACUCGUUUGCUUUAGCCACCUAAGCUUCUCCUUGGCUUCAUAUUGAGCAUUUUGGGGAUAGAAAUGUAACUUGAUAUCAUUCUUGAAUUCUUUCCAAGUAUCAAGAGAGAACGUACCUUGCUCGAUUUCCAUGCUCCUUCGACGCCACCACAUAAGGGCAUUGUCGGCUAGGAACAUGGUAGCCGUUGAAAUUUUGGACUCGUCAUCCUCAAGCUUUAGAUACUUGAAGUACCUUUCCAUGUUCCAUAGAAAGGUGUCAAGCUCUUUAGCUUCCCUCUUCCCACUAAAGGAUUUGGGUUUGAAAGAGUCUAAUGCCUUCGUCUCCUUUGGCCCUUGCGACUUGUUAAGUGCAGCCUCUUUGCUUAGCGCCCAAUCUCCCUUGACCUCCUUCACUUCCUCUCGGAGGGCUGUGAGCUCAGCGGACAUUUGAUCAAACUUGUCUCGGACCUCCCCUCGGAUCCUAUCUGCCAUAAUGUUAAGAGCGCCGUGCAUUUGCUCUCGCAACUCUUCCACCAUGGCUGCGAAAUCCCCCUUUGUCACGACGUCAUCUUCAAGUCGAGUGUCAAACUCGACCACGGCCGAUUCCACCUUUCCGAGCCGUGCAUCAAAGGCAGCAAGUACUUCCUUGUGGCUCCUCUUGGCGCCAACGACAGCUUGCUCCACCGAAACUCCUUCUCCGGACAUCUUCCUUCUCUUUGUGUUGUACGCGAGCAAUUAGACUCUGAUACCACUUGUCACGGGAUGAGAACUUCGCUCCUCUACCAACCGUGCGGCCUUAGAGUUGUUCACCUCCUUGAACUCUCUAAGUCAGCCUCGCCUUCACGCAACGGAAACAAGUGCAACACAAGAGAGCAAGAAUGUUAGAAGUAGACUAAGUGUGCAAGACUAAGCAAAAUAAACACUUAGACAAUGUGGGAGAAAUGAACUUUGUAUUAAGUUAUGAACACUUACAAGACUUUCCAAGAUGGUUUGGCAAAGAGCCUUCACCACCUAUUUAUAGCCUAGCACCUCCUCAAUGGAUGGCUAGGAUUCAUUUGAUCCUAUGGCUAUAAUUACAUGUUCUAGAAUAUACAUGAAGUAUCUACAAGAAAAUACCUAAGCUAGGGAAUUCUAAAGUGUCCUAGAAUUCUCUAGAUAGAUCCACCAUGUUCUUGAAUGUUGAAGUGCCUCCCCUUGCAUGAUGGACUUGGGCUUGUGUCAUGGACUUGCUUCACUCAAACUUGGUCCAUGACAAUAUACCCUCUGCCUCUAGUUUGGAACUUUGGCUCGUUCCUACGCACACAGCCAUUGACCAUUGUUCAAAAUUGUUAAAGAGAGAAUUUUUCAAAUGGUGCCCCAAGUUAAGCCCAUUCAUUAUUUUGACAUCUUAAUCUUGAAAACUAUAAUAAUGGUACCUCAACACUUAAACUCAGCCCAACAUUAGUUCCUUCCGUGAUUGACACCACCGUUACGUUGGAUUUUGUCCAUGGGCAAAAUUGUCUCUUCAUGUUUUCCCUCCACAAACUUUGUCAGUUGAAUUAGAGUUUCUUGACUUGAAGAUAUCAACUAUGAAUGUGAGUCAUAUUAGCUAGUUAUCUUUGAUUGUUAUAUUAAGUAUGUAUGUUUCAUGAACUUCAGUACUUAAAUGCAUUUUAAUCAAUGUUGAUUCUUUCUCUCACCGGUGGGUUGCAAAAGCUACUUUUAAUGAUGGAUAUUAAUGACCAAUGAUGUAUUAUAAUUUCUAAAUGUCUCUAAUUUUUGUAUGCAGACAACACAUGACUCACCACAAAUUCUGAUACUGAUGGAAAAAUGGACAUUAUUCUUGAGGGAAAUGUUUGUGAAAGAAAAAGAUUUAGGGAGGGAAAACAUGAAAAUACAAUUUUGCCCAUGGAUAAAGUCCAACUUAAUGGUGUCAAUCACGGAGGAAACUAAUGUUAGAUUGAGUUUAAGUGUUGAGGUACCAUUAUCAUAGUUUUCAAAAUUGAGAUGUCAAAAUGAUAAAUGAGCUUAACUUGGGGCAUCAUUUGAAAAAUUUCCUCUUGUUCAAAAGCAAAGCCACGACCAAGCCAGAUGACCCAGAUCAAGGUGUUUUUACUGCAAGUCCAUUAUACAAAAUGGAAAAAAUAUAAUAUUUUCAAAAAAUUAGGAAGCCCAUGAUCAAGGUGUUUGCACUUCACCAAGACCCCAAUACAUGGACAAAUGUUCUGUAGUUUUACUUGCGCUUGUAAAUGGUGUUGCAUUAUUCAUGUGCAACUCACCAUUCACUAUUCCUCAUGUAUAUUAUUGCUCAUCUCAUAUGAAGGGUAAAGAAAAUUAAGUAGCUGAUGCUCUUGCUGUCUUUCAAGUUUUGGCUCUUCUUCUGGUGAUAUGACUUUAAGAGAUACACUACCGGAUUUUGUUGAUUUUUUAGUUCACUUUUAUGACAGUGAGAGGUUGAAACUUCCUUAUUUCCGAUUUCACGUUUGUUAUUUUCUUUGAGAGGUGUGAGUGUUUGUCCCCCUUUUUUGUUUAUCACCUUUAGUAAAUAAUCUCACUCUUAUUAGUCUUAAUAAAAUAAAAUAAAAUAAAAUAAAGGACUACUGCUCUAGUUCUCACGCACGACCAGCAAUACAAAUGAUUCUCUUCCUGCUUUCUAUUGUUUUCGAAGUACUUUCAUCUAUAGCAAACUAUAAUUAAGUUACUGCCAAAAUAUCACUUAACAAUUAGAUUUUUUCAAAGAGUUUCUAAACAUACAAGGAUAAAAUUUUACAAAUAAGGACAAGUUGUUAUAUUCUUGUCAUGUGGCAAUAACACAUUUAUAAUUUUGUCCUUAAUUAAAACAUACUUCACUGCUACUACCUCCGACCGGAAGUCUGCAGCUACUAUCGCCGACCGGAAGUCUGCUGCUACUGCCGCCGACCGAAAAUCUGUUGCUACUGUGCAGAUCAGAAAAUUUAUUGCUACUGCAGUCGACCGGAAAUCUGCUGCUGCUGCUGCGUCGACCGAAAAUUUACUGCUACUGCCGUCGGCCGGAAAUUCAUUGCUACUAUCGCUGAUCGGAAAUUUAUUGCUCCUGUCGCCGACCAAAAAUUUACUGCUACUGCCGUUGAUCGGAACCUACUGCUACUACCGACUAAAUAGCUACUGCUACUACCAAAUUCACCCAAAAAAAAAACUUCUACUACUACCAAAUCUACAGUAGCAGAACUCUUACACAUCCAAAACCUGAUGAUCUGCAAUAGCAACAAGACCUGAUGAUCUGCAACAACAGUAGUAGCAAGACUUGACAAUCUGCAACAAUAGUAACACCAAAACUUGACCUUUGUGGCAGCGCAGUAGCAGCAAAACUUGAUGAUCAGCAACAACACAAUAGUAGUAGCAAGAUCUGAUGAUCUGCUACAGUAGCAGUAAGACUUGAGAAUCUACAACAACAGUAGCAACAAAACUUGACCUUUGUGGCAGCUGUAGCAGUAACACUUGACAAUCUACAACAACAGUAGCAGCAAAACUUGACCUUUGUUGCAGCUGUAGCAGCAAGACUUGAACAUAGCCUUUAGAAGGUACCAACUCAUUAUCAAUGAGAUCGACUCCUCAGCCGCCACACCUCUCCGGGACGUCAAGCUCCUAGCCCUCUACUUCUCCAUCUCCGAUUACAAGGUUUGUCGAGAUCUAAGGUUUUGAAUUGUGACAUUAGAUUUGGAAUUAGCAAUGUUGAAUUGAAAUUGUGCGUUCAAGAAUUUGUGAUCUCUAAUUACUCAACGUCAAAGUCGGCCUUAGCUUGCUCGGAGCUAUUGGACGAUGACGAGAACCUAAUCUUCCAAAGAGGUCGACAGUGAGAAUUGGUUGGGUGACAAGGUAGUUGGAGAGAGAGAGAGAGAGAGAGAGAGAGAGAGAGAGAGAGAGAGAGAGAGAGAGAGAGAGAGAGAGAGAGAGAGAGAGAGAGAGAAUAGGUAAGGGAAAAAAAAGAAAAGAAAAAAGAAAAGGAAGAGAGUGAGAAGAAAGUUUAGGAUGUCAGAGUAUUAUGGUCAUUUGAUAGGUUAAAUUUGGAUCAGACCUAAUGCUAUUAGUUUUGGGUUGGGCUCAUGUGUAUAAAAAUUAAUGAAAGUGAGUUUUUUGUGUUUUUAAAUUUGAUUAUGUACUACUAUGUAAUUUUCUCUUUCAUCUACUCUUUUACUGUUCGGGAGUAAUAAUUAACGAGUUAAGUUCUUUUUUUUACUAUAAUUAGAGAGAUAAGUUUCUGGUCAUAUUAGCCUACUUUUUAUGAUCAAGUAAAAACCGGGAAGAAUGCAAGUGUGACGAUAUACAGUAAUCAAAGUGCAUUAAACAUUCCUAUCUGUGGUAGGACGUAGGAGAACUCCAAUUGCUAGUGUAUGAUAAUGCCAGUUUGAAGUGGCUAUUUCGAGUACCUAGAUAAACUUGAGUCAGGAUGAGAUCGGUUGCUAUAGAGAAUUGCAGAUGCAUAUGUAAAGCAGCUGGUUCCAUAUAAGCUAGGUUUGUUCCUACGUUUACCUACAUUCCUAAUUGCUGAUGGUGAUGACACAUUUACUUACUUAGAAUGAAAUUUAUUAUGAAUGAAAGAUAGAAGGAAUAGGAGAUGGAAUAGAACAGUAUAUGGAGAUUUCAAUUCUAUUGAGCUGUUUACUUACCACAUGAAAUUAGAACAUGAAUAUAAUUAAUUAUUAUUUUAAUUACUAAAAUACUUAUGAAAAAAAUAAAGCUACACAUUUCGAUCACUCUCAACACAAUUUUUUCUUAUAUGUUGAUCUAAUUUUGUUUGUCGUUUUGAUUGUCUCAGUUGAUAAAUUAUGUAUAAUCAACAAACCAAAGGGACUAUUUCUAUUCAGUGUAUUAAUUAUAAUCAUGUGGUUACAUAUUAAUAAUAUAAUACAUAGACUACGUGUGCACUUGUGUAUAUUGCAAUCUCGUUCUUACAUAAACUCUCUUCUAUCAUGAUUUAUCAAAUCAUUUGGACCUAAUACUAGCAUUUUGGGUGUAUCUCAAACCGCGAGUUGCAAGGAUUGAACAACAAAAUUAAGACAUCAUACGUUUAUACAUUUUAGUAAUAUUAUAUUUAAAUCAAGUAAGCAAUUUUAUAAAUAUAAAAAAAAAAUUUAAACAACUUCCAUGUAACACCUCGAUUUGCACCUCAUCAAAUCAAGUACAUUACAAUGCCGCGUUCUCUUAGAACCUAAACUAGGGCCCAUCACUCAAGCCCUGAGAACCCGCAAGGCAUUUUAAUUAAACUAACUAAAACUUUUAUAAAUUGAAAAUCAAAGUUAAAGUCGGAAGCGUUACAUAAAUGAGGUGUAAAACAUUAUAGUAAAACAGAUUUACUUCCUUCGGAUCAAGCUAUAAAGCACAAAACUAAUACGAAAUAACAACUUCAAUAAAACAUCUCCAAGGUUAACAAAAACAUAGUUCCUUGGUAGCACGGAUAACAAUGACAGGAAAAUAAAAUAAAGUAGCUGACAGACAAAAAACUUCAAACAAGGUUUCCAAAUAAAACACAAGGAAAUGUAUCCAGUAAUCAUGAUACAAAAUGGAGACCUUACGUACGAUAACAAAUUUAAAAAAAGACAUUUAACUUUAACCAAAUAUGCACACCCAUCUCAAUCCAGCUCAAUCCCAUUCUUGUGCACAGAACCUGCAUCGAAAACUGUUGUAGGGGUGAGCUUUCGUCCUCGCUGCUCAAUAAGACUCAACCAACUAGGUUUGAAAACUAUUUAAUUUAUUGGCCAGUAUGUGAAAACAAAUAUAAAUAUAAAUGAUGAUCAAAUCAUAAAGUAAGUUUCAUUUUGAAAACUAUCUGCGGGCCCAGAAUACACAAACCUGAUGACCGGUCCUCUUAUGCCAACUACAACCUUACCGCAAUUAAUAUCGUCCAUACCGGCAAGGUGUAGCGAGAGUGUCCAUUUACGCUAUACCGCCUAGGAGUGACGCCACACCUCAAAGGAUGUCAGACGUCCUCGAGUCCGUACAGCCCCUCCGAAGGUUUAGGGGAUCGAAACCCAAGGAAGUCACUAUGCCCCGCUCACUCUCAAGUCAUCACACAAUAUCGAAAACAUUGAAAACAAGCAUGGCAAUAGAAAUAUUAAAUCUUCAUAAUAAACCAAUCACAGCCAUGCGAUCAUUUUUCAUAUAUAAUAUACGAAAAACCACUAGCCAAGAAGAGUCUAGAAUCCCCUACCUGGUAUUCCUGGAGUCCAAGUCUUUGCUCCACAACACUCGGCAAACACCACCAUACUCGAAAACUCAAGAACCGGAGCUCUGUCCGACAUUUCAAAUAUUAGUUCCUUAAACAUCAAUUAGGAACUCUUUUCAAAAACUUAACAAGAUCACAUGUACUACAUAAUGAUCAUAUGAGGUGAUAGCUAAUAGUAGCUAGUUAUAAAGACCGAGCUUAGUUCAACACACUAAGCCAACUAAUAAUGGCUCAUACUUAACUCAUUCUUUAUCUCUAGCUCAAAUGAGCAUCUGAACCCAAUUCGUUUCUCAUUCAAAUGCUUUAACCCUUCCAACUUAUCAUGAACUAUUGCCAAGUAAUUUGAUUCACCACUUCAUAAUUAUUGUUUUCAAUAAACACGCUGGAAGUAUAUAGUAAGAGUGUUCCAUUCAAAGAAGCUUCAUGACAUCAAUAUUUCAAAAAUGUCCAGCACCUUAUGUUUCAUUAGCUUUCUAUCCGUAUCAUGAUUCAAACCAAACCAAUAUCCCCUUGAGCACAUCGAAUAGCAACAAAUCCUAGAUACCAUUGAUAUAUCAAUUACACUCUUCAAAAUAAACUAGUUUCCAACUUUAUCAUUCUUGUAAAUAUGAUGCAGCAUAUUACCAAUAGAUCAAAACCAUAUCGUUCAUAGCAAGGGAUCAGUGCAUACUUACAGUAGCCUAAUAAUUCUUUCCAAAGUAUAUUCAUAGCAAACACAAUUAAGUCAACUAUAUGUAUCCAAAGUGAUCACCCACUUACCAUGUAAUUUCUUUAUUUUGAUCUCUUUCUUCCUGAUGCGUUGUUGGACCAAAGCAACUGAACCUCAUAUACUCUGUUUUCAUUGAAUAGGCAUACAAACCAUCAAUGCCAUCAUAAUCCAAUAUAAACAAAAUUUUAUACUUGGAAGAACAUGAAACAAGAGUUCCCUUGUUUACCCAGGCUCUCACCUUAAUUUUCAAGAGGAUGUCCAUUACGUCCAAGCAUGUAGUCUUGUCCUAGAUGGAGAACUUGAACCCUUCUUCUUCUUCUAUUCUCAUUAAAAACAAAGUAAUUAAUAAUUGAUCAAUUGCUUAUGGAACCAAAUCCAAUCAAAGAUACGGUCUUACCAUCUUUAUGGUCUCUCUAAAUUUCCAUUCACCCAUCAAUUUCCAACUUCUGCAUUAUUUGACAUGUUCAGGAGUCAUUAACUUGCUUCUUAACUCCAAAAACUCAUCACCCAAUAAAUCUUAGUUCGCAUCAUCACAUAGAACCAAAAGACAAAAUUAAGAACUCAAAUUCAAAUCAGUGGCAGAAUCUUACUUGUGAUUUUCAGUUUCAUCACCUCUUCCCUUCACAGCUUAAUUAUUCUCCAUGGUCUUCCUGCUUUGUUACUUGGAACCUAAUUCAACUUCAGUUUGUCAUCACCAGCAAUCAAACCAUCAAAAAUAAUCAAAACCCAAUCUGUGUUAAAAUCUGAAAUCCCAAAUCUAUGGGUUCUUGGGACUUUACCUCAAAACGCCAAGAGAAGAAGAAUAACGUUCAUGCAUGUGGCUUUCUACAACUUGAAUCGAUGGCGACGGUACAUAGCCGAACGACCCAAACUCCAUCUCUGUUGUAUCCUUGAACUGAAGAUUAACAUCCCACCAUGAAUAUUUAGCAGCUUUGCCUUCUUGAACAUGAACAGAGAGACACAGAGAAAGAAAGAGAGUGAUCAAGAUCGAGAGCGUUCGUAAGAGAGGGAGAGAAAACGGGAGAAGCUUCUGGUCAUUCUCUGAUCAAAGCUUAUCAAUUUGUAGCUCAUAUAUAUAAAAUUACAAUGUUGCCCUCCUUAGUCCCCGGGUUAUUCCAAGACUACAUUAUAGGCCCAAUUUAAAAAUGAAACCUCUCGAACCCAACUAAACCGAGCAAUGUCCGUCCACUACAGAAAUCGUUUACUAAAAUCAUUCGUGACCGCAAUACAUAUAGCUAUAACUUUACGGGGUCUCACAUUCCACAAAUAAUAUAUUAUUAGCAUAUAAAAAGAAGCCUUUAAGAAAAAAAAAUUGAAAUUAUUAGCAUCUUAAACAAAUUUCUCAAUAUAUUAUUAGCAUAAUAAAAUUAAAGAGGGCAUUUUUAGAAUAAAAGUUUAUUCCUGAUGAUAUCAUUCAUUAUCCCACCUCCCCCUUUAGUAUUACAAUUUAGGGUUGUUAAGGAAUCGAUUCCUUAUUAGGAGGUGGGAGUCACACCCAUUCCAAUUUCAUUAUGUGUAAGUAAACGCUAGAAUUCUCUUCUGCCGGAAUCAUUCCCUCAUUUUUCAAUUUCAUUCCAUGUAAGUAAAUGUGUCAGCAAUUCAUUCCUAUACGGAUCUGAACAUGAAUUAAAUACAGCUACAUUUUCACUAAGUAAGCAUUCAAUCCCAAUUAAUGGAUCCAUGUUUGUGCCACAAACUAUCAACAAGGAAGAGGCUUAAUCAAGAUUGAACUCAUCGUUGAACUUUAUUUUUGCAUACACAAAGCAAACUACGUGGAAGAAACACCAAGCACAGAAAAUAUUACAAUAAAGAAAAGCACCACACUAGAUAAAUCGUAUGUUUAUUGGCAUAUAACUCAAUUUUUGGAUCAUGGAAAGAUGAACUCUCCUUUCUGAUAUGCCUCGUGAUUGCGCUCUUUCAUGAAGUCCAGAAGCAAGGAGGAGUAGGGUUGCUCAACAACUCCCUUGUACUCCUUCAACCACUGCAUGAAGCUGCUCUUCUCCAAGAAAAUUUCCGGAGACAAUGCAUAAUUCUUAAGGGAACCAUACACAUACGCCUCGAAAAUUUUCAAUUCUUGCGGUGCACGUUCUUUCUCUUCAACUGAUCCAUUCUUCACCAGAGUGCAUAGGAUGCGAGCUUCUUCAACAUGCGCCCAAAAACAAGAAUCCUCAUUCAAACUAGCCCCCACUGACUCUCUUUUCGCUUUGCUUGGGACUUCUUGAGGUUUGUCUUUUUUCUUCAACCAUUCCUCCAACAGUAUGAAAUGUUUAGGCCUUUUCCCAUCAGAUAUGUAGUUCUUUCCACCAUCCUUGUAGUAGUCUGCUAUGUGAAGUGGCUCAACCAUCCUUCUGUAGUUUGUGCCUCCCCAUAGCCAACGAACCCGAAAAUGCGCUCCUUCCAUCUGGGGCUUGUUCUCUACUUCAGUGACAGAGUCCUCCCAGUAAUUCAUGAGCUUCUUCUUAUACCCGUUAACAUUGAUGUCAGAUUCAUUGCCCUUCUCUCUGUACCUGUCAUAGUAUCCAAUAUUUUGCCGUUUCGAGUCCUUCUUGUACCACUCCAAGUUGGCCAUGCAAAUUUUCAUGUCAUUCAGUCUCUUGUCGUUGUCCGAGUUCUUCAUCUUCUGAAUUAACAACUUUGUUUCAUGUUUUUUCAUCUUCCCAACCAGAUUGUUAGUAUCAGGGGACUGUUGCUGUUGCAAUGAUAACAUUUUGGUAAUAAGUUAAAUAAAAAGUAUGGAAAAAUGAUACCAUACUCUUAUCAUAAAUUAGUUUGAUUUUUUUCUUUUUCCACACUUCACAACAAAUAUAGAAACGCACAGAAUAAUGAUAAUUUCCUUAUUUUUCUGUGAGAUCAUUUGUUACCUGUGAGACUACUCCGACAGCUAGGAGUUGUGUGAUUAUGCUAGCUUCAAGUGGAUCUCUUUCCCCUCCAAUGGACUUGUAAACAUUACAUAAUGCCUUGCGCUUGAGAUCCUCCAAAAUAUGUCCAUAAGGGAACCCCAAAUUAGGAUCUUGAGUUUGAGCACUAAGAGAAUUGGCUGUCACGAAUUGUUCUGAAAUGAAAUCCGGGUCCUCAGAGGUAGCACUACCCGAGGUCGAGCAUAAUAAGAAUGUCCCAAAUGGCUUAUAAGCACCAAAUGUAUUUCGAGACAUAAAGAGUUUAGGUGUAUGAUCUUGGUCAGAGACUACAUGCAAGAAACAAGAUUUCCAAGUCGAAAAUUCUAACACACAUUUUCGAAGGUGUUCAUCACCAACAAAGGGAGAACUGAAAGUAACGCAAAGAGGGCGUUUGGUUUUGAGCACGUUGAAGCCUUCUAGCAACCAUAAGGUGAAGAGUGUAGCCACAAUGCCUCCCACAUAUUGUCCGGUGAUGAUUAUCAAUGGUGGGGUUUUGCUCUUGCUAUUCUCUACCAGCUGAAACAAUGUAAAAUGUUAUUUACUCAUCAGAAUGAUAAUGAAGCAGAACAAGAGACAAGCAUGUUAUGUCAAUCUUAUGUUUUACAAAUACUUGUGAAACUAACUAAGAUGACAACUUCAAUGUAUAGCUUCUUAAAACCAACCUUAUUUUUCAGAAGGAGGAGGUCAUCAUAAUGCGACUGAAAUAGUGUGAUUGCUGCUUCAUUGAUGUAGAAGACUGGAUUGCUUUUGUUGCACAAAAACUCAAAGUGAGGAAAAUAUUUUGAUGAAACCAAGCCUUCUUGUCCCUCAAGAGAGCUGGGCGGAGUGCCAAAAGCUAUGAUGAUCUGAUUUUCUGGUUGGAUUAUUUCAUUGUACAAGGGCUCUGCAUUUGGAUUAAUCUGUCUUUGUUGCUCAACCGCACACCAUGCCCGGUUUACCGGAUCAGAGUUCAGCACAAAAUUCCCCGAUUCUAAGCCGCUGCUAAACCUGACAUCAUCAGGAACAAAAAUCAAACCCAGAGUAAAAAUGGGAAGAAUAAACAAAAUAACAGGACCCAGUAAAGAACAGAUACAUUUCUGAAAAUGACACUCAGACAUGGUGAACUUACAAUCAUAAAAACAAGCUUGGCAAAUAACAAGGAAAAAAGAGAGAACAAAAAUCUUAGGAAGAGACUACAUACUUGUUUUGGCUGACCAUCUUCAAGCUUUCUGGUAUAUGCUUAGAGAAACAACAAUGAUCGUAUAUAUAUAGUCAGUGAGAUCAUUCACCAGCAAUCUCCAGGAAACUUACCGAUAAGCAUAUAAAAACUUCUUCCUGUCCAAAAACUAGAAAACCAAGUCUUCGUCUUCGUCAAGCACGUCAACAUCAACUCAAACCGAGCAACUUCAUGAAAGCUUAAUAGGAAGACCUUUAGCUAGAUACAAGAUGCCUUAUCUCUUUCCCUUUUAACUUAACGUGUUGCGAUUCCUCGUAGUCUUUGCAUGUUCAUACGCAAAUCACUGGAGUUAUUAUAUACCGGACUAUAUUUUCCCUGGUGGUUUCGGUUCUUAAGCUACAUUUUCCCGGCCAUAAUCUAAUUUAAUUACAGAUUGAUCAAUGAUCUAUAGAGAAUAUAACUGGUUAAACUAAUUAAUCAACUUGUAUUAAAAGGUGUGACAAAGUUAACGUCAAUUUUGUACAACCUCUGGGGAACACUUGGAAAAUCCCCUUGCUAUGAAUCUCACAGUUAGCAAAGCAAUCGCCAAAUAUCAGAAGAAAUAAGAAGCUGCUGUUAGAGCUGUCAGCUGUAGAAGGUCUGGUUCGAACAUAAAGCUCAGCUUUGAGGAAAACUGAUGAGCGCAAUAUCCUAAUCCAACAUUGCCUUACAUUGCUUUACGAGAGGAACCUUCCACAGAACCAAUGUGGAUAUCCUUUGUGUAUACGUUUGUGAGCGCGAAAAGCAGCAGAACAAAGACAACUUGAGCACUCACUAUUCCAAAAUGGCUGAUGCUGUUACCAAUUUCCAUCCAACUUCCUGUAUUCUGGACCUGUUACCGAUCAAAAUAGUCAGUAAAGUCGAUAAGAAUACAAGGUUUCAUGUACAUUAUGUAUAGAAAUGCAGUCUGGACCACACAUUUAUAGCUACCAAACUCGUAUCCUUAUCAGUUAUGAGACGGCAUAAUUUUAUUCGUAGAAUGUAGUUAGUAUACAUACCAGGAAGAAGAAAUGCAUAGUCAUAACAUCUGAAAACAAUAUAACGAGGAAAUAGCAUCCCAAUCGUGGAAGUCGAUUCAGCUUAGUUAUUGCACUGAAUACACAUCUGCAUUUCAAUCCACCAAAGAAAAGGUUAUAUUUUCAUUCAUAGAAAUUCAACUCAACUUCCUCACACCAUAACAAUGUAGCCACAAAACAUAUCAUAACAGGGCAGCUCAAGCCAUGAGAAGGCAUUAGUACAAUCUAUAACCAUUUAUAACUUGGUAAAAUUUUCUUAUGGCACAAUGCUAUAAUCAGUCAUAAACACCAAUGAGACACACAAUUGUGAUUGUACUUACAUGACAAGCAGAAAUGGAAUGAAUAGCUUGAAGAUCAGUAACGCUGCCAUAAGAAAGGGCUGCAAUAAGAGAAAGCAACAUUAGCAAAGUAGCAAAACUCUGCAAAUAUUCUGGAUUCAACAAAAAUUCAACCAUCACUUACGCUGAAGACAGUAAUGAAUCGAUAGACUGAUGAGAUUUCAAAACUUGCGAUACUUGCAAAAUUUCCCGUUCCGAAGAAGGCAACAUUAAACAAGACCAGCUAAAGACACAAACUCCAUUAGCAUCACGUCAUGACCAGUAAUAAGUAUGAAAAACACUAGGCAAGGAGUACAUUCUCUUAUAAACACCCCCAUACUUCUAGUGAAAUGUUUGAGGUCAGUCAUCAGUGCAAUGAGUUUGAAUUGUUUUCUAUGAUUCCUUCAGCAACAGUAGUACUAGCUAAAUUUAUUUGCACAGAUUAAAACAAAAGACCAUGCUAAACAUAAUUGAUAGGUGGCUACAAGCUUUAAUUUUCUAAUUCACAGUUUUCUCAAUUAUAUUGCAGCUUCAGAAAAUCUUACAAGACUUAUAUCAUAGGUAAGGAAGGUCACAGAUGGACGCAUAACUAAUAGCCAAGAUCACUAAUACAGAAGGUCAUACAUAAAGCAUAUCUGAAUUUAUAAAAUAUUGUGUGCUAGUCUUGUAAAGGUCUCCAAAACUUCAUUUGGAAUAGCAUAGCAGAAAAAAUAUUUAAAAUGCAUGAUGAUAUAAUUUAAGAAAACAAAGCACUUACAAAUGUCAAAGGAAUUCUCACAUCAGACAGCUGCAAGUAUCUACCAUCAACUAGGGAAUUAUCCUCCAUAUUGUUAAAGGAACUUGACAACCUUUUCACCUUACUAGAGUAAAUAAGUGUGUUUUCAAAUAGUAUCCAAGCCAUGAGUACGAGAGCAAAAGCACUAUAGAAGACAGCUUCAUAUCUGCAUAAUUUUUUAGAAUGAACAAAGAUAUUAGAAAAUCCAUCCUAAUUUCAUGCAUAUCACAAAGCUUCUAAAGACAAAAAUGAUAGGUGACACAUAAUUUGCCUUUACCCGAUAGAUAAUAGAAGGAAUGUGGGUGCAAAGCCAAGAAAUAUGGACGUAAGCCGGGACAAGAGACCAUUUGCUGAAAAUAAUGGAAGUACCAUCGAGGGACCUAUGACAAGACAAAAUAAUAGAUAAGUACCAUAUGUGGAAUUCACUUCUAACGUUACUCGGGCAUUGAAAUAUUAUCAAUCAGUUUACUGACCAUCAGAACAGAUAAAACAAAUAUAAUAAGAUAAAUUUGAAAAACAAAAAAAACAACAAAAAUUGUAGAGCAAAAGAAAUGAAAAGGAGAAACAUAACAAAAAUUAGAUGUUGGAUGUAUGCUACUGCCCAAAACUAUAACCUAAAAUGCUAAAUUGCCAGUCUAAGAGCAUACCAGCAAUGGACCAAUUUAUAAACUGGUGCCAGACAUGCAGUUCUUGGUUCUGUGUUCUAUGAGAUGUUGAAAUUGACACCAUCACAGACGAUAAUCCAACCAGAAAAGCCUAAUUCACAAAUAUCCAAGAGAAAGAAAAACGACUUUAGAUCUGUGGAGUCACAUCAAACAUAAGAUCAUACCAAUUGGGAGCUGAGACAAGUGAAGCACCUGUAAUUGAAAGAGCAUGGGGAACUUGGGUUUCUUUGCGUCACUAUUACAGAUACUGAGCCAAAACUUGUUUCCCUCAGUAUGCUGAUCCAGAAACCUACCAGCUGCUCCAACCAUAAUAAUCAUAACCCCACUCCAUAUUCUGUAGACAUGAUAUUGCACAAACACAGACAUAAUUGUUAUGGCCAACCCAAAUGCUACUAAUAGACAUCAAACUCAAGAUAGUUAAUACAGUAAAACUGUCUAUUUAUCAUAACAGGCUCAAAAUCUUAUUGACUAGUUACUGAUUUUAUCCGUAAGCUGAUAUGAGAACAACAUUGUUUGAAUUCAAGAUUGUGCAAACAACUUUAAUUCUGUCAGAUAAUACGUCCGCAACUUAUUGAAAACUAAACUGUCACAAGCACAUACAUUGAUAAAUAAACAUUCCACAAGAGUCCACUUACACAAGAUUAUUAUUAUCCGGAAUUUCUGCUGGCAUCAAAGUAAAUACAGAUAAGAACCAGCAUGCACCACAAACAAAGAAAGGAAUCCCAGAUCUCCAUGGAAUUGACUUGAAAAGAUAAAUAAAGGCUAUGGCUCCCACAGUCAGAAAACACCAGGUGUAGAGCUUCCUCUCAGUGAAGCUAUUCACCUACAGAAUAUACCAAAGUACACUGUUCAGAGUUCAAAAUACCAAAUUACCAGGUUUUGAAGCCGGAUGAUAAAUAAGUUUGAUUUCAAUACCAGAUAUUCAAGUAUGAAUACUGCGACAGCACAAGCGGCUAGAACUUUUGUGAAAUAGUUGAUUUUCCUUCCAGAUAACUGUCUCCAUAAUGCUUUAAUGAACCGAUAUUCACUAGAUAUUUGUGUCCACAAAAAUACUGUCAUUGUUGUGUAUGCAUGGUAAAGAGGAGGAGACUGCUCAAUGAACAGUAUCAUGCUGAGAAGUCCCAGAAACAAGCAUCCAGAAAGUUGUACCUGCCAAAAAUUAAUAAAGAUAUUUUAGUUAAAUUUUAUAUUUAGAGAAUUUAAAACUUGGCCUCUUCUUUUUUUUUGCAAAAUAUUCCUGAAUUUGGCCUCUCUUUUUCUUAUGGAAAAUGUAUCCCUCUUUUUCUGUGAACUUCAAUUGAUAAGGUAAUUAAUGGCUAUGCAAGAUCAAGCUUACACAAACAUUACUUUUCUGGUAUUAUCUGUCUGGUGAUCUGCUUGCAUCUUUAUCAAUAUAUCACCUGCCAAUGACGUGUAUGAUUGCAGCACAUGGAGAACAAUAUAGGUCAUCCAACCAAUAUACCCAAGAAUAAUUACAGUCAUGAGCAUCAGCCAAUCAUAAGUUUGAAAAUAAUGAAGUCCUUGUAGUGCCAAGUCUCGCAGAUUUUCAGAUAGUUUCCUAGCAGCUUCAUAGUCUCCAUUAGAUAUUUGAUCCUCAAUUUGAUCCAAGAGGNNNNNNNNNNNNNNNNNNNNNNNNNNNNNNNNNNNNNNNNNNNNNNNNNNNNNNNNNNNNNNNNNNNNNNNNNNNNNNNNNNNNNNNNNNNNNNNNNNNNAUUUAAUUUGAGCGUACCUGGGCUCUCGCUCAGGCGUUGAAGAUCGAUGAAGUUGCAUGUUGUGAUUGCAGAUCGAUGAGAAGAUUCUCUCAUGCAUCAGUUCUAAGGAGUAAAGAAGAAUAGAGUAAAAAGUCUUCAUCGAAAAAAAGAGAGAGAAAAGAACCAUGAGUAGAAACCUUCAAGUGAGAGGAGAGCACAUAAACCUUCAAUCGAUGGAGGGGGUGUGGCGGUGUACACAAUAAACAUGUCAUUUUUCAGGCAUUUUUUGAUUGAUCAGGGUGGCCUUGGCAGCUUCCCAGACCCGAGAUAUGACUCAGAGUCGAAGAACCCAUGCCAGACAACAAGUGGAGAGCUAAGAGAUGCGAUUCAGGAUUUACAGAAAAGGAUGAAAUAUGUCGAUGUGCAAGGCUAUGGGAUGAAACUGCUUGCUCAAACAAUCAUGAAGGCUGGAAGGUUAAAACUCUGAAAACUCUCAAGAGAGAGAAUCGAGAACGGAGGAUGGCGGCAGACCUUUUUCGAGGAUUGUGUGAUGCUUCGAAACGAUGCCAAGGCCCUCCUCAUUAUAUGUGGUAUGUAUGGACUGUGGUCAUGGACGGCUGAGUCGGUAGGGUUGGUAUCAUAUUGAAUUUUGGCCAAAUUAGGUAAUGAAAAAUGUAUGGCUCUGACUGAUUGUAAAAUCCUUAUUCACAGUUUUGUAACAGUCAAAUCGAUAGAUCUAGCUUCUCGAAUUUCCCCUCGCCAGUCCACGUCUUGAAUAACUAACUAGGACCAGACAAAGUCAAAAAAGGAUGAUAAAAGAAGAAGAAUGAACAAAAAAAAAAAAAAAAAAGAAAAUGCAAGUGGUAUCUAUCUCCGCGUGAAAAACAAUGUAGUGCUCCAAUACGUUGUCGAGGAACGAAUCGGUCCAUAUGGGGUGAACCCACGCGCCGUUUAACGUCGGGUGAAGAACAUAGGGUUUGAGGGCGUUAGAUCAGUCCUCGACUGAGUCUCCGUUGCCAACCCGACCCGCACAUUCUGGGCUGUUCCGGCCACCUGACGACGUCCGACCAGCCCUGAUCGAACCUCUAUUCUCCGGCUACCUCCUAGGACUAUUAAAUCGCGCAAGCAUUAAGGUUUGAUCGAAAGCCCAAUCCGACCUGUACUUUGCUGGCGACGUACUUUCUUGGGUUGCUGAAGUCUAGGAAACUUAAUUUGGACCGGAAUUCUAGAAGUUGCUGAUUCGAUGGGCACUGGCUCUAGUCGUUCAUUUUUCCAGUAUACUGUUGUGUUGGGAUUUUCUGGGUUCUUGGUUCUGAUAUGGAGGGAGAGGCCCAAUUGAGAGUUAUGUUGAGUUUGUAGCAGAAAGAUGUCUGUUGAGAAUAAUACAAUUAGACAAAGGAGAAAGAAAAUUCUUCUGUUUGAUUGCCUCUACGCUCUACCUGUCUAGCUAGUGACCAAUAUAAACACCGUAUUUCAGGUCAGGGAAAUCCGGUGAUUGCCUCCACACUUUUCUUAUUAGACAGGAAAACAGGGACAACAGAUUUUCUCCCCUAAUAAACAUGAGUUCAUUUCAAUAUAACGUGUUUUUACUUAUGCCUAAAUACACAAUUUUAUAUUAAAGUCAUAAUAAAAACAUAAUUUUUAUAUAUUUUAAAGACAAUUUUAGCUUCAUCACUUCAACAUGUAUAGAGAGAGAGAGAGAGAGAAGAUUUUACCGGAAUCUCAUCGGACUCCGGUCACUGGACUCUGGUUUCCGGUUGUCAGAUUCCGGUCAUCGGUUGCUGGAAAUUUAUAUUAACCCUCAGUAACUCAUAUUUUAUAACCCUCAGUAACUCAUAUUUUAUCCGGUCGCCGGAUUUCGAUCACCGGUAACUCAGUUACUGACCCCCAGUAACUCGAAUUUUUUCCGGUCACCUGAUUUCGGUCAUCAGUAACG
rnacentral:lncRNA from 1 species